rnacentral:lncRNA from 1 species
UGAUAUGAUGCACAGGGCCAACUACAUAAUCUUUUUAUCUCUCUUGUUGAAGCAUUGAAAAUGAGUGAUGCAAGAGUAGUAUUGUCUGCUCUUCACAAUGUCAUUCACAUUUUAUUCAAGGUCUAUGAUUUUGCUCCUAAUUGCUACAAUCCACCUGUGUCAUCAAUUUUUUUUUUUACAUAUGUUCUAGAAAAAAAAAUCAUUCCAAUAAGGUCCUUUAACUAGUAAGUUAUUGGUGACAUGGGGUCUAUGCAUUUGACAAUUCUAUGACCUUUAUUAUAUUUACCUUUGAUGACGUGUCAAAUACUUNUAGCUAUUUUUUUGCUUAUAAUCAUCUGAUAAGUGCUAAUAUUAGACUUCUAAAAACAAAAGCUGUGAAUAUAUUUAUUUCACUGUACAAGUUUUUCCAUUUAUAAUCACAGCUAUGGUUUUAACUAUUAUAUCAACACAGGGGCAACAACAUAAUCUUUUAUCUCUCUUGUUGAAACACUGAAGAUGAGUGAUGCAAGAGUAGUAUUGUCUGCUCUUCACAAUGUCAUUCAGAUUUUAUCCAAUUGCUAAAAUCCACCUGAGUCACUUGUUGACUAGUUUAACUGGUAACUUUUUGGUGACAUGGUGUCUAGUUGGUAUGCAUUUGAUGACGUGUCAAAUACAUGUCAUGCCAUGUCACCUCACCAAAACUUACCGGUUGGUUGGUUAAACUGGGAAUAGAAUGUCACCAAAACUCUAUGAUUCUUUGAUGGAACAGGUGACACAGCAUCCUGUUCUUUUCUGAACGUGUUUCCUAAUAAUUAAUUAUUCUCAUCUUACUACAUCAUUUUUAACUCCUUAAUUUAUAUUAAUUUCCCAGGUGUCUAUGCUGUUUAUAUUUUAAUGACUGGUUUUCCACUUUUCACAGUGGAAUUGGACAGAGGGUUUCUUUUUGCCAGUUUGAUUCAACCAUUUGUUUCCCAAUUUCACAUUUACUUGAGGUAUUUUUGAAUCCUUUUGGUUUUAAUUUAACUGACUUUUACUAGAGCUGUGAAGUGCCUACGUUUCAUUAAACUUACACUUUUAUUGGGCUUGUGACCUUUUUUUUUUAUUAGAUUAGGGAUUCUGUUAUGGAAUACUAUAAUUGUAGGUUGUUUCUGCGUUUUUAAUUUUCAUGAACGCAAACUAAUGUUUUACUCUUUUUUACAGGAUGUUGCCACCUGAAACCAUGGUGGGCCCCUUCAAACCCCAACCUCAUCUGGAAACCAACAUCUCCAAAGGUUAAUUUCUUGAAACCAAUUACAUCAAUAUUUAUCCAAAUAUAUAGAAAGCAAUUUUGAUAAGACUUGUUAGUUUUAUAUUCAAGAAAAAAGAUUGCACUAUUGCAUUGUGUUUUCAGUUUUUCCCUUAUUAAAGUUAUGCUUCCAGAACUCUUAUCUAUGACCUUUAUUAUAUUUACCUUUAAUGACGUGUCAAAUACUUGCCAUGUCACCUCCCCAAAACUUACUGGUUGGUUAAACUAGGAAUAUAGCAUUUUCCAGUGGAGCCAGUUUUCAAACAACCUAAAGAAAGAAAAGCUAAUGGUAUAUGAUUCUUUCUUGUUAAUGUUAUCCACUUUAUGCUCUCUAACCUAAUACUUAUUCUCAUCUUAUUACAUCAUAUUUCUUCAUUUUUAAGACCUUAAUUGAUCAAUCUAAUCACUAUUAUUUCAUUCUUGUAAAACCUUAGAUUCUAUGCUUUAUUCGGUUUGACCUAUUUUUAUUUUUCUUUCGGUUAUGGAAUACAAUUCUAGGUUGUUUCUGCCUUUUUUUUUUCAUCAGACAAACUAAUUUACUUUUUUUACAGGAUGUUGCCACCUGAAACCAUGGUGUUUUAAAAAUUUAAUCAAUUACAUCAAUAUGUAUCCAAAUAUAUAUAUAGAAAGCAAUUUUGAUAAGACAUCUUAGUUUUAUAUUCAAGAAAAAAGAUUGUACUAUUGCAUUGUGUUUUCAGUUUCUCCCUUAUUAAAGUUAUGCUUCCAGAACUCUUAUUUAUUACAACAUUUUAAUUUAAUUUAAAAAAAUUUACCCAUUACAUUGAUUAUGUAUGACUUGUGUUUGUAGGAGCUAUCAUCACAUGCUAUGGGAAAGACAGAGAAGAAGUUUUCUGCCACCAAUUAUAUUUAUAUUCAGUGCUGGGUAUGUCAUUCUUUUUGAAUCAUUGACAAAAAUUGUGUGAUACUAAACAUGUGUAUUUUUAUAGUGGGGAUCCAGAAAUAGCAAAAUGCUUUCAUUUCAUACUCCAGGUAUGUUUUACCACUAAACCACUCUAUAUUUUGUUGUGUGUCAUAAAUUCAGUGUUCAUGUUCAUGUCCUGCUGCUCUUAUUCUUUUACAAUUAGCAUGGUGCUUUAAUUUUACUUUGAAAAAACUUCCCCGAUUAAAUCAUUGUACAUUAAAAAACAUCCAUUUUGCAUUGAAUUCUCAUAAAUCAUCUUAUUUUUAGCAUCCUACUUUCACUUUUCUUUAUCUAACAUCAAUGAAACAUCAAGCUUCUCUUUUUCUCAUCUAUGCAUUUUCCAAUUAAAGCAUUCUACAUUCCAAAUCGAACAUUUUACAGUGAAUUUUUGAAAAUCAUCCCGUUUUUAGCAUUGCACUUUAACUUUUCUUUCUGUUACAUCAUUGAAACAUCAAACUUUUUUUUUUCAUCUAUGCAUUCUGUUUUCACUUUUCUUUCUAUAAACAUCACUGAAACGUCAAACUUCACUUUUGUCAUCUAUGCAUUUUACUUUAAAAAAAAAUUUACAAUUCAAACAUUGUACUUUCAAAAACUUCUAUUUUACAUUAAAUCCUCAAAAAUCAUCUCAUUUUUAGCAUUGCACUUUAACUUUUUUAUUUAUGUAACAUCUUUGAAACAUUAAACUUCUCAUUUCUCAUCUAUGCAUUUUACUUUGAAAAAACUUCCAAUCAAAGCAUUUUAUUUUCAAAAAUUUCUAUUUAACAUUCGAUUUUCAAAAAUCAUUCCUUUUUUAGUAUUUUACUUUAACUUUUUUUUUAUAUGUAACAUCAUUGAUACAUCAAAAUUUCCUUUUUCUCAUCUACGCAUUUUACUUUUAAAAAGCUUCCAAUUAAAGCAUUCUAUUUUCAAAAUUGUCUCAUAUACAUUGAAUUUUACAAAAUCAUCCUACUUUUAAUAUUAUACUUCACAUUUUUCGUUCAGUAGCUUUAUUAAAACAUCAUACUUUUUUUUUUCUCAUCUAUGCGUUUUACUUUGAAAAAACCUCCAUUUAAAGUAUUAUAUUUAAAAAAAAAAAACUUCCAUUUUACAUUCGAUUUUCAAAAAUCAUCCUAUUUUUACCAUUUUCCUUUUGCUUUUCUUUCUAUAACAUCAUUGAAACAUCAAACUUCUCAUAUCUCAUCUAUGUAUUUUACUUUCAAAAAACUUCCAAAUAAAGCAUUCUACUUUAAAAAAUAUCCUAUUUUUAGCAAUGUACUUUACCUUUUUCUUUCUGUAACAUCAUUGAAGCAUCAAUUUUCUUUUUUUCUCAUUUAUGCAUUUUACUUUGAAAAAACUUCUAGUUAAAGCAUUCUAAGUUCAAACUUAUGCACUUUACCUUUCUCUUUUUGUAACAUCAUUGAUAUAUCAAACUUAUUUUUUUUCUUAUAUAUGCAUUUUACUUUGAAAAGUCUUGAAAUCAAACAUUCUACUUUCAAUUACUUCUUUUUUUACAUUAAGCUUUCAAAAAUCAUCAUUCUUUUAGCAAUGUACUUUCACUUUGCUUUCUAUAACACCAUUGAAACAUCAAACCUUUGUUUUUCUCAUUUAUGCAUUUUAUUUUGAAAAAACUUCCAACUAAAUAAUUUUUCUUUCAAAAUCUUCCAUUUUACAUUGAAUUUUAAAAAUCAUCCGAUUUUUAACAAUGUACUUUCGAUUUUCUUUCUGUAACAUCAAUUAAACGUGAAACCUCUCUUUUUCUCAUUUUUGCAUUUUAUAUUUAAAAAACUUCCAAUUAAAACAUUUUUCGUUGAAUAUCUUUAAUUUUACACAUUGAUUUUUCAAAAAUGAUCAAAUUUUUAACAUUGUACUUUAGAUAUUCUUUAUAUAACUUCAUUGAAACAUCAAACUUCUCAUUUCUCAUCUACGCAUUUUACUUUGAAAAAACUUCCAAUUAAAGCAUUCUCCUUUUAAAAUUAUCAUGUUUUUAGCAUUAUACUUUAACUUUUUCUUUCUGUAAAAUCAGUGAAACAUCAAACUUCUCUUUUUCUCAUCUAUGCACUUUACUUUGAAAGAACAUCCUAUUAAAGCUUUCUACUAUCAAAAACACCCAUUUGCAAUGAUUUUUUAAAAAUUCAACCCAUUUUUUGCAUUGUACUUUUUCUUUCUGUUUUUCUAAUCUAUGCAUUCAACUUUCAAAAACAUCCUGUAGACAAUAAAUUUUUAAAAAUCAUCCCAUUUUAUAACAUUCUACUUUCAGUUUCUUAUUACUGCUAACACAUUGCAUUUUCAAAAAUCAUCCUAUUGUUAGCAUUGCACUCUCAUCUAUGCAUUUUACUUUGAAAAUACUUACAGUUAAAGCAUUAUACUCUCAAAAACUUCCAUUUUAUAUUGAAUUUCUUAAAAUCAUCACAAAUUUAGCAUUAUACUUUACCUUUUUCUUUCUCCAACAUCAUUGAAACAUCAAACAUCUCUUUUUCUUAUUUAUGCAUUUUACAUUGAAAAAAACUUCCAAUUAAAGCAUUCUACAUUCAAAAACUUUCAUUUUACAUUCAAUUUUCAAAAAUCAUCCAAUUUUUAGAAUUGUAAGUUACAUUUUUGAAACAUCUAAUAUCUUUUAUCUCUCAUCUAUGCAUUUUACAAUUAAAAAACUUACAAUUAAAACAUUGCACUCUCAAAAACUUCCAUUUUACAUUGAAUUUAUAAAAAUCAUCAAAAAUUUAGCUUUAUACUUUAACAUUUUCUUUCUAUAACAUCAUUGUGACAUCAAACAUUUUUUUUCUCAUUCAUGCAUUUUACAGUGAAAAUUUUUUCAAAUAAAGCAUUCUACAUUCAAAAACUUUCAUUUUACAUUCAAUUUUCAAAAAGUAUACCAUUUUUAGAAUUGUACAUUACAUUUUUCUUUUUGUAACAUCUUUGAAAUAUCAGACAUCUUUUUUUCUCAUCUAUGCAUUUUACUUUGAAAAAACUUACAAUUAAAGCAUUAUACUCAAAAAUUUUCAUUUCAAUCUGAAUUUUUAAAAAUCAUGGCAACUUUUGCUUUUUAUUUCUAUAACAUCAUUGAAAGAUCAAACAUCUCUUUUUCUCAUUUAUGCAUUUUACAUUGAAGAACAUUCCAAUUAAAGUAUUCUACAAUAAAAUACUUACAUUUUGCGUUCAAUUUUCAAAAAUCAUGCCAUUUUUAGAAUUGUACUUUACAUUUUUCUUUCGGAAUCAUUUUUGAAACAUCAAACAUCUUUUUUUCUCAUCUACGCAUUUUUACUUUGAAAAAACUUACAAUUAAAACAUUCGACUCUCAAAAACUUCCAUUUUGAAUUGAAUUUUUAAAAAACAUCACAAAUUUAGCGUUUUACUUUACCUUUUUCUUUCUAUAACUUCAUUGAAACAUCAAACAUCUCUUUUUCUCAUUUAUGCAUUUAACAUCGAAAAAACCUCCAAUUAAAGCAUUCUACAUUAAAAUACUUCCAUUUUAAAUUCAAAUUUCAAAAAUCAUCUCCUUUUUAGGACUAUAUUUUAACUUUCCUUUUUGUAACAUCAUUGACACAUCAACCAUCUUUUUUUAUCAUCUAUGCAUUUUUACGUUGAAAUUUUUUUCCAAUUAAUGCAUUCUACUUUCGAAAUCGUCCAUUUUACGUUGAAUUUUCAAAAAUCAUCCCAUUUUUAGCAUUGUACUUUCUUUAACAUAAUUGAAACAUCAAACAUUUUUUUUCUCAUCUAUGGAUUUUAAAUUGAAAAAACUUGCUUUUUAAGCAUUCUACUUUGCUUCCAUUUUACAUUCAAUUUUCAAAAACCAUCAUAUUUUUAGCAUUGUACUUUAACUUUUCUUUGUGUAACAUAAUUAAAACAUCAAACUUUUUUUUUUUCUCAUCUAUUUGUUUUACUUUGAAAAAUCUUACAGUUAAAGCAUUCUACUUUUAAAAACUUCCAUUUUACAAUGAGUUUUUUAAAAUCUUCACAUUUUUAUCAUUGUACUUUAACUCUUUCUUUAUUUAACAUCUUUAAAACAUCAAAUUUCUCUUUUUCUUAUCUAUGCAUUUUACUUUGAAAAAAACUUACAAUUAAAGCAUUCUACUUUCAGAAACUUCCAUCUUUACAUUCAAUUUUCAAAAACAUUUGAUUUUUAGCAUUGCACUUUAACUUUUUCUUUAUGUGACAUCAUUGAAAGAUCAAACGUUUCAUUUCUCAUCUAUGCAUUUUACUUUGAAAAAACUUUCAAUCAAAGCAUUUUUUUUCAAGAAUUUCCAAUUUACAUUCAAAUUUGAUUUUCAAAAAUCAUCCCAUUAUUAGCAUUGUACUGUAACUUUUUCUCAUCUAUGCAUUUUAUAUUGAAAAAACUUACAAUUAAAGCAUUGUACUUUCAAAAACAAUCAUUUCACAUUCAAUUUUCCAAAAUCAUCCCAUUUUUACCAUUGCACUUUAAAUUUUUCUUUAUAUAACUUCAUUGAAACAUCAAACUUCUUUUUUUCUUAUUUAUGUAAUUUACCUUGAAAAAACUUCCAAUUAUAAUAUUAUACUUUCAAAAACUUUCCAUUUUACAUUGCGUUUUUUAAAAUCAUCACAUUUUUAGCAUUGUACAUUAACUUUUUUUUAUGUAACAUCAUUAAAUCAUCAAAUCUCUCUUUUUCUCAUCUAUGCAUUUUACUUUGAAAAAGCUUCUAAUUAUAGCAUUCAACAUUCAAAAAUAUCCUAUUUUUACCAUUGUACUUCACUCUUUUCUCUAUAUAACAUUAUUGAAACAUCAAACUUUUUUUUUCUCAGCUACACAUUUUACUUUAAAAAAACUUCGAAUUAAAGCAUUCUACUUGUAAAAACUUCCACUUUUACAUUCACUUUUGAAAAAUGAUCUCAUUUUUAACAUUGACUUUAACUUUCUCUUUAUGUAACAUCAUUGAAACAUCAAACGUCUCAUUUCUCAUCUAUGCAUUUUACUUUGAAAAAACUUUCUAUUAAAGCAUAUUAUUUUAAAAAAUUUCCAUUUUACAUUUGAUUUUCAAAAAAGUGUCCCAUUUUUAGGAUUGUAUUUUAACUUUUUUCUCAUGUAAACAUUCUACUUUAAAAAAAACUUACAAUUAAAGCAAUGUACAUUCAAAAACUUCCAUCUUACAUUCAAUUUUCAUAAAUCAUCCUAUUUUUAGCAUUGCACUUUAACUUUUUCUUUAUGUAACCUCAUUGAAACAUCAAACUUUUUUUUCUCAUCUGUGCAUUUUACUUUUUAAUAAAAACUUACAAUUAAAGCAUUCUACUUUCAAAAAACUUCCAACUUAUACUCAAUUUUCAAAAAUCAUCCCUUUUUUUGCAUUGCAUUGUAAAUUUUUCUUUAUGUUAUAAUUAGCAUAUUGCAUUUUAAAAAUCAAUGAUAUUUUUAGCAUUGUAUGUUAGCUUUUUCUCAUAUAUGCAUUUUGGUUUGAAAAAUGCUUAUAUGUAAAGCGUUGUACUUUCAAAAAUCAUCCCAUUUUUACCAUUGAAGUGUAACUUUUUCUGUAUGUAACCUCAUUGAAACUUUAAUCUUCUUGUUUUCAUCUAUGAAUUUUAAUUUAAAAAAAACAUCCAUUUUACAUUCAAUUUUCAUAAAUUAUCUCAUUUUUAUCAUUGUACUUUAACUCUUUCUUUAUUUUACAUUUGAUUUUCAAAAAUCAUCUCAUUUUUAGCAUUGCACUUCAACUUUUUCUUUAUAUAUGCGUUUUACUUUCAAAAACUUUCAUUUCACAUUUAAUUUUCAUUAAUCAUCCCAAUUUUAGCAUUGCACUUCAACUUUUUCUUUUUGUAAUAUCUUUGAAACAUCAAACUUCUAAUUUCUCAUCUAUGCAUUUUAAUUUGAAAAAACUUCCAAUCAAAAGCAUUUUAUUUUCAAAAGCAUCCAUUUUACAUUUGAUUUUCAAAAAUCAUCCCAUUUUUAGCAUUGUACUUUAACUUUAUCUUUAUGUAACAUCAUUGAAACAUCAAACUUCUUUUUUUCCCAUCUAUGCAUUUUGCUGUGAAAAAACACCCGAAUCAAGCAUUUAACUUUCAAAAACUUUUAAUUUACGAUGUAUUUUCAAAAAUAAUAUUAUUUUUAGCAUUGUACUUUCUUUAACAUCAUUGAAAAUUUAAACAUCUUUCCGUAACUUCCAAUUUAAAUUUAAUUUUAAAAAUUAUCACGUUUUUAACAUUGGACUUUACCUUUUUCUUUCUGUAACGUCAUUGAAACAUCAAACUUAUUUUUUUCUCAUCUAUGCAUUUUACUUUGAAAAAACUUCUAUUUAACAUUGAAUUUUCAAAAAUCAUCCAAUUUUUAACACCUUACUUUAACUUUUCUUUUUGUAAACAUCAUUGAAGCUAAUGCAUUUUAAAAAUUUCCAAUUAAAGCUUUCUACUUUCAAAAUCGUCCAUUUUACAUUGAAUUUUCAAAUAUCAUCCCACUUUUAGCAUUUUACUUUGAAAAUACUUCCAAUUAAAGCAUUCUACUUUAAAAAACAUCCAUUUUUUCAAAGAAUUUUUAAAAAUCAUCCCAUGUUUAGCAUUGUACUUUACCUUUUUCUUUCUGUAACAUCAAUGAAACAUCAAAAAUUAUUUUUUCUUAUUUAUGCAAUUACUUUGAAAAAACUUCCAAUCAUUAUUAGUAUUGUUUCCAAAAACUUCCGUUUUGCACAAAAUUUUCAAAAAUCAUCAUAGAUUUAGCAUUAUUAGUAUUACACUUUAACAUUUUUUUUAAUAUAACAUCAUUGAAACAUCAAACUUCUCAUUUCUCAUCUUUGCAUUUUACUUUUAAAGAACUUCUAAUCAAAGAAAUUUAUUUUCAAAAACUUCCAUUUUACAUUCAAUUUUACAAAAUAUCCCAUUAUUAGCAUUGUACUUUAACUUUUCUUUAUGUAACAUCAUUGAAACAUCAAACUUCCCUUUUUCUCAUGUAUGCAUUUUAUUUUGAAAAAACUUACAGUUAAAGAAUUCUACUUUCAAAAACUUCCGUAUAUGUUCUUUACCUUGAAAGAAACAUGAACCAAUCUAAAGAUAUAUUUAGAAAAUUUGAUAUGAGGGAACUUUUAGUGUAAGGAUAAGGAGCAUAACCUAAAUGUAGUAAUACAUUAGGAUUGAAAUGAUGACACAAAAAGAUGAAAUAUGAUCAUGUUCUAUGUUUUAAGUAUCCCAUGAUUUUGUUCUAUCAUUAUUACAUGUGAUAUGAUCAAUGUUUUAAGGAUCACAUGGUUAUGUUUUAUCAUUAUGACAGCAUAGAAAAUAGAAACUCUCUACAUGGUUUGAUUAAUGCAAGUGAAUCCCUUGAACAUGCCAUGCAACGUGUUAUUAAUGACAACCUUGAGUUGGCUGUGCAUCAAUUGAGAAGCUUCUGUUUUCUUAAUCCUGUUAUGGGUGUUCUAUUUUUUUAAUCUCUUUGCUUAUAAUUGUCUAGUAAGUGCUAAUGACUUAUUAAAAUAAAAGUUGUGAAUAUAUUUAUUUAAGUCUACAAGUUUUUGCAUUUAGAAUGCCAUUCAUCACAACUAUAGUUUUUUUAUUGUAUGAUAUCAUGCACAAGGGCAACAACAUAAUCUUUUAUCUCCCUUGCUGAAGCACUGAAGAUGAGUGAUGCAAGAGUAUUAUUGUCUGCUCUUCACAAUGUCAUUCGCACUUUAUCCAAGGUUUGAUCUUGCCCCUAAUAAUUAUUCUCAUCUUAUUACAUCAUAUUUCUGCUUUUUUAAGACCUUAGUUUAUGAAUGUAAUCAUUAUUUCAUUCUUGUAACACCUUAGUUUCUAUGCUUUAUUGGGUUUGAUAUAUUUUUUUUAUUUCGGUUAUGGAAUACAAUUCUAGGUUGUUUGUACCUUACUAAUUUUCAUGAACACAAACUAAUAUUUUACUCUUUUUAUAGAAUGUUGCCACCUGAAACCAAAUAAAUCAAUAUUUAUCCAAAUAGAAAGCAGUUUUGAUCUAAUUUCCUGGGUUUAUAUGCAAGAAAAGAGAUUGCACUUUCUGUUAUUUUCUUGUUAUUAAAUUACAUUUUCAUUUUUUCCUUUAUUAAAGUUAUGCUUCCAAACUCUUAUUUAUUACAACAUUUUAAUUUAAAAAAGUUUACUCAUUACAUUGAUUAUGUAUGACUUAUGAGUUAUGUUUUGUGGUAUGUGUUUGUAGAAGCUGUCACAUGUUUUAUGGGAAAGACAGAAGAAAUUUUCUUUUACCAAUUAUAUUCAUAUUCAGUCCAAGGUAUGUCAUCUCCUGCUACUGUUAUUCUUUUUCAUUAAGUGAAUACCAAAAAUACCCCUCAACUAAAUACAUUCUCUUUAUUUGCUGAUUUUCCCAUAUUACCCUUAUCUAGACUAUAUCACGUAAGUGGAUGCUUAGAAAAUUCUCUCUACUGCAACUUCCAUUCUUUUUCAUAUUAAGGCAUUGUAUUUUGAAUAAUCUAUCAGUUAUAGCAUUGUAUAUUCACUUUUCCUUUUAUUAGCACAUAUGUGUUUUUACAAAUCAAUCCAUUUUUGGCUUUGUACUUUUUUUUAAUGUUAGAACAUUGAAACAUCUAACUUUUUUUUUUCUUCUCAAUGUAUUUUACUUUAAAAUCUUCCAACUAUAGCAUUCAAUUUUCAGUUUUCUUAUAAUUUGCAACUCGCAUUUUUAAAAUAAUCCCAUAUUUGGUAUUGUACGUUUACUUUGAAAGAAGUUCCAGUUAAAGCAUUCCACUUUCAAUUUUCAUAUUAUUAGCACAUUGACAUUCCAAAAACAUCUCAUUAUUAGCAUUUUAUUUUCACUUUUCUUUUUGUUGCAACAUUGAAACAUCAAACUUCUUUUUUCUCAUUUAUGCAUUUGACUUUGAAAAAUAUUGCAUUUAUAGCUUUCUACUUCUCAUUUUCUUAUUAAUUAGCGCAUUGCAUUUUUUAUAAAUCAUCUCAUUUUUAGAGUUGUACUCACUUUCCUUUCUGUUAAACAUUGAAACAUUUGUGUAGUUUACUUUAAAAAAUCACCACUUAUUGCAUUAUUAAGUUUUCUUAUUGUUAACAUAUUGUAUUUUAAAAAAUCAUCCUGUUUUUAUCAUUGCACUUUUUUUCCUUUCUGUUACAACAUUGAAAGUCAAACUUUUUUUUUCAUAUAUGCAAUUUACGUUGAAAAAUCAUCCAUUUAUAUAGCAUUCUUCUUUCAGUUUUCCUAAAUAUAAACACUAGGCAUUUUUAAAAAUCAACUCAUUUUUAGCUUUGUGCUUUUAUUUUCUUUUCUGUUACAACAUUAAAACCUUACACUUUUUUUUCCCAUAUAUGCAGUUUACUUUGAAAAAUCAUCACAUUAUAGCAUUCUACUUUCAAUUUUCUUAUAAUUAGCAUAUUGCAUUUUGAAAAAAUCAUCCUAUUUUUAGCAAUACUUUCUAUUUUCUUUCUUUACAACAUUGAAACAUGAAACUUCUUUUUUCUCAUGCAUUUUACUUUGAAUGAAACAUGAGCCAAUCAAGGGGAUGCUAAGAAUGUAGGGAUAAUAAAGAAAUGUAUUUAGAAAUUUUAUUUUGAGUGGGCACUUAGUGUAAGGAUAUGGAGCAUAGUCUUAUUGUAAGGAUACAUUAGGAUUGGAAUGAUGACAAGAAAGAUGAAAUAUGUAUUACAUGUGAAGUGACCAAUGUUUUAAGGAUCCCAUGAUUAUGUUCUAUCAUAAUAAUAACAUAGCAAAAAGUUUAAUGACAACAAGAUUGGAUCUUUGUACAAAUAAGUACCAUUUGAAUAUUUAAGAAUCAUACAUGUAUAUGUGCUCUCGCAUCAUAAAGUGAUUUUAGUAGGUGGAUUGAGGAUUUGAAGGAUAUGAAUGGAUGGUACACUUAAGAUUUGAUUAAGUCGAGGAUUAUGUAAGUCGUGGGUGUCAUAAUUAGACAAGAGAAGUAUGACUCUUCUGCUUUGAUGUUAAAUACUUCAUAGAAAAAGUAUGAUCUAGAUUUAGUCGUAAUGACAUGAAAUAUAAUGAUCACUUUAGGUAUGAAUGAUAAUGCACGAUACAUAUAGGGACACUUGAAAAAAGCAUAUCAUUUUUAGUAUUUUACUAUCGCUUGUCUUUCUAUAAUAACAUUGAAACAUGAACUCAACUUUUUCUCAUCUAUGCAUUUUACCUCGAAAGGUUUUCUAAAUAUAGCAUCCUACUUUCUGAUUUCAUAUUAUUAGUGCAUUGCGUUUUUUAAAAAUCAUCUCAUUUUUAAAGUUGUAUUCUAAGUAUGCAUAGUAGGUGUUAGUUUUAGACUUUAUUUGGUAAUGAUUUAGGUUAAUGAUAAUUUAUGUCAUUCUUUUUGAAUCAUUGACAAAAAUUGUGUGAUACUAAACAUGUGUAUUUUUAUAGUGGGGAUCCAGAAAUAGCAAAAUGCUUUCAUUUCAUACUCCAGGUAUGCUUACCACCAAACCACUCUAUAUUUUGUUGUGUGUCAUAAAUUCAGUGUUCAUGUUCAUGUCCUGCUUCUCUUAUUCUUUUACAAUUAGCAUUGUGCUUUACUUUUACUUUGAAAAAAUUUCCCAUUAACUCAUUGUACAUUCAAAAACAUCCAUUUUGCAUUGAGUUUUCAUAAAUCAUCCUAUUUUUAGCAUCCUACUUUCACUUUUCUUUAUCUAACAUCAAUGAAACAUCAAGCUUCUCUUUUUCUCAUCUAUGCAUUUUACUUUGAAACAACUUUCCUUUAAAGCAUUCUACUUUCAANUUGAAACAACUUCCUUUAAAGCAUUCUACUUUCAAAAAAAAAUCAUCCAUUUUACAUUGAAUUUUCAAAAAUCAUCCCAUUUUUAUUUAGCGUUCUACUUUCACUUUUCUUUCUAUAACACCACUGAAACAUCAAACUUCACUUUUCUCAUCUAUGCAUUUUACUUUUUAAAAAAAUUCCAAUUAAAGCAUUCUGUUGUCCAUCAAAACUUCUAGCAUUCUACUUUCAAAAUCAUCCCUUUUUUUAGCAUUGUACUUUAACUUUUCUUUUUGUAACAUCAUUAAAACAUCAAAAUCUCUUUUCUCAUCUAUGCAUUUUACUUUCAGAAAUUUCUAUUUUACAUUGAAUUUAAAAAAAUCAUCACAUUUUUAACAUUGUACUUUACCUUUUUCUUUGUGUAACAUCACUCUUAUUUUUUUUUCUCAUCUAUGCAUUUACAUUGAAAAAACUUGCAAUUCAAGCAUUCUUUUUUCAAAAACUUCCAUUUUACGUUGAAUUUUCAAAAACCAUUCUAUUUUUAGCAUUGUACUUUAACUUUUCUUUCUGUAACAUAAUUAAAACAUCAAACUUCUUUUUUCUCAUCUAUGUGUUUUACUUUGAAAAAAAUUAGACAUAAAGCAUUCUACUUUCAAAAGCUUCCCAUUUUACAUUCAACUUUCAAAAAUCAUCCCAUUUUAGGAUUGUACUUUAACUUUCUUUUCUGUAACAUCAUUGAAAAAUCAAACCUUUUUUUUUCUCAUCUAUGUAUUUUACUUUGAAAAAUCUUACAAUUAAAACAUUCUACUUUCAAAAACUUUCCAUUUUACAUUGAGUUUUUUAAAAUAAUCACAUUUUUAGCAUUGUACUUUUUCUUAAUGUAACAUCAUUGAAACAUCAAACUUCUCAUUUCUCAUCUAUGCAUUUUACUUUGAAAAAAGUUUCAAUCAAAGCAUUAUACUUUCAAAAAUUACCAUUUUACAUUCGAUUUUCAAUCAAUGCAUUUUAUUUUCAAAAACUUCCAUUUAACAUUCGAUUUUCAAAAACCCUCCCAUUUUAGCGUUGUAUUUUAAUAUUUUAUCAUCUAUACAUUUUACUUUGAAAAAAAACUUACAAUUAAAGCAUUGUACUUUUAAAAACUUCCAUUUUACAUUCAAUUAUCAAAAAUCAUCCCAUUUUUUUUAACUUUUUCUUUAUGUAACAUCAUUGAAACAUCAAACUUCUCUUUUUCUCAUCUAUGCAUUUUACUUUGAAAAAAGCUUAAAAUUAAAACAAUCUACUAUCAAAAACUUCCAUUUUAUAUUCAAUUUUGAAAAAACAUCCCAUUUUAGCAUUGUACUUUAGUUCUUCUUUGUGUUAUUAUUAGCAUAUUGCAUCUUCAAAAAUCAUCCCAUUUUAGCAUUGUUCCUUCGCUUUCUUUUCUAUUGCAAAAUUGAAACAUCAAACUUUUAUUUUUCACAUCCAUGCAUUUUACUUUGAAAAAAUAUCCAAUUAUAGCAUUCUACUUUAAGUUUUCUCAGUAUUAACAUAUUGAAUUUUAAAAGAUCUUACCAUUUUUAGGAUUUUACUUUCGGUUUUCUUUCUGGUACUGUAUUGAAAAUAAAAAAAAUCUCAUCUAUGCAUUUAACUUUGAAAAAUCUUCCAUAUAUAGGAUUCUACUUUUGGUUUUCUUAUUUUGAGAACUUUGGAUUUUCAAAAUUUAUCUCUGUAUUAGCAUUGUACUUUUACUUUUCUUUCUGUUACAACAUUGUAACAUCAAAGUUUGAAAAGUCUUCCUAUUAUUAGCACAUUGCAUUUUUUAAAAUCAUUUUUUAGCAUCGUACUUUCACUUUUCUUUAAGUUACAACAUUGAAACAUCAUACUUCUUUUUCUCAUGUAUAUAAUUUACCUUGAAAGAAACAUGAACCAAUCUAAAGAUAUAUUUAGAAAGUUUUAUGAGUGAACUUUUAGUGUAAGGAUAAGGAGCAUAACGUUAAAGUAAGAAUACAUUAGGAUUGGAAUGAUGACAUGAAAAGAUGAAAUAUGAUCAUGUUCUAUGUUUUAAGGAUCCCAUGAUUAUGUUUUAUCGUUAUUACAUGUGAAAUAAUCAAUGUUUUAAUGAUCCCAUGUCUAUGUUUUAUCAUUAUGAUAACAUAGUAAAUAGAUUCACGACAACAAGCUUGGAUCUUUGUACUAAUAAGUACCAUUUGAAUUUUUUAGUAUCAUAUAUGUAUAUGUGCUUUGAGGAUAUGAUAGUAUGAUGAGGUUAAAAGAUGUUAAUUUUAGACAUUAUCUGGUAAUGAUUUAAGAAUAUGAUGAAUUUUGGUUUUCUUGUUCGUAGCAUGUUGCAUUUUUUUAAAUCAUCUCAUUUUUAGAUUUUUACUUUUUACUAGUCUUUCUGUAACAACAUUCAAACAUGCAACUUUUUUUUCUCAUCUAUGUAUUUUACUUUGAAAGACAAAGAAGGAAUUUUAUGCCACCAAUUAUAUUCAUAUUCAGUCCAAGGUAUGUCAUGUCCUGCUUUUGUUAUUCUUUUUCAAUAUCAAUUUUCUCAUUGCUCCCAUUCCAGUUGCUAUGAAUUGACUAAAAAAGAACAAAAGCUUUUUCUGUGUAUGAAUGAUUCACUCAAAAGUAGCAAAAUAAACAAGAAAAUCCUAAUAAUUUGCUAGUGAUUCUUGAGCCUAGUCUUUCCUAAGGUACAGACCAGAUCUGAAACAUAGAUAACCCUACACUCUUUCCUUCUACCAUAUAAUAAACAUUAUGUCAUAACCAACUAUAUUAAGUGAAUACCAAAAAUACCCCUCAACUAAAUACAUUCUCUUUAUUUGCUGAUUUUCCCAUAUUACCCUUAUCUAGCCUAUAUCACGUAAGUGGAUGCUUAGAAAAUUCUCUCUACUACAACUUUGCGACUUCCAUUAUUUUUCUUAUUAAGGCAUUGUAUUUUGAUUAAUCUAUCAAUUAUAACAUUGUAUAUUCACUUUUCUUGUUAUUAGCACAUAUGCAUUUUUAAAAAUCAACCCAUUUUUUUAAAAUAUUAGAACAUUGAAAUAUCCAACUUUUUUUAUUCUUCUCAAUGCAUUUUACUUUAAAAUUCUUCCAAUUAUAGCAUUCAAUUUUCAGUUUUCUUAUAAUUUGCACACUGCAUUUUUAAAAUCAUCAUAUUUUUGGCAUUGUACUUUCACUUAUCUUUUUUGUAACAUCAUUGGAACAUUAAACUUUUAAUUAAAGCAUUCCAAUUUCAAUUUCCUUAUUAUUAGCACAUUGAAUUUCAAAAAUCAUCUCAUUAUUAGCAUUUUAUUCUAAGUUUUAUUUUUGUUGCAACAUUGAAACAUCAAACUUCUUUUUUCUCAUCUAUGCAUUUGACUUUGAAAAACCUUGCAUUUGUAGCUUUCUAUUUUUCAUUUGCUUAUUAUAAGCGCAUUGCAUUUUUUAUAAAUCAUCUCGUUUUUAGAGUUGUACUCACUUUCCUUUCUGUUACAACAUUGAAACAUCAAACCUUUUUUUUUCAUAUAUGCAAUUUAUUUGAAAAAUCAUCCAUUUAUAGCAUUUUACUUUCAGUUUUUUAAAUAUUAGCACUAUGCAUUUUUAAAAAUCAUCUCAUUUUUAGCAUUGUGCAUUCACUUACCUAUUUGUUACAACAUGAAAACAUUACAUUUUUUUCCCAUAUAUGCAGUUUACUUUGAAAAAUCAUCCAUUUAUAUCAUUCUACUUUAGUUUUUUAAAUAUUAUCACAUUACAUUUUUAAAAACCAUCUCAUUUUUAGCAUUGUCUAUCACUUUACUUUCAGUUACAAUAUUGGAACAUCAAUCUUUUUUUUUUUCUUCUCAUCUAUGCAAAUUACUUCGAAAAAUCAUCACAUUAUAGCAUUCUACUUUUGAUUUUUUUAUUAUUAGCAUAUUGUGUUUUGAAAAAUCAUCCUAUUUUUGGCAUUACUUUCACUUUUCUUUCUUUACAACAUUAAAACAUGGAACUUCUUUGUUCUCAUCUAUGCAUUUUACUAUGAAAGAAACAUGAAUCAAUUAAGGGGAUAUGGAGCAUAGUCUUAUUGUAGGGAUACAGUAGGAUUAGAAUGAUGACAAGAAAGAUGAAAUAUGUAUUACAUGUGAAAUAACCAAUGUUUUAACGAUCCCAUGAUUAUGUUCUUUCAUAAUAAUAACAUAGCAAAAAGAUAAGGACUACAAGAUUGGAUCUUUGUACAAAUAAGUACCAUCUUAAUAUUUAAGCAUCAUAUAUGUAUAUGUACUCUCGGUUCAUUAUAAUAGGUGUUAUUUUAAGACUUUAUUUGAUAAUGAUAUAUAGAUUAAGGAAAAGAAGAAUUUAGAAUGUUAAAGAGUAUGAAUAAAUCAUAAGUUGAUCUUAGUAGGAAGUCAAGGAUUGAGGAUUUGAAGGGUACAAUGACCAGAUCCAUGCACUCUUUCCAUCUACCCUCUUAUGUCAUAACCCACUAUAUUAAGUGAAUACCAAAAAUACCCCUAUACUAAAUACAUGCUCUUUAUUUUGCUGAUUUUCUCAUAUUACCCUUAUCUAAAGUAUAUCACUUAAGUGGAUGCUUAGAAAAUUCUCUCUACCGAUUAUAGCAUUGUACAUUUACUUUUCCUAUUAUUAGAACAUUGAAAUAUCCAACUUUUUUUUCUUAUAAGUGCAUCUUACUUUUAAAAAACCUUCCAAUUAUAGCAUUUAGUUUUCAGUUUCUUAUUAUUUGCACAUUGCAUUUUCAAAAAUCAUCCCAUUUUUAGCAUUUUACUUAUACUUUCCUUUAUGUUACAACCUUGAAACAUCAAACUUUUUUGCUCUCAUCCAUGUAUUUUACUUUAAAAAAUCAUCCGUUUAUAGCUUUCUACAUUCUUAUUUUAAAUAUUAGCACAUUGUAAUUUUUAAAAUCAUCCUAUUUUUAGCAUUGUACCCUCACUUAUCUUUCUGUUACAACAUUGAAACAUCAAAUUUAUUUUUUCUCAUCUAUGCAGUUUUACUUUGAAAAAUCGUCAAUUUAUAGCAUUCUAUUUUCAGUUUUCUAAAUAUUAACAUAUUGCAUUUUGAAAAUGUUCUCCUUUUUAGCAUUAUGCUUUCACUUUCCUUUUUGUUACAACAUUGAAACAUCAAACUUUUUUUUAUCGUCUAUGUACUUUACUUUGAAAAAUCAUCACAUUAUAGCAUUAUGCUUUUACUUUUCUUAUUAUUAGCACAUUGUCAUUUCAAAAGUCUUCACAUUUUUAGCGCUGUAUUCUCAAUUUGUUUUUUGUUACAUUAGGAUUGGAAUUAUGAAAAGAAAGAUGAUAUAUGUAUUACAUUCAAAAUAUCCAAUGUUUCAAGGAUCCCAUGAUUAUGUUCUAUCAUAAUAAUAACUUUGCAAAUAGAUUAAUGACAACAAGAUUGAAUCCUUGUACUAAUAAGUACCAUUUGAAUAUUUAUGCAUCAUAUAUGUUAAUGUGCUUUGAGGAUAUGAUUAGUAUGAUAAGGUUAAGUAUGGAUAAUAGGUGCUAAUUUUAGACUUUAUCUGGUCUUUCUAUAAUAAAAUUGAAACAUGAACCUACUUUUUUCUCAUCUAUGCAUUUUACUUUGAAAGGUUUUCUAACUAUAGCAUUCUGCUUUUAGUUUUCAUAUUAUUAGCACACUGCGUUUUCAAAAAUUAUCUCAUUUUUAGCAUUGUACUUUUGCUUUUCUUUUCGUUAUAACAUUGAAACCCUAGACUUCUUUUUUAUAUUCAAUUCAUAGUAUGAAAAUUCUGAAUUACACUUUCACUUUUUUUUUGUCACAACUUUGAAACAUAAAAACUUCUUUUUCCCCAUCUAUGCAUUUUACUUUGAAAAAUCUUCUAAUUAUAGCAUUCUACUUUCAGUUUUUAUAUAAUUAGCACAUUGUAUUUUAAAAAAUCGUCUCAAUUUUAGCAUUGGUUUCACUUUCCUUUCUGUCUCAGUUUCAGUUUUCUUACUUUCUGAUUUCAUAUUAUUAAUGCAUUGCAUUUUUUUCAAAAUCAUCUCCAUUUAGAGUUGUAAUCUAACUUUUCUUUCUGUUACAAAAUUGAAACAUCAAACUUUUGUUUUUUUCAUCCAUGCAUUUUACUUGUUAAUACCAUCCUAUAAUAGCAUUUUACUUUAAUUUUUUUUAUUAUUAGCAUAUUGUAAUUUCAAAAAUCAUCCCAUGAUUAUGUUCUCUCAUUAUGAUAGCAUAGCAAAUAGAUUAACAACAAGAAGGUUAGGAAGAUGAGGAUAAGUAUGGAUAAUAGGUGUUAGUUUUAGACUUUAUUUUGUAAUAAUAACAUAGUAAAGAUUAAUGCCGACAAGAUUGGAUCUUUGUACAAAUAAGUAUUGUUUGUAUAUUUAAGCAUCAUAUAAGUAUAUGUGCUUUAUGGAUAUGAUUAGUAUAAUGAGUUUAAGUAUGGACAAUAGGUGUUAGUUUUAGACUUUAUUUAGUAAUGAUCUAGGAAUAUGGAUAAUCAUGGACAUAUUGUGAGUUAUGGAUUAAGGAAAAGAUGAAAUAUGUAUUACAUGUGAAACGACCAAUGUUUUAAGGAUCCCAUGCUUAUGUUUUAUCAUAAUAAUAACAUAUCAGAUAGAUUAAUGACAACGAGAUUGGAUCUUUAUACUAGUAAGUAUUAUUUUAAUAUUUAAGCAUCAUGUAUGUAUAUAUGUGCUUUGAGGAUAUGAUUAGUAUGAUGAUGUUAAGUAUGGAUAAUAGGUGUUAAUUUAAGACUUUAUCUGGUAAUGAUAUAGGAAUAUGAUGAUAUAUAGAUUAACGAAAAGAAGAAUUUAAAAUGUAAGUAUAUGAAUAAAUUAUAAAGUGGUCUUAGCAGGAUGUCAAUGAUUGAGGAUUUGAAGGGUAGGAACGUAUCAUAUUCUUAAGAUUAUUUGUAAGUCGAGGAUGAUGUAAGCCUUGGGUGUCAUAAUUAAAAUAAUUAGACAAGAGAAGUAUGAUUCUUCUAUUUUGAUGUUAAAUACUUCAUAUAAAAAGUACAAGUUAAAUUUAGUUUUAAUGUCAUGAUAUAUAAUGAUCGCUUCAGGUAUGAAUGAUAAUACAUGAUACAUAUAAGGACAUUGUUAAAUUUUGGUUUUCUUAUAUUUAGCAUAUUGAAUUUCAAAAACUCAUCCCAUUUUUAGCAUUUUACUUUCACUUGUCCUUUUGGUAACACCGUUUAAAGUAGAAACUUCUUUUUUCUUAUCUAUGCAUUUUACUUUGCAAAAUCUUCCAAUUAUAGCAUUUUACUUUUUGUUUUUUUAUGAUAAGCACAUUGCAUUUUAAAAAAUGAUACCAUUUUUAGCAUUCUGUUAUCACUUUAUUUUUGUUGCAACAUUGAAACAUCAAACUUCUUUUUCUUAUCUAUGCAUUUUACUUUGAAAAAUCUUUCAAUUGUAGCAUUCUUUUAUCCAUUUUCAUAUUAUUAGCUAAUGGCAUUUUUUAGAAAUCAUCUCAUUGUCUAGAAUUGGACUCACUUUCAGUUCUAUUACAACAUUGAAACAUCAAACAUUAUUUUAUCAUCUAUGUAACUACUUUAAAAAAUCAUCAUUAUUACACUCUUCGGUUUUUUAUUAUUCACACAUUGAAUUUUCAAAAAUCAUUUAACUUUUAGCGUUGUACAAUCACUUUACAUUCUGUUACAACACUUAUCCAUAAAACUUCUUUUCCUUGUCUAUGCAGUUUACUUUAAAAAAUCAUCCAUUUAUAGCAUUCUACUUUCAGUCUUUAAAUAUUAAACAUUGCAUUUUAAAAUCAUCCCAUUUUAGCAUUGUGCUUUCACUUUCAUUUCUGUUACGACGCUAAAACAUGAAACCUUUUUUGAUGUCAUCUUUGUAGUUAACUUUAACAAAUCAUCCAUUUAAAGCAUUCUAUUUUUAGUUUUCUAAAUAUUAACACUCUCCAGUUUUAAAAAUUAUUCCAUUUUUAGCAUUUUGUUUUAACUUUCCUUUAUGUUAAAACAUUGGAUUUUCAAAAACCAUCCCGUUUUUAGCAUUGUACUCACUUUCCUUUUUGUUAUAACUUUGAAAUAUCAAACUUUUAUUUUUUUCUCAUCCAUGCAUUAUACUUUGAAAAAUAUCCAAUUAUAUCAUUCUACAUUAAGUUUUCUUAUUAUUAACACAUUGUAUUUUCAAAAAUCUUCCCAUUAUUAGGAUUGUACUCAAUUUUCUUUCUUUUACAACAUUACUUUGAAAUAAACAUGAACCAAUGAAGGGGAUGCUAUAAAUGAACAAAUGACAUGAAAGAUGAAAUGUUUAUUACAUGUUAAACGAUUACAUGUUAAAUGAAGGGGAUUGUACUCAAUUUUCUUUCUUUGUACAAAUAAGUACCAUUUAAAUAUUUAAGCAUCAUAUGUAUAUGUUCUUAGAGGAUAUUUUCAAAAAUCGUCCCAUAUUUAGCAUUAUACUUUUUUCUUUCUGUUACAACCUUGAAACAUCAAGCUUUUUUUUCCUCAACUAUGCAUAUUAUUUUGGAAGAAACAUUAACCAAUCAAGGGGAUGCUAAGAAUGAACAAAUGACAAAAGAUUUAUUUACAUGAAGCAUAGCUUUAUUGUAGGAAUACAUUAGGAUUAGAAUGAUGGCACAAAAGAUGAAAUAUGUAUUACAUGAGAAUUAACCAAUGUUUUAAUGAUACCGUGAUUAUGUUAUAUCAUGGUAAUACCCUAGCAAAUAGAUAAAUGACAAGAAGAUUGGAUCUUUAUAUUGAAAAGUUCCAUUUGAAUAUUUAAGCAUCUUAUAUGUAUAUGUGCUUUGAGGAUAUGAUUAGUAUGAUGAGGUUAAGUAUGGAUAAUAGGUGUUAGUUUUAGACUUAUUUCGGUAAUGAUCUAGGAAUAUGAUGAAAUAUGGACAUAUGGUGAUAUAUGGAUUGAGGAGAAAAAGGACUUUAGAAGUUUAAGCAUAUUAAUAAAUCAUAAAGUUGUCGUAGCAGGAAGAUUUUUGGUAUAUGUAAGCCUUGGGUGUCAUGAUUAGACAAGAGAAGUAUGAUUCUUCUACUUUGAUGUUAAAAACUUCAUAGAGAAAGUAUAAAGCCAGAUUUAGUCGUAUUAUUAGCAUAUUGAUGUUAAAAAAUUCAUAGAAAAGUAUGAUUCUUCUACUUUAAUCACUUUAGGUGUGAAUGAUAAUAAAUGAUGCAUAUAGGUACACUAUUAAAUUUUUAUUUUCUUAUUAUUAGCAUAUUAAAUUUUAAAAAACUAUCCAUUUUUAGCAUUUUUCUUUCACAUGUCUUUCUAUAACAACAAUGAAACAUGAAACAUCUUUUUUCUUAUAUAUGCAUUAUACUUUGAAAAAUUUUCGAGUUAUUGCAUUCUACUUACACUUGAUAUAAGCACAUUGCAUUUUUAAAAUAUACCAUUUUUAGCAUUGUACUUUCACUUUUCUUUUUGCUACAAUAUUGAAACAUUAAAUUUCUUUUUUUUCUCAUCUAUGCAUUUUACUUUGAAAAAUCUUCCAAUUGUAGCAUUGUACUUUAAGUUCCAUAUUAUUAGCAUAUUGCAAUUAUUAAAAAUCAUCUCAUUUUUACAAUUGUACUCACUUUCCUUUCUGUUACAACAUUGAAAGAACAAACUUUUUUUAAUCUUAUAUCUAGUUUACUUUAAAAAAUCAUCACAUUAUUAUACGUGUUAGUUUAAGACUUUAUCCGGUAAUGAUCCACAAAUAUGAUUAGUUAUGGACAUAUGGUGAUAUUUAGAUUUAAGAAAAAAAGGAAUUUAGAAUGUUAAGUGUAUGAAUGAAUCAUAUAGUGGUUUUAGCACGGAGUCAAGGAUUAAGGAUUUGAAACACCAGACUUUUUAUUUUUUUUCAUCUAUGCAUUUUACAUUGAAAUUUUUUCAAAUUAUAACAUUCUAGUUUUAGUUCUUUAUUAUUAUUACCACAUUGCAUUUUAAAAAUUAUCCCAUUUUUAGCAUCGUACUUUGAUUUUUCGUUUUAUCAGCACAUUGGAUUUCAAAAAACAUCCCAUUUUUAGCGGAUUGACGAAACCCAUUAAGCAAUUUUCAAAUGCUGAUCCAAACCCGACCUGUAACCUGUAUGGUUAUGAGUAAUUAAACUCAUACCCUUAUCCACCCGGAUCAACGAAUUUUCAACCCUUUUACUCUACUCAUUUACGAUAUUAAGAUUAUGCUAUAAGUUAUGCAUUACAACACAUGUAAAAUGGAUUGCUAAAACCAAAAAACAUUCAUUCCAAAACAACUUUAUUUAUAGCUUAAUAUCCAAAACAAAACAAAUGUCUACUAUUGCAAAAAUGCAAUUUCAAUAACACAUGAUUUCAGUAUGGCACGAUUUUAAGAAGUCCCCCGAUUUUAAGUCAUGAUUUUGGUAAAGUAACACAAGAUUUUAGUAACGAGUAAAGUAGCAACAAACGAUUUCAACAGGUCACAAUUUCAAUAACACACAAUUGGAAUAGAGAAGAUAUUAAUCGGUUAUAUUAGAAUUUUAGAAAACAAACUAUAUUGUGGAAUGUCGAUUGCAGAAAACCCUUCUACGAAACGAGAUAGUUUGAAUCCUUUUUUUUUUCCUUAUCCAUGCAUUUUACAUUGAAAAAUCAUCAAAUUACAGCAUUUUACGUUGUACUCUCAAUUUUCAAAAACCAUCCCAUUUUUGCAUUGUACUCUCAAUUUUCUUUCUGUUAUAACAUUUAAACAUCAAACUAUUUGUUUUAUCAAUGCAUUUACUUUGAAAAAUCAUCCAUUUAUAGCAGUUUACUUUUGUUUUCUAUAUUAGCACAAUGUAUAUUUAAAAAUACUAUGACACGUUUCAGCAAGGACGCUAGGAGGCCAUUAUCAUUACAAUUUUUUUCACUUCAAUUGUUCUGAUACUAAGAUAAUAAAUCAUACAACAUACAAUAUUGCAAUUUAUAAACUUCAAAUUCUGAAAAAGAGGAUCUGUGUGUGCUCAUUCAAAAUAACCUUGAAUUCACCAAGAAAAGAAACAAGAUAACAAAGACAUUCUUCCAAUAAAAAAAUCAUUAUGUUGUUGUAGGGCUUUGAGCUAUGGGUGCUUCCACCUCAACUAAGGCAACAUGAUUCUUCAUAAACUAAAACUUUAAUUUUAUCAAUUCCAUAUGAAGUUUAUAAAAUAUGUUGGUGAUAGUUUAAAGUCCUAUCACAUGCUUGCUUUUUUUUUGUUUAUCUUUGCUUGUAAUAAAUGGAAAUAGGCUUUGUAAGGCGAUAAAGAAUCAUUUUUUUGUACAUGGUGUACCAUUAAACUCACCCUAGUUGUUCAAAUUGUUUUGGAUUCAGAUAAGAAUUAAUCAUUGUUUAUUGUUGUAUAUUUCUUCAAAGAUUAUAACACAUCAAUAAACUUGAUUACUCUGAUUUAUGCUUGGAAUACUCUUGGAAAUUUAUUCUGUAAUUCCUAUUGGUCUUCAGUUCUCCAAAGCAAAAAAAUUUUCAAAUAAACUUGAGUUCCUUUUGAACUUUGCAAUUUAAUUUCUUGUGUGGUGUUUUUGUAGCUUGCAAUCUUCUAUUUGAAAACAUAGUUUCUACUUCAUCUAUUUAUGCUAUUUAGAUUUUAUAUCUUCAUCCAACUGGAUUCUUCAUAAACUAAUAUCAACUUUGAAAACAUAUUAUUGUUAUUCAUCAUCGGCUUUAUUGAUAUAUGAGGUUUGCAUCAGUCGAUUAUGAUGAGAAAUUUUAAGAACAUAUAAUUGCCAUGAGGUUGACCUUUUUUGACUUUUCUUAUUGAACUGGAUACACAUAUUUGUGGAAUCUUUGUUAUUUGUUGACUUCCACACACUUCUAUUUUCCAGUUUAAUCGUUAUGAUUAGAUUUAAUUAUGUUUGUCGAGCAACAAUAGAUGGUAGAGGUGCUAACACGAGUAUGUACUCAACCCCACAGUAAGCAAAGCGAUCGAUUUGUAAGAUUCCAUGCUUUUUGUUGCAUACUUAUUUGUUCAACUUUCAUAGUCCAUAUUGAAAAUUAAAACGGGGUUUAUCUUAUUUUGCUAUUAUGUUGCUUUUUGGGGCUGAAAUUCUUGAACAAAGAAUUCUAAAAUUUAUGUUCUACCUAGAAUCAAGGGACGAAGUAGCUAAAAGCUUGGAACUAGGGUUUAUGAUGAUCAAUAAAAAUGGUUUAUUGGAGGGCCGCUUCUCUAUGUAGAGCUUAUUUUUUGUUCCUAAAAUGCUCAUGUACUUUUUAUGGUUUUACGGGCAUAUUUCAUAUUUUUUUUGUGGUUUUGUGGUUGGAAUUGAUAUGAAAAAAUUAAAGAGUGUUUGCUUCAUACACUAUAUGCUUUGUUUAAAUUACUUAUGUUUGUAAAAUGUUUAAGUUAUUACAAUAUUUAUUUAGAUACAGCUUUGUCGGUUAUUUACGUAUAUGUAUUAUUAAUUUUUUUUUCUUUUUAUAACUAUGAUGAAAUAAAUUUUUUGUAUUUUAUGUGUGAAAAAUAAAGAUGAGACUAAUUAAAUAUGAUGUAUGUUUUAAAAAAGGACUAAUUAAAUGAGGGAGUUUAUAUAACAUUUUCCAUAGAUAAAAUAAAUUAGUUAAUUUUUUUAGUCAUAAAAUAAGUUAAACCCGGCAAACUAAUACAAAGUAUACCAAUUAUCUUUCAUUUUUAACUUACAAAACAACUCAGGUUAACAAUUCUUUUAUCUCUCAGCAUACACGCAUAAUAUCAGCAUCAUUUAAUCAUAAAGAUUAAAUCAAAGUCGAUGUAUACAAACUCACAUAAAUCCUUUCAAAAAAAUACAACGAUUAUCAACUAUGUUCUUUUGUCGGAAAAAAAAUCAUAAAUGGUCCAUGUGGUUUCUCCAAAUCUGAAGUUUAGUCCUCGUGGUUUAAAAAUAUCAUAGAUGAUCACUAUGCUUUCAAAACUUUUGACGAUUGGUCUUUAUUGCUAACUCCAUUAAGUUUUAUCUGUUAACAGAAGGACAUUUUCGUCAUUUCACUACCAUAGGGACCAUUUAUGAUGUUUUCUCUUAUUUUAAAAAAAAUGAAAAAAAAAAAAAUAAUAUGCAAUGGGGGUCUUUUAACACAUUUCUGUUUUAGAAAAUGAAAGCAUACACACAUAAAUCGCUUUCUGGGGAUGAAUAAGCACAAAUCGAUUUAUGGUGAUGAAUAAACAAAAAUCAAUUUCCAAAAUGAAACAUACAUACUCGACUAUAGAUAAAAUUUAUGGGUUUUCUUUUGAGCUGCAGAAACAAUUUUAGAUUUAUGAGUGUGCGUUUUUAAGAACAAACGAAAAAAUCUAGUGGGAGAGGGUGUGUGUUUGUAUAUGUGUUCAUAAGUGUGUAUUAUUUCAUUUUUAAAUAAGAGAAAACAUCAUAAAUGGUUCAUGUGGUAGUGAAAUGACGAAAAUGUCCUUCUAACUACAAAACUUAAAAGAGUUAGCAAUAAAGACCAAUUGUCAAAAGUUUUGAAAGCAUAGGAACAAUCUAUGAUGUUUUUAAACCAUGGGGGCUAAAUUUCAGAUCUGAGAAAACCAUAGUGACAAUUUAUGUUUUUUUUUCUUUUUUGAUACAAAGGCUCGCCACAAUCAAUCAACAAUAUAAGUUAUGGUUUACAUCCACAUAGGCCUAUUAAAAUCAUCUGGUUAUAGAAUUACAUCCACAAAGGUUAUUAUUGUCAUUUAACAUACAAAAAUCGCAUUACAACCAUUAAUACUACCAAUAUCAUUAAACAACAUACAUCAAUGGUAUUACGGCCCAACGGCUACCAUUAUAUUACAACAUUAACAAACAAUGGUAUUAUGGCCCCAAAAUUAAAAGAAAAGUUUAAAAGUUUAAAAGUAAUCGUUGGACAGUAAGAUUUAAAGUUGAAGAUAAAAGUUGAAAAUAUUUAAAAUGAAGAGUUAAAAUUAAAAUAAAAUAAUAAUAGAGUUUAAUUCCUAAGUUAAAAAAAAAAUUGAAAAAGUUUAGGAUUUCAAAUAAAUAUGGCUUGUAUUUUAAUUUAAGUUUUAUAGUAUUUAAUAUUAUACUUAAAUUUUAUAAACUAAUUUAAAAGGAGUCUUUGGACAAACAGAUUUAAAGUCCAUUUAAAAUUUUGAUUUAUGUUUUAAAUUUCACCUCAUACUUAAAUUAACAUGUUAUAUGUAUAUUAAAUUAAUAGUUUUAAUGUGGUAGAAUUGAAAUAUAAUAUUUUAUAUCUGGUUUAAACAAAUAAGUUAAGUAUCCAAAUUGAAAAAUAAAGAGUUAACAUAAUAAUAAUAAUAAUAAUAAUAAUAAUAAUAAUAAUAAUAAUAAUAAUAAUAAUAAUUUUAAUUUAAUAAUUAAAAGAGAAAUUAANNNNNNNNNNNNNNNNNNNNNNNNNNNNNNNNNNNNNNNNNNNNNNNAAAAUUCAAAAUUAAGAAAAUCAAAUAUAUCUGAAAAUUCAAAACUUUUUAUUAAUUAAACUUGUGUUUCCUAAUUAGUAAAUUUUUGGUAAAUUAAGAAAGUGAAUGUUACCUAUUUAUGCAUACAAUAACACAAUAAUCACUUUCUUAAUUUACCAAAAAUGAUUGGCCCACAUUUAUGCAUACAAUAACACAAUAAUUACUUUGAAUAGAAUAACUUAGGCAUAUAUAUAUAUAUAUAUAUAUAUAUAUAGUGAGAGAGAGAGGUUUUGUUAAGAUUAAAAUUAAAAUAGAGAUCUUGAAAUUCAACCUCAGCCACAUAUUUCAAGUCUGUCGCUCUAACCCUCCGGCGUACCGACGCGACAAACGUGUUAUAAUCAUAAAUGAUUAUAUAGCGUCACCCGUUCCUUUCUCCUCCACCACCACCCCAACCACCACCGCCACCACCACUACCACCACCUCUGACACCAACUGACCCCACCACUGUCAAUUAUAUCACUUAUACCACCAACACCUCUGUCAACACCACCUUUUUUGCCACCAACUGUAAUAAUCAUAUAUGAUUACUCAGUCUAUGAAUAGACAUAUAUGCAUAUUCAUUUAUGAUUAUGCAUACGGUACUGUUGUCGAUACAUUGGAGCGUUAGAACGGCAAAUCAUAAAUGUAAUAUAUUUCUCACUUUGUACAUAUUUGGUCCUUAAUAUUUUUGUACACAUUUAGUCCUUAAUUUCUUUUUUGUUGCAAAAUAAUUUAUUUUGGUUUUUGUGCUCAUUCAAUACUUAUGAAUGAUUUAUUUAGGUUUUUCUCACAAAAUGUUACGUGGAACGAUCAUUAACAAGGUGUUUUAGGGUUUUGAUGUUUAUGUCCAUCACGAUCUCGACUACUUGGUUGCUUAGGUCAUGUCUCAUGUGUUUUGAACAUCAUAAGUUUUUCAUACUAUCUCGGAUUUUAACGAUUAUUAUAGGGAUAACAAACAAAAACCCGAACCCGACGGGGAAACCCAAAACUUGAUUAUUUCGGGUCGGUUAACGAGUUUUUAUCAGGUUGGCAGGGAGUGGGUUAUCCUCGCCCCGACCCGUCCCGCCCCGAUAAAAUACCCGAAAGAUACCAGGGCGGGUUUGGGAAACCAUGCCCCACCCCGAACCCGCCCGUUUCCAUUCCUAGAUCUUUCUAUCUAUGCGUUUGUAUUUUAGUCUACUACAACUUUCGUUUAGAUUACUUCCGUUAAAAAGUAAUAUAUUUUUUACUUACGAUCUUUAUAUCCAUACAUUUUUUAUGAAUGCAUGUAUGGAUGUUUUUUUAUAAAAUCGUAAGUAAAAACAUAUUAUAUUUUAACGGGAGUAAUCUUAACAAAAGUUAUAGCAGACUUAAAAAUUGAACACAUGGAUAUAAAGAUCAUUGAAAUCAGAUAUCGUAUGAAAAAUUUACGACGUUCGGAACACAAAACCUAAGCCAAACCACAAGAGCUAAGCAAUCAAGCAGUCGAGACCGCGAUGGACAUAAGCAUCAACAACCCCAAACACCUCAUCAAUGAUAGUCUAACGUAAGAUGUCAUGAGAAAAACCCUAAAUAAAUCAUUCAUAAGUACUGAAUGAAUACAAAAACAAAAAGAGACUUAUUUUAAAAUAAAAAAAUAUUAAAGAUUAAAUGUGUACAAAAUGAGAAAUAUAUUACCCUAAUAAAUCAUUUUUCCCGGCUAAAAUGGAAUAACCGGUCACAAGGAUUGAAUGUGUACAGUUUAACAAGUUGAAGGGGUAAAUGUGGACGAAAAAAACUCAGUGACCAAAUGUGUAUAAAUCGAAAAAUAUAUUACCCUUUAAGUCAUUAUCCCAAUAGAAAAUAAAAAAUAAAAUGAAUAAGGACAAAGUAUUCUUUUUAUUUUAUGUGUAUGAGAGGUCAACCAUAGAUAUUACUCCAAAUUUUAAGUCAUUCUACUAAUUUACUUAAAGUCAAUGAUGAUAAAAUAAAAUGACAAUAAAUAAAAUUAUAGAAAAAUCACAUAAGUCAUUCUACUAAAUUACUCAACGUCAAUGAUAAUAAAAUAAAACGAAAAUAAAUAAAAUUAUAGAAGAUUGAUUUUGUAAUUAUGUAUACAAUUAAUUUUAAAUUGGCUUAUCUAUUGUAUAAGUUUCAAGUUGGUGGUUUUAUGGUUUGGUUUAUAUGUCCGAUUUUGGCUAAAAAUAUAUGAUUCGUCGGUUACUUCUACACAUCGAUUCUUGCCGUUUUUGCUUCCAAGAAGUUCGGCGUUCUCCACCACUUUUCAUUACCGGUUUAAAAAAAGUGGCUUUUCUAUUCUUUGCAUCGACGGUCUCUUCCUACCGCUUCCCCCCUUUUCUUCUCCGUCUCUAUAUCAUUCUCUCUCUAAUCAACAAUAGAUCGAUACACAGACUGAAUCUAUCAAUCAGUCAACCAUAAUGGAGGAUUUGGUGUCUUUGUGACUUUUUUUAUGUACCCGUGUGUUCCGACAUGUCAUACUUCCUUGCUUCAUCCGCUUUUCGAUCACAAUGGUGUCCUCCACCGUUUCUAUUCCAUACUAACCUUACUCCAGCACACCACUGACUCAUUUCAAUGGGCCAUAGAAGAAUCAGUGGCCUUAACUUUUUGCUUAUGUGGAAUUCAAUAAAUGAUGAUUUGGCAAUAUAAAUGUCAAAUCAUUAUUGAAAGCUAAUCUACCUCUACCUCCCCUAAUAAACAAAACCAAAAAAUGCCACAUGUCCCUUUUCUAGCUACGUUAUUUGACACAUGCCAAUUUAUAGGUUUUCUAAUUUACGUUAUUUUCCAUGUGUCAUCUGAUUUACCUAUUUUAUGGCUUCCCGCUCAAUCUCUUCCGAUUUCUUAGCUUGGUCAUUUCAAAAUGGUUUCCAUGAAUAUCUCCCAAAUAUACGCACACAUUUAUUGCUAUUCUGCUUCGUAUUCAAAUUUCAAUUUGAGAAAAUGGCAACGCUAUUUAUUUCAUAUUUAAAAUCCCGUAUUCUAAAUUCAAUUUAGAAAUUUGUUUGAGUUCAUAUUUGGAUUGAACAGCUAAUUAGAAUCAUCUGAUGGAAUUGGACGUAUUGUUAAUGCAUCUUUUUCAUAUCAAAUGAGAGGUAAUUCUUCAUCUGUAACAUCUUUUAUUCGGUAAUUACUUUCUCUAAUUUUUGCUACUAUUAACCAUUUUCGUGUUUGACUUUUGACAAAGAAUGUGCGGUUUGAUUUUGUGGAUUUGGCAUAGCUUCUGUUGUUUGAUUCCCGAUCGAGAGAGAUAGAGUUGGAGAGAGCACACACGAUUGAUGGAGAUAUAAAUGUUAAUUAUAUGAGAAUAAUCUAGGGUUUUUGGUUUUCUGCUUCAGAUUGAUGGAGAUGGAGGGGGAAUGUGCUGCAGGAGAAGAGGUUCAACAAGGUACAAACAAUAUUCAUUUGAUAUGUAUUUCUUUUUAUUAAUAAUUUUUCCAUUACAUUGGGAUUGAUAUUAUAUUACCUCACGUAUAUGAAUUUAGUGUGUUCCAUUUCCUACUGGUUUUGUUUUUAUUUUGGCACAUUCUGGUGCUCAAUCGCUUAAUGUUGCAGGAAAAAAUAUUGGCAUUUUGAUUUUAAGGCCAGACCACUACUUUUCCAAUUGAAAACUGAUCUGUAAUGGAACCCGUUGCAUAUAAUUGUAAGUAUUGAAACUACACCUUUUCUUGAUGAUGUGAAGUUGAAUGUAGGGUUAUUAGGUCUUCAUAACUAGAUUAUGCAUCUACUUACAGUAUGCAACAACCAAAAUGAAAGUACAUACCUUUUGAGUUCCAUAGUUUGGAGUUGUGAUAAUUUAAUCCAAAACAUAAAGGCAAAGCUUUUUAGGUGUCAUUUUCUUGAGUAAUUUAAAUUCUAAACAAGACUUUGAAGUCUAAAGUUGAUUUCAACCACUUGUAUCCAAAAAGAAGUUUAUAUUCACAAUCGUUAAAAAUCUUGAUUAUUUUAGGCCUCUUGGCCAUGGAUGUAUUCUAAAAAGGGCAGAGUAUAUUGCGGUAUUGCUAUAAUGCUAAUUCCUUUAAUUUGCCCUAUUUUUAUGUUAAAUGAUGCAUUUAAUUGUUGAAGGGUUUUUUUUUUUAAUAUGGGAUUAUGGGAUUUAAGGAAAAAUUAUUCUAUUUUUUCAGGUGCUUUUAUUCCAGAAAGCAGCUCAUGAUUCACAUUUUAAGACCAACUCGUGGUGACUGAUGUUUCUAAUGCUGGAAAUUGCUCUCAAGCUUGGCUGUUUUUUUAUUUGGCUUUUGAUUUCAUCUACCAAGCUUGAAUGCAUGAAGUGCUGAAGUGCUCUGUAUCCUCUUCUGAUUGUUUGCUAUUGUCAUGUGUCCUGUGGAAGUCUAAAGUCCAUUGCUCUCUAAAUGGUUUGCCUUUGGUCCUUGCUGGUGGUUGCUCUCAAGAUUGGUUUGAUAAAGUUUGGAGUUUGAUCUCAUCCAUCUCGAUUGAAUGAUGUGAAUACUCUAUUGAUCUUUUUUUUUUUUCUAUUGUUAUGUUCCUUUUCAAAAGCCCAAAGUUUCACAUUUUAAUUGGGUUGAUCUUAAUUUUCCUGGUGGUGUUUUUGUUGAUACUAUACUACGCUAAAAAAUGUUCAAUUCUAUUCUUGGGGUUUGGUCCUCCCUUGGUGCUCUUUCAAGGAUCAUGUGUUUCUUAUGUUAUGUUUUGUAUUUGUUGGACUCCAAAUUUCGUCACAUCAAAAUAAUGAAGCAAUAGAGAUGUAAGGGAUUGAUCCCCAUAUCUCCAUUAUAACAAAGCAUAAUUCCAUUAUUUGACCUAUAUUGCAUUUUUUAUAAUUUCAAUCUACUUUAUAUUUGAUUUUGUGUUAUAUAUUACUUUAUUAAAUAGACAAAAUUGCAAAAAUGGUCCCUGUGGUAUGCAUUUUUGUGGGGUUUUAGUCCAAACUCCGACUUUUUUGGGUUCGUGGUCAUUUUGAGCUAGUUUCAUUGUGGAUUUGGUUUCUCCGUAAACUAAAUGACUUUAAUAUCCUUGGGUAUUUAUUUUGUAUUUCUAAAUUCAUUUUUUUUAAGUUUUAAUAAUUAUUUUUUCAUUUUAGUAAUUAAAAAAAUGAAAAGGCUCUCUCUCUCUCUCUCUCUCUCUAGAUCGUUUCUCAACUUGUUCAACAUUAGAUUAUCGAUCGAGGAAGUUGAUCUUGAUAUCUAGACUUUUGUUUAUGAAUCAGGCGCAAAUUCUUUCUUUCCACAAAGAUUAACAGCAUAUGUGAUGUUUGGGUCGGUUUGCUUGACAGUAUGAUUCAUGACUUCAAAUUCAAGGUUGGGGUGGUCGGAUUUGGCAGGUAGAUCGAUGUUCCUCAUCUUUUUCUAAGGUCUCCAUUAGAUGGAAAUGGGAGCAAUAACAAGGUCUGAUGGAAGCACAAACAAACAGGAGAUGUAAAUACCCCUAAAUCAAUAUGUCAUCGAAUCCCUCUCAGGUCCCCAUACCUUCGUCUUCACUAGAAUUUUGUGUUAUAUAUUACUUUAUUAAAUAGACAAAAUUGCAAAAAUGGUCCCUGUGGUAUGCAUUUUUGUAGGGUUUUAGUCCAAACUCCGAAUUUUUCGGGUUCGUGGUCCUUUUGAGCUAGUUUCAUUGUGGAUUUGGUCCCUCUGUAAACUAAAAUGACUUUAAUAUCCUUGGGUAUUUAUUUUCUAUUUCUAAAUUCAUUUUUUUAAGUUUUAAUAAUUGUUUUUUCAUUUUAAUAAUUAAAAAAAUGAAAAGGCUCUCUCUCUCUCCAUAUUGUUUCUCAACUUGUUCAACAACAGAUUAUCGAUCGAGGAAGUUGAUAUGGAUAGCUGGACUUCUGUUUAUGAAUCAGGCACAAAUUCUUUCUUUCCACAAAGAUUGAUACCAUAUGUGAUGUUUGGGUCGGUUUGCUUGACAGUACGAUUCAUGACUUCGAAUUCAAGGUUGGGGUGGUCGGAUUUGGCAGGUAGAUCGAUGUUCCUCAUCUUUUUCUAAGGUCUCCAUUAGAUGGAAAUUGGAGCAAUAACAAGGUCUGAUGGAAGCACAAACAAGCAGGAGAUGUAAAUACCUCUAAAUCAAUAUGUCAUCGAAUCCUUCUCAGGUCCCAUAACUUCGCCUUCACUAGAAUUUUGUGUUAUAUAUUACUUUAUUAAAUAGAAAAAAUUGCAAAAAUGGUCCCUGUGGUAUGUAUUUUUGUGGGGUUUUAGUCCAAACUCCGACUUUUUCGGGUUCGUGGUCCUUUUGAGCUAGUUUCAUUGUGGAUUUGGUCCCUCCGUAAACUAAAAUGACUUUAAUAUCCCUGGGUAUUUAUUUUCUAUUUCUAAAUUCAUUUUUUUUAAGUUUUAAUAAUUAUUUUUUCAUUUUAAUAAUUAAAAAAAUGAAAAGCCUCUCUCUCUCUAGAUCGUUUCUCAACUUGUUCAACAUCAGAUUAACGAUCAAGGAAGUCGAUCUUGAUAUUUGGACUUUUGUUUAUGAAUCAGGCGCAAAUUAUUUCUUUCCACAAAGAUUGACAGCAUAUAUGAUGUUUGGGUCGGUUUGCUUGACAUUACGAUUCAUGACUUCGAAUUCGAGGUUGGGGUGGUUGGAUUUGGCAGGUAGAUCGAUGUUCCUCAUCUUUUUCUAAGUUCUCCAUUAGUUGGAAAUUGGAGCAAUAACAAGGUCUGAUGGAAGCACAAACAAGCGGGAGAUGUAAAUACCCCUAAAUCAAUAUGUUAUCAAAUCCCUCUUAGGUCCCCAUACCUUCGUCUUCACUAGAAUUCAACACUAGUGUAACUAGGGUUUCAUCGGCAUACAAUAAUCUUUACACGCCACCAUCACCGUCUCAUACACUUUAAUGAUCGUUCUUCAUCAGCUAGGCACCAAUUUCAGCUCGAAAAAAUAAGUCAAAAGGAAAAAUCGAGGUCUUGGUUCUUGUGUGAUUCAACCGAUCGAUCUACAUCAGCCAACAAACACCAUAUCGAUAUGUCAUCUGCAACUCUGAGAAAAAAAACAUACGGAAAAAAUAGAAGGGCACCACAGAUAUCCAUUUCUCGUCAUGUCCAUCUUCUUGGCUGCGUGAAAGAUCCGUGAUAGUUUGAUUUGGGUUUUUUGGUUCAAUUUCUUUUUUUUGGAGACACGAACCUGAUUUUAGAUUUCUAAAAGAUUUGUGAUGAACAUGAUUCUGGAUUGCUUGUUUGGUUUCAAUUUAAUUAUUUCUUGGAAAUUGGAACGUAAAAGGGAUCAAGGGUUUCUUACUUGAUUUUCAGUUUUCCUUGUUUUGUGAAGAAGACGAGAGAGAGAGAGAGAGAGAGAGAGAGAGAGAGAGAGAGAGAGAGAGAGAGAGAGAGAGAGAGAGAGAAAGAGAAAUGAAAGAAAAAUAGAAAAUAAAUACCCCAAGGGCAUUACAGUCAUUUCAAUUUACCGAGGGACCAAAUCCGCAAUGAAACUGGCUCAAAAGAACCACGAACCAAAAAAAGUCGGGGUUUGGACUAACACUCCAAAAAAAUGCAUACCAUAGGGACCAUUUUUGCUAUUUUGUCUAUUAAAUAUCAUGAACUGUUGGGUCUAAAAUUGGUUUAUACUUUUCUUUUCUAAGCAUUUAUUGUUUUAUCAUUUGGGCCAAAAACUAAUAUUGGGAUUAAUUGUAGCUUGGACCGAAAACCCAUGAGUUUUCGGUCUAGCAUUGGGUUUUCAGUUCGGCCUUAAGUUUGUGGCCCAUGUAUAUAUAUAGGUGUUAGGUGGGUGAGGUGAAAAGAACUCUCUAGGUGCUUAAGUGUGUGUUCGUAAGGUGAGAGAGAAAGUUAGAGAGAAGAGAGUGUGUGUGUGUGUGUGUGUAUGAAUCUAUAUGUAUGGAGCUUCAUUCCAACAUUGAAUACAUCAUAGAUUCAUCUUCUUCUUCUUCUCAUUCUAUUCUACUUUGAUCUGAAAUCAUCCAAUUGAUUGGGAUUCCGCACCAUCAAUUGGAUCUGAUUGAUACACAAACAGAUUUGGGGACAUACAAUUUGUAUUAGAGCAAGGUUGUAUCAAUCAUUUUUUCAGAUAUGGAGCUUAUUUGAUCUUAUUUUGAAGAGAUUCUUGCGUUUUUGGAUAGACUUUGGCAAAAUAAGGGGGGUUUGUAUUUCGCGUUUUUCCUAAAAACGAGUUUUUGAUCGAGUUUUGGAGCAAAAAGGGGCAAAAACGAUGUUUUUCGUCGUGAACAGCGAUUUUCGAGGUGUUUUUGGUCGGAUCCGGUUUUCAAUCCGAGAUUUCGGCCUGAGUUUUCGGUCGGAUCGGAGUAUUCGGUACGAGCUUUCGGUCACGUGUUCGGUCCAAGCCUCGCACGUGUUCGGUUCACAAGGGUUCUCGGUCUCGCCUCUUGUUCACGGCUCCGCAGCAUCGAUCUCAGCUUCGCGGCUUCGUCCUCGCUUCGCAGCUAUCUUCGCAAGCAGCAGGCUUCGCAUCUAAAAAAAAAGGGAAACGGAUUUGGGGGUGUCGGGGUUCGAACACGGGACCUGUAGUUGAUCAAGUCAGCGCGCCUUACCAUCUCGACUAGCCGAUCCUUUGCACAAUCCCUCGAAAUUUAAUUCAAAACACCCCAUUCUCGGUUCCAACUUUCGAAUUUUGACAUUUUUAACCCAAGAAUUCAAAAUUUUAUUUUUAAAAUCCUUUUUAAACCCAAAAAUUUUAUUUUUAAUUUUUUACUUUUAUUUAUUUUUUUUACUUUUUACUUAAAAUUUUGACUUUGACUUUUAAAAUUUAACCUUUGACUUUAAACUUUGAUUUUCUCAUUUGACUUUUAAAUUUUCAAAUUUAGAUUUUCGGUUUGACUUUUUAAAUUUGAAUUUAAAGGUUGACUUUCUCAAUUUUUAAGUCAAAGGGCAAUUAAAAAAAAAACAAAAAGGGAAGUGAUAUCAAGAAAGUGAUAACGGGUAGUCUAAAAGUUGUGUAAGGGACUGAAUCUGAAUUGUCUAGACUUUGUGUUCAAUGUGUUGGUAGGCACGGAGGAUUUGGCAUUGUGGAUUUGGAUAAGAUUGUUUGGACUGACCAUACAACGCUUGGGUAGAUUGAGCAGUGAGAUAAACACGGGAACCCACGGGAUACACUAAAUUAAUACACAUCUAGAACUGUGGUUCAACUUUUCCUUGAUGUACGGACUUAUGUCCUUAAUUCUGGUUCUGAUAGGGCGACUGGGGAAUUUCGAUAAAGUAGGUUUGUAGAAAAUUGUUUUCUUUCUUUCUUAUUGUUAGUCAUAUGUUGCCUCCUCUAUGUGAUCGAAAAAUCUGACCUGGACUGCAACAUAUGCAACUCUGUCUCUAUGAAUCUUAUAUAUGAUAUUCUUCUUGUCUGUUAGCCAUAUGAUGUCUCCUUUGCGUGAUUCAUAAUCCGACCUGGUUCACAGCAUAUGCAACCUUCUAAUUCUCAAUCCCUCUAAAUCUCUAAUUAACAAUGUGUAUUAUAAAUCUAUCCUCUCUUUUUAUAAUUGUCUGCUCACCUAAAGUAAGGAGUAUCUUGGAAGUUCUUGAUAACCAUGGUAUAUCGGGAAGUGGGGAACACGUUCUAGUGCAACUAAAAUUGAAUCAUUAGAGGUUUUAUGUAGAUCUCGCUGCUUAAUUUAAGUGGACAACAAUAUUCAUGGUCGUCGUCAGCUAAAUGAUUUAUUUAGAAAUUUUUUGUCGAUUUCAUUUGUGUUUAAGUGGACCACAAUACCAGCAAUUCACCAGAUCUAUUCAUAAAGGUGAAGGUAUUGAUAAAUGAGUUCAGACUGUCUCAUAACUUUGAUCCCAAAUAUUUUUGUUUCUGUUAAAUUUGUCAUAGUUUUCCUCUAUGCACAAAUUUAGGGGGAGAAUUAAAAAAGUUCAAAAAAAAAACAAACAAAAAUCAGAAAAAUUCAAAAAAUCAAAAAUAUUUUUUUUGUGUGCUAAAUUUUCUUUUACUUUUGUUUUGUCUUGAAAAUUGAUUGCAUGUAUAGAUAAGACUCAUGGAGAUUGUGUCGAAAAUUUCUAAGCCAAUGCUUCAUCCGUGAGCAUCGAAGAAUUCUCAUUCGAAGGAGCAAGAAAUGAAGAUUAUUCUUUCGACAUUCAAUCCUUCAACACCAGAAGCAAGGUGAAGUUGUUCUUGAAGAUUAUGUGACGGAUUGCAUGGAAACCUCCUCAAUCAGUCUGCUGCUAACUUGAACCUGCUGAAGUGAUCCAAAAGAUUAUUUCUCUCUGUUAGUUCUCUCUAAAGAUUCUCAAGCUGAAAGCGCUAUCUUUCAAGAAUCUUUUUCAAGAAGCCUCCUCACCCAAUGUGCGUUCAGAGUCAAAUCUUGAAGAAAUGCCCAACUGCUCAGGAUGAAGUCAUUCAUAGAAGAUUCAUAUAUUCAUCCUGAUGCUGUGAAGAAUUUGAAGAUAAUAGCUGAAGCCAAGCUCCCAAUGAAGAUUGACAAGAAGUGUCAGCUACUUUUUAGGGGGAGCUUGUUGGGUCAAUUAGAAAAGAAAGAUAUAAACCAAGGGGGAGAUUGUUGGGUCUAAAAUUGGUUUAUACUUUGCUUUUCUAAGCAUUUAUUGUUUUAUCAUUUAGGCCGAAAACUAAUAUUGGGAUUAAUUGUAGCUUGGACCGAAAACCCAUGAGUUUUCGAUCUAGCAUUGGGUUUUUGGUCCAUUGGGUUUUCGGUCCGUCCUAAAGUUUGUGGCCCAUGUAUAUAUAGGUGUUAGGUGGGUGAGGUGAAAAGAACUCUCUAGGUGCUUAAGUGUAUGUUCGUAAGGUGAGAGAGAAAGUUAAAGAGAAGAGUGUGUGUGUGUGUGUGUAUGAAUCUAUGUGUAAGGAGCUUCAUUCCAACAUUGAAUACAUCAUAGAUUCAUCUUCUUCUUCUUCUUCUCAUUCUAUUCUAUUUUUAUCUGAAAUCACCCAAUUGAUUAGGAUUCCGCACCAUCAAUUGGAUCUGAUUAAUACACAAGCAGAUUUUGGGACUUACAUGAACUUAUUUAACCUUAUAAAGGAAAUCAAACUCAUAACAUGUAUCAUAAUAACCAAAAACAGUUGAAAAAAAAAUCCAUGGUAAAAAUGAUUGUAAUCAUAGUGCGUUGUUAUUAUGAGUAAAAAUUAAAAUAUAUUACCCAAAUCAAUAAGGGAAAUCUACAGAAAAGUUCCAAACUUUUGGGAAAAGUUUCAGUAAAGUCCUAAAAGUUUUUUAACAGAAAAUUCCCGAUUAUUUUACAUUUUGCCCAAAUUAACAAUAAAUUCAUUUUUAUAUUUGAACAGCAAAUGACAGAUUAUGUGAUUUUCAAAAAAUAAUGAGACUUUUCUAUUAAAAAAAUUAGGACUUUUUUGAAACAUUUUUCUGUAUAUUUCUCAUUAUUAUUAUAUUUUAAAACCACUUAUUACUAUUACAAAAAUAUUGAAGAAGAUCCAUUAAAAACUUAUAAAACCACUUAUUAUUAUUCAUUAUAAAUCACUUAUUAUUAAUUAUUCUUAUUAUUAACUAAUUUUAAAAGUAAUAAUUAUAUUAAUAAGUAGAAUGUUUUAUUUUCUUUGUACUUAUUUAACAUCAACUAAACAAUUUAGAAUCAUUAUUUGAAAAGAAUAAAGAAUUGAAAAGCCAAGGGAGUUUCAUAUUAAUAUAGUGUAAAGAAGUUGACAUAUUUUAUAAUAGAUAUUAGGCGAAUUUAUACACAUUGUGCAUGAAUAAACCAGUUAAAUACUAUGUUUGGUUCAAAAUGGGAUAAAAUUAAAAAUAUGUCAAUGUUAUGAUAUUUUCAAAUGCAAACCAGUUCGGAUAACUAUAGAUAAUCUCUUCGACGUUAUUAACGUCAAUCUAUUUGCAAUCUCUCGGUUCCAACCACUUCCAAUUCAGUUUUUCGGUUAAAAAAAUCACAUCGGAUGAUACUUAGAGGUCUGCGUCAUGACUGCAUUUCCCGAGUGCUAUCAUAUUGUGUAAAAACUAUUCACUAAACACCUACCCAAACUUUAAUCGCUAAAACGAAUAUUAGUCGACAUAAAAAUAAGAGUCAUUCGAAAAUUAUUUAUCGAAAAAUUGGAACUUUUCUAUGCUUAGGAAACUAUUUUCUGAAAACAAAAUGCAAUCUUUUUCUGCUAGAAUAAUUCUUAUUGAUAACUGUUUAGAUGUAGAAAACUAUUUGCGCAAAAUAAUUGAUCACCUCCAGAAACUAAUUUCUGAAAAAACAAUUUGCACCCGUCGCUUGGCGCGGGUAAACGGCUAGUAUAUAUAUAUAUAUAUAUAUAUAUAUACACACACNAUAUAUAUAUAAAACCAAAAUCAAAUAAGAAGGAAAUAUUUGGUAGGAAGGUAAGAAAUUUUUUAUGUACGUAUUCUUUUAGCAAACAAACAAAAUGACUCAUUAGAUGAUUCAUAAUAAAAAGUUCCUAAAAGAGCACCUUCGUGAUUAUUUUUUAAGUAAAUAAAAAAAUCACUUUUAUGACACUUUUUGUGAAUAUCAACAAAAUCAUCGUAAAAAUGAACUAUCGAAUUGUUUUUUCGGGAAUUUUUUUAUGAAUCACGAUAUUUUUUAUUUAUCUAGUGAUUCAUUGGUUUUGUUCACCAAAAAAAUAUGCAAAAAUUUUUUACUUCCUAUCAAAAAAAUUUUUACCGGAUACGUGGGACGGUUCACUUGAAAUUCUAAAAAAAAAAAAUAGAGAUCUUACGAUUCAACAUCAGUCAUAUAUUUCUCAUUUGUCGCUCUAACGCUCCAGCAUACCGAUAGUAGCCAGGUAUGAUUAUGAAUGUUUAUACAUAUAUGCCUAAUCAUAAAUUAUUAUAUAAAAAUAUGUUUUUUUUUCACAUAUUGAGUAAUCAUAUAUGAUUACGGUGGUUGGUGGCAGAGGAGGUGAUAGUGGUAGAGGUGGUGGUGGUAUAGGUGACUAAGGUUGCAAUGUUAGGGUUGGUUGGUGGCAAAGGUGCUUGUAGUGAUGGUAGAGGUGUCUGUUUUGGUGGUGGGAAGGUGGUGAGAGAAAAAAUAGGCAACACUGAAUAAUAAUUUAUGAUUUUAACUCUCACGUCGCCCUGGUACGCCGAAGUGUUAGAGCGACAAAUUAGAAAUAUGUGGCUAAGGUUGAAUCUCAUGUAGUCAUAAUUAUGGGUUAACACCAAUUUUUCUACAUAGUAUACUCAAUUGUUGUUCUACUUCAUCGUUUUCGCUCUCUCUCUCUAUCUAUCUCUCUAUCUCUCUCUCUGUCUCUCCAUCUUCACAUACACCCCAUACAUAUACAAACAGUAUCCGAUAAACAUAGCACCAUCGACACUACCUUUGUCCCCUUGAAAUCAACUCCAUACACUACACCCAUCCCACCACAUUCAUCACCAUUACCGCCAUCAUGUAUACCCCUCCUGUUAUUAAAUGUGAUCAAGAAACACCAAUAUGAUCAUGAUGGGUUAUAGAGGUUACAACUACAAUGCCUUAAGUGGAAAGCAAAUUAAACAAUUCAAUUGAUUAGGGUGUAUGCAACCUAAUUGGAUCUAUGUCUUUCAGAUAUUGCAACAUACUAUGAAUGGCUAAUCUACAAAAGUUUUCUAUGAACAAACUAAUCCAUAAGAUAAGAAAACUAACCUUUAAGAUUGUUGUUUGUCACACCCCCAAAUCGAAAAGGCGGAAACGUUCGGGGGUGGAGGACGUCAUGUUCAGUAUCACAACAAUUGCAUCAUAAUAAUCAAAGUAAACACAACCAUUACAUUGAAAUAUAGAUAUUUACAUAUGUUUGUUACAUAGCUUGUAUACAUCAAAAGUAUGACGAAAUAUAAAAGACAUGACUCUAUACGCUCCGUCUUCUCAAAAGCUAUGGGAGUACCUGUCUACUGAUUUCCUGAGAAUAGUAUCAGCAUAAAGUUAGUGAGUUCAUAAAAUGUUUUUGUAAUGAAAACCUGUCAUUGAAUAUGUAAAAAUGUUUGUAUGCUUCCCAAGAAAAUCCAAUAUUUUCUAACAUAUAUGUUUGUUACUGUAUUUUGUAAUAGUGUAUGAUGUAUUAGCUUGUAUGCCUGGUUACCACUAGUUGUAUUGUAUAUCGUUGUUUUAAAUGAAAAAACCCCUUGUAUGAAAACCCUAGCUAUCACUAGUAAUGUAUACAAUGUUUUGUUGGAAAACUCUGGUUACCACCAGUAUGUAUAGUAGUUUCAUUACUUAAAAUAAAACCAUGUAUUGUAUCCCCUGGAAUCCUCCAAUGUAAUGCAUAGUAGUUCUAUUAAUUAAAAUAAAGCUAGCGAAGAAUGUAAUCCCGUAAACAAAGGUUAGUUUAUACUGUUGUGAGUUCAUAUAACCAUGCUUGAUAUGACCUAGUGACCUCUACGACGUUCUUCAGGCGUCGGACGUUAUGACAUUUGUCACCCUAGGCAUGCCUGCCUAACUGUAGCUAGCAGUUCAGGUGUGGGAUAGUCAACCCCGAAUAGAUCUAUUCAUAAAUCUCACGCUCUCCCUCUAGGAGACUUUGGAUAUACUAUGAUUGAUUUAGCCCGCACCUCGAAGGAUACAAUUGAAGUGAUGUCUCACAACCCUGUAGUAACUAGUUUACGUGUAGUGUUAUGGUCUCUUGUACUUGAAUCUGAAUGUAUGUCUUGUAUAAUAAAAAUAAUUAUACUUAAAUAAUUAUUUAAUAAGGUACUCUUGUUAUCCGAAAGAUAAUAUGGUAUGCCAUAAACUAGUUCUACCAUAGUUUAUAUGUUUGUUAUGAUGUACAGUUCUUGAAUUUGUAAAAUGGUGUAUUGAAAUCCCAAACUAUACCUUUUAUAGUUUCAUGUUUGUUAUGUACUUGGUUCAUGUAUUGAUCUGAAAACUAUGCAAUUUUGGUUGUAAGUUGAAAACGUCCCUUAUGCUCAGCAUGUUACAAAAGGGAUGAAAUAUCUGAAUAUUUUAUAAAAUGUGGAAAUAUUUUGAUUGUAUCAAUAGCAUAAGUUUUAAACAUGUUGAAAUUCUUUUGUAUAAGUUCACAAAAUCAUUUGUGUUUGGCUUGUAUUUCUCCCUGAAAACGUUAAAACAGUAAAAGCGUAGGGUAUGAACUCACUGUUGGUUGCGUGUAAGUGUCGGACAACAAGACUGGAAAUGAUGACCCUCGAGUUUGUUGUACAUGAAGCUAACGGAAUCCUAAUAAUAAUUAAACACAUAUUUGUAUUUAAAUUAGUAAAUCUAUUAGUUAAAGUGUUAUAAAACACUUGUUUUUGGUUGAGGAAUGUUACCGAGGCUUGAUCGAGGAGGAAAGGUGGGUUUGCAACCAAGAUUCACGAUUUAGGGCUGAUUGCGGCUGUGAAGGGAUUACGGUCGUGAACUGUUCUCGGCCGUGAACGAUUUACUGCCUUUGAAGGGUUUACGGUCUUUGAAUGGUUCACGGCAUAUGAAGGUUUGAUGGGUUCACGGUCGUGAACUGAUUUCGGCUCUUGAAGAUUUGAAGAUUUGAAGGGUUUACGGUUGUGAACUCAAGAAAAACAAUGCUCGAUUUCAUGAAAAGACAGAUGCUUGAUGCUCCAAAAGAGUUCUAAGGUGGAUUGAGUGAUAGAUGAAGAGAAAACUUGGGUUUUCAGGUGGGGUUUGUAGAGAGAGAAAGUGUGUUUUCAGCCAGAAAAGCAUAAAUGAGGGUAGGAACAUGAAUAUAUAUGUUGGGUUCAUGGUCGGUGGUAGGGGUCCACCCAGCCAUGAAUAGUUUAUGGCCGUGAUCGGGUUCACGGCCGUGAACACCAAUCUGACUGGAUUUUGUUGAUUCUCGAAGAAAAACCCGGGUUUUCACGUGAUUUUGGUUCCAAAUCUUAUUUAAAUAAAUAAAACGAUUUUCUAAACCAUAAGAAUUUAACGGAACAAAUAAUAUUCGAAAUUUUAUUUAACGAAAUUUGAUUAACGUUGACAGAAUAAGGUCCGGGUUGUCACAUCAUUCCCCCGGUAGAGGAAAUUCCGUCCCGAAAUUCUAAAAUGAAUACAAUUAUGGACCAGGGAAAGAGAUAUGGAUACUUCUAUUUCAUAUGAUCUUCGCUCUCCCAAGUGAAUUCAGGUCCCCGCUUGGCAUUCCAGCGAACCUUCACUAUCGGGAAGCGACUUUGUUUCGUUCGGUUGACUUCCCUGUCCAUUAUUUCGACUUGUUCUUCCAUGAAAUUAAGAUUCUCGUUGAUAUCGAUCUCAUCAAGAGGGAUCAUAAGGGUUUCAUCGGAUAAACACUUUUUAAGGCUUGACACGUGGAAGACGGGAUGAAUGUGAUGGGUUUUGAGCACUACAUUAUUCCUAUGGUGUACAUGCAAACCAUAAUAGCAUUUGGAUCUAGUUUGUCUAAUGAACAUGCAAUUGAAUAUCCAAAGCUAUAAACCCUAGAUCUAGCAUACAGUUAAUCAUAUUAACAUAAAAUAGGGUUUAGAUCUAACCUUUGAUUGUUAUAUAGCAAUAACAAUCCAUUCCUUGGCUUCAGAAAGCUUAGUGCCUCAAGUGUUGCACCUCUAAUGGAGUCACAAACACCACUAAGCAACUAGAAGAAGAAGAAAGAGAAUGAGAACUCCAAAAACGUCCAGAAACCCUCUUGAAAAGGUUGACCACGUUUUUGGGUCUCAAAGGGCCUUUAAAUAGGUAGACAAUUAGGGUUAUCUAACAAGGAAACCCUAAUUUGACUGCUUAAGCCCUAAGCAGCCCAUGGACCCCUUCUAGAAUAUGCCUUGGACGAUGUCUAAUGGGCUUCCCCAUAGAAUUCGUCCAACCUAUUAUUCCAAGGUGAUCCAUAGCCCAAUUGCAAUUAUCUUAUAAUUACAAUUCCAGUCCCCUAAGUUUAAUUAAUCUCUUUUAGCCACAAAAUUAAUUCUUUAAUAAUUCUUGACUAAUAUUAAUUAAACAAUAUGAUUUCUCCUUUAAUAUAUUAUUCUCAUAAUAUAUUAAUAAAUCAUAAUUAAUCCUUUCUCUCCUUAAUUCAUCCUACAUAUUGCUAUGGUGAAGGCAACCUAAAAGGACCAUGAUCGUAAUCGGGUCAAGUACAUACCAAAAUAGUUAUGGACUUAGACACUAGUCCAACAGUCUCCCACUUGGAUAAGUCUAAUAACUAUUUGGAUAACUUCAGAACCUGAUCAGCAAUCGUAGCUUUCAAAAUUCGCUGUCAACUCUGAUCUUAUCAGAUACGCGUGUCCUUUAGAUAAAGGACCAUAUAUUCCUCCAUUCUCAAGAUAUCGUAUAGACACGAGACAUGGAUUUAAAUCAUUUUCUCUGUCUAUGUAUUGUUUCCCGACAUCUGAUUUAUGACGACUGAUAACUGACUACAAUUGAACACAUCAACUUAGUCCCGACUUGGCCAAGCGCUUAGGGUGUCAUCACUAAAUCAUCGAGGGGCCCACAGAUAUCGCUUUUAUCCCACUUUGGGUAAAAGGAAUGGAUAAACUUUGACUCAAAUGCUUGCUUGCACCUACUAAUCGAAUCACACACAACAAUCAAUUUUAUAACACCAAGUUACUGGUGCGUUUGUUUAUCAUCAAUGUGCAACCGACCAGCAAAUAACAACUCACACGUCUCGGUUUCAAGAAUAUACAAUGUUAUCGUCUCACUAAUCACCCAUGAUAAAUCCAUGAAUUGAUUCAAGUGAGUGUGGGUUUAAUCCAAUACUUUAAUCUUAUCAAAGCACUCAUGAACUCUGCAGCAAACUUGUGCUAUGUCUAAACACUUUAGACAAUCUACAGACAAAUUCAUGAUGGUCUUCCUUCAUACCUACUUCCAACGUAUGACCGACUAUGGAUGUUCGAAUAACCUAGUUAUUCUGGAAGUCAAAACAUGCAAAGUGAAACACAACGAUAAUACUCAAUCCUAUAUGGCCCUAAACUCUUGAUUAUAAAUAAAACACCUUUUAUUUAGUCACCAUAUUGAUUACUCAUUAUUUAUUGUUUAAUGUUUCGGAUAAUCAACUUUGUACUUGAAUUAUAACCAUAAUUGUCCCAUGCUCCAAGCGUGCACACUUUGGUUUCCUAUGGUUCACAAUUUUUGAAAUAUAUCAAUUGAAAAACUUUUCCAAUGAACUCAUUUCACAAUCCCUAAUCCUUAUCAUUAGUGUAAGAAUCUAAAAUUCUUCCACUAUUAGAAUAUGUUAGAUUCUAACUUUUAUGCAACGAUCCUUUCGUGAAGCCACAGCACAAAAGUCACAAAGACUCGGCUAAUGAAAUCACAAAGUGCUCUAUCAGAAACUAUUACAGAACAAUUCUAGAGAUGUGAUGUCUCUCAGUCAAAGUACAUUCCUUUGAACAUCCUUUUUGCAUAAAAUUUACUAAUCUAGACAUAAAUUCUUAAUUUCCAACUCCCAAAUAUGGAAACAUUCCAUAUUUUUCCAUAUGACAACUUAUUCUAAAUAGAAACUUAUCUAUUCAUAAUAACGUCGAUAUGGUUCAUCCAGUACUAUACUUCCAACUACUCAUAAGCAACCAAUCCUUAGCGAACUUUGGAUCGUCCUUUGAUAGUUGUUUAAUUAUUUUAGUCAAAACCAAUUCUAGUCCCUUUUUCCCUCUUAAUGCCCUAGGCAUUUGGAAAAAUUUAAAACGGUCAAAUAUUAUAGCAUAUGCAAUCGAUCCUAUACCCGAAGCAUAUAGGACACGAUGCAUAAUGUCUCACAUAAAGACAUGAUACUUUAUCAGUCUUCUGCCAUAAUAUUUUAUGUGCCAUGUUCACACAAUUCGAACUAUGAAGAGGGAUGCCAUAAUCAUAAUCGAAUUUUGGCACUAUGUAUCCUUGACUAAAUUUAUUAAUAUUUCUCGAUCUAAGCUUUAGAUUUUGAAACAAAGUAUAAUAUUUUCUCCCUUAAUUAUAGUAAAACAACUUUUCAACCUCUACAACUUUGCAAAGUGAAUCUUUGUUUUUCUAUAAUUAAUAUUGCUACCUCGCAAUACUAAAAAUAAUAAUCAUGCUCCCACUAACAUGAUGAUUAUCUCCUUACAAGCAUAACACGUAUGCUCCCACUAGCUUUGACAUGUAUUCAGAAAACACUUGAACUUCUAGAAAACAAUACUUAUUGAAUUCCAAAGUCUAUAUUUCUAAUACUAGAUGAUUCGAUAAGCCUUUAUCUUAGCUUCUCAAACUCAUAAACCUUUCCUUAGAUAGCUCACAUGUGUGUCUAAACUAAUUCAGAACUUAUAUUACUAAGUCCCCAACGUUCAGACUAAUCGCCAAAUCUCACAAUUCGAACUAUGAAAAGGGAUGUCGUAAUCAUAAUCGACUUUGAGAAUGUAAUUUAUAUAACCGCUAUCUCCUUAAAAUCUCUCUUAGUGAAAGUAUUUCCUCACAAUCAUUUUCAUGAAGGAGAAAAACCUUAUGACACUUAUAUUUUAUGGUGUAUGUGUUCCUAUCCAUGUGAAUUUGUCAUAACCAUCAUUGUACGACAAGGUUUGUGACAAAUCCAAACUUAUAUGGACUGAACUUGUUUAAUUUUGAUUUAUUUCCUCAUGUAGCACGAAUGCCCACCAUGUCUUCCAAGUCGUUCAACAACUCACCCCUACAUAUCAAUGUACUUUCCAUUGAUCAAGGUGCUUUGCCUUUAUGCAUUCAAAUGAGAACUCACAUGCACAAUUAAACAAAUUAGAAUGGCAUAGAAACAAGAUUAUGUUAACACGAUAGGUUGUAAACCUUAAGUCGUGUGCUAGUGAUGAUCGAUAAGGUUUAUUCUUGAUUUGUUCUUGAAACUUUUUCAAGAUCAUUAAAACUCCCACUGACCUCUUGACAUACACGAUUCUCUAGUCAGGAAACUUUCCUAGACAAAACAAAUAUUCAAGAGUUAGUAUAGUUCUUAUCAAGACAAAAACACUUCACAUAAUUGGUCCUAGUUGGUCUUUGUCUUCUACAAGACAUCACAACUUACCAAUUUCAAAUGUGAAAGAAUAAGAAAACUUUUCCAAAUUCCACAUUUGUUGAGUGUUAUAGACCUACUAAAGACGUGUCACUCAAUGUCACAAUCUUGGAGUAUGACUUUAAGACUUGAUAUUGGAACGAAGUAUGAUUGGCUUCUUGAUUUAACCAUUUCCAUAAUUCUCGAUUCCUCUUCUUAGCCAUACAAAUGCACUAAGACUCACUUAUAGGAUCAAUUGAGAUAUGGUUCUUAAUCAUUAAGAGUUAUCAUAAAACACAAUAAAAGGUACUCUCCCUUCUUCUUAGAAUGGAGAAACUUUUAUCUUUCUGCCUAUUUGAUUCUUCUUAUUCGUUCUACCAUUUAUUGAAACCUUUUCAAUCAACCCAAAAUUACACUCAAUCUUAUAAGUAUAAUCAUAUUUACUAAACUUUAGAAAAUCAUGACGAAUACUUUAUCUCUCUUUGUGGUGGACUUGAACAGCGCAUAACCAAGUGUACCUGAUCCCUAGCCCUUCACUUGACUCUAUGUCAAGGAAUUAGUCUAAUUUCCAAAUAUGAAAGUUUUUCAUUCAUCACACAAUGCAGGUUGCAUGAUUCCAAGUUUCUGUCCAAUUCAAAAUUAGGCGAUGAGAAACUCUCCAUAUUUGGUAAAACAUUUCACAAAUAACAUAAUCAAGAAUCAAAUCCAAUUCAACAUUGCUAAAAUUAGAAAUACAUAAACAUCCAUUUUCACAUAUGCCACUGCAAGGAUAAAUAAAUAAGACGAAAUCAAAAUUCAUUUUAUUGCGGAAAAACUUGUCCUUAUAAUGCAAUUCAAAUGAAAACUAUGUUAUUUCAAUUUCUAAGCAAUCUAUUCUAACUCUAAAGUAGUAGCUCAAAAAUCCAAUCCUCAAGCAAUGCGAUCGAAAUCCAUUUCUCUACGAUCAGAUUCAGCUUACUUCUUCCCUUACGCUUCAUCUCUUUUCUUCGAUCCUACAAAACAUCAAAAUUUAAUCUUAUCACGUCAUGUAUUGAAAAUCAAAGAAUAGGAACUUAUAGAGUUAGUUAUUGGAUUUUACCUAAAGUAGAGCCAUACGUCUUGACUCUCCCAUCUCUUAGAUCUCUCAGGUAGUUUGGGCAGCUUCGUCUCCAAUGCCCCUUCUCUUAGCAAUAAAAGAAAAUGGACUCUUUUGGAAUGGGACAAGGAACUAUCUCAGAAUUUACCUUUUCUGGAUCUCCAAUGUCACCAUUUUCAAUGUCCGUUGAAGUUUGGGAGUUUGAUUCACAAGACAAAUUUGCUUGACCAGCGCGCCAAAUCAUUGCUAAUUCAGCAGCUAUAAGCAAAUAUGUGAGAUCAAUGAGGGUCACGUCAUGAUCCAUCAUAUAGUACUCUCUAACGAACUCACUAUAUGAUUCAGGAAGCGACUGAAGAACCCAGUCAACAACCAACUCACCUGAAAUCUCGACACCCAACAUCCUUAACUUGUCGAUGUGUGACUUCAUCUUUAAGACGUGUGCACACAUAGGUUUCCCAUCUUCGUGUUUACUUGCCAAAAGGGCUUGAGUGAACUUGAACUUUUCAAGCCUUCGAACUUGUGGGUCAGGUAGAAUAAUUGGAGGAGGUGUAGGAAGUGAAGCAUGAUCUCUGGUUCCUCGAUCAUAUCGUGAAAUAUCAUCUUCAUUUGGAAAACUUGUUCCAUGGGAUUUAGGAAGACCAUUGUUAGAUUCAGACAUCUACAAAACGGGAGAAAUUCAAGUCAAGUCGAUUAGAAUCCUUGAUGUUACACCCAAAUGAAACAUCAAGGCUAGGAUCCAACACAAUACCUUACAACCUAGAAGAGGGAUGCCGUAAUCUAGUUGCAGAAUAUUUGAAGGUAGGUAAAUGACGAUUUACCAAUUUCCACCAUGAAAAACGAAAAAGAAAUUUAAGUUUUAAAUAAAUUGAAACUCCUAGAUCUUUUGAGAUUCAUUGAACUUUUCAAUGGCAUGUUUAAUCUCGAUUAUGCCCUUCAUUUAUGACCGGGAUGCCGAGGAUCGCAAAUAAGGUGUGAAUAAUCAUGCGAAUGUAUAUGGUGCACUCAAUGCUACUAUCACCUAAUCAAUGUGUCGGUUAGCCACACACGCUCCAUUGAUCUAUGAUAAACAUCGAGUCACCCUUCGCUACCAAUGCCAAACCCAAAUUUGUGUGUCGGUUAACCACACACGCUCCACCAGCGUCACGGCAAGGGUACAAAGUGUCAUUCCAUGGAUUAGCAUACAAUUUCACAUUUUGCCUAAAGUAAAUAUGAUUUGGGAAUUUGAAAAACAUUUAGUUACUUUGUACUUCAUUAUACUUAUAAUAGAAGGUUUCUGUCUUAUCCUACCCGUUCGACUAACGACCCUCCACUAGUUAAGAGUGCGGUAGGUAAGAGUGGAUACCCAUUCAAUCGUCAUUUUAUAUGCAAUUAUCUUAAACACCCCUUAUAAACCAGCUUCGUGAAUGAGGCCUACUAACGGUAAGGCUGACUCUUACUCAUACNUUAAAAUACUAGGUGGUUUUAUUAACUUUCUCUUUUAAUUAACUUAACAAAACCAUGAGGGUGUAAUUUGAACUUUUUCCAAAUAUUAGAGUUUUAGAAUUUAAACAUUACAUAAUUAAACUAUUAAUCAAAAUUUUAAAUUCCAAAACUUGAGGACAAGUUUUGAAACAUUUCAAAACAUUAGGGUUUAGAAUUUAAAUAUUUCAAAAUUAAACUUUUAAUCAAAAAAUUAAAUUCCAAAACUUGAGGGCAAGUUUUGAAACUUUUCAAAACUAUCUAGAUCAAAUUACAAAUAAUUAAAUUAAUCAAAUAAUUUUAAUUAUCUAAAUUUGACCUAAUUUAAUUUUUCACAAGAUAAUUCAAAUCAAAAUUACAAAUAAUCAAUCUUUAUCUAAUAAAACAAAUAAUUAUCUUAAUUUUGACAAUUAUCCAUUAAUUUGAUUAGGAUAUCAAUUACCAUAACAAAAAAUCUUAUUUUUAUUUGAAUAAAGCAAUUUAUGGUAAUUAUCCAAAGCAAAUUAAGGCAAAAUUUUCGAAAUCAUGUUGUCAGACUGAAUUCACGAGGUGAACACACUGUGUUCACGACAUGAGUUUGGUAUAAUUCGAAAAUUUGCUGACAGACUGAAUUCAUGAGGUGAACACACUGUAUUCACAACGUGAAUCAGGUUAGAUUCAAAAUUCACAAUUUUUUAGCUUUGAAAACAUAAUUUUGCAUCAAAUACAAUAGAAAAACACCCUAGGCUCUGAUACCACUGAUGGGUUUUGAGCACUACAUCAUUCCUAUGGUGUACAUGCAAACCCUAAUAGCAUUUGGAUCUAGUUUGUCUAAUGAACAUGCAAUUGAAUAUCCAAAGCUAUAAACCCUAGAUCUAGCAUACAAUUAAUCAUAUUAACAUAAAAUAGGGUUUAGAUUUAACCUUUGAUUUUUAUAUAGCAAUAACAAUCCAUUCCUUGGCUUCAGAAAGCUUAGUGCCUCAAGUGUUGCACCUCUAAUGGAGUCACAAACACCACUAAGCAACUAGAUGAAGAAGAAAGAGAAUGAGAACUCCAAAAACAUCCAGAAACCCUCUUGAAAAGGUUGGCCACGUUUUUGGGUCUUAAGGGGCCUUUAAAUAGGUAGGCAAUUAGUGUUAUAUAACAAGGAAACCCUAAUUUGACUGCUUAAGCCCUAAGCAGCCCAUGGACCCCUUCUGGAACAUGCCUUGGACGAUUUCUAAUGGGCUUCCCCAUAGAAUUCGUCCAGCCUAUUAUUCCAAGGUGAUCCAUAGCCCAAUUGCAAUUAUCUUAUAAUUACAAUUCCAGUCCCCUAAGUUUAAUUAAUCUCUUUUAGCCACAAAAUUAAUCCUUUAUUAAUUCUUGACUAAUAUUAUUUAAACAAUAUGAUCUCUCCUUUAAUAUAUUAUUCUCAUAAUAUAUUAAUAAAUCAUAAUUAAUCUGUAACACCCCGAGUUCAGAAGUGCAAGUUCAGGGUUCUUAGUGUAAAUAAGGAAGGUCGACUCGGCGAGUCGAUGGAUGAACUCAGCGAGUCGAGUCGCGGUCCUGGUCACGUGUUAAUUGACCAACUCGGCGAGUCGGCAGAUGGACUCUACAAGUUGGUGCUGAAGGGAGAAAACCCUAAUUCUGGGAGUUGUGCCCUAUAUAAAGCACCUUAUAGCCACCCUCAACCUCUUUGCUACCCAUUUGAGAUCCAGAAACCCUCAUCUCGUGUGUGUGACUCCAUUGAUGAAGAAUUAGAGCUUGGAAGAGAAUUUUGGUGUAAGAAGCUUGGGGAUUUGGAGGCCAUCAUCAAGGGGCUUGGGUAGAUCUGGAAUCUACUUCUGUUUGGGCACAUUUCAGGGGUAAGGAACCUCCUCCUUAAGCUAUUUUAUUUUUGAUUCAUGAAUGGUGAUGAUUUGGGAUUCGUUAGCUUGUUUGGGAGCUAUCUCGAGUUUGAGGCUUAGAUCUGAAGUUGCUACUUCAGAUCUAGACUUGUCAUGGCCCAAAAGGUCAUAAAGUUCAUGUCUAAGAGUCAUUGGUGAAGCCCUUUGUCUUAAACCCUAGCCCUAGAAGUGUUUUGGGCUUAUAUCUCCUUGCUUUCACGUAAAGUUUGCAACUUUAUGUGAGGGUUAGGCUGUAGAAGAGUGGAUCUAUGGAUUGGAGUCCCUGCAUGGAUUGAAAAGCCUCUGUAUGGAAUAAGAAGUAAAUAGACUCGCUGAGUCACAUGGGUGUGCUCGACGAGUUGUAUGAAUAUGUGCAUGGACACGACGAGUUGGAAGAACAACUCGGCGAGUCUGUUGAAGAUUGCCUUGGACUCGGCGAGUCUAUUCUUGGACUCGACGAGUUUGGUAGUGGAACCCUAGCCUUUUCUGGUUAAGUCGUGUCUCGGUGAGUUGAGGGACAACUCGGUGAUUUGAGCAGGAUUGGUAACGCUCGCAAAUCCGAGCUAGUCAAAUUAGAGGCAAUAGGGGUCGAAAACGACUUUUCGACAAAAGAUUAUUUAGAAUAAAUAAUAUUAACCAAGUUGUAGAGUAUGUUAGAAGGUUUCCGUACAUAUAAAGAACGCCAAAAUCCGAGUUAUAACGAAGAAUUUAUGACCCGUCGAAGUUUCGCGACAGAACCGACACGAUACCGGAAAGCGUAAAUAAUGAAUUUACGAUAGAGCGAGAUUUAGCCUUAGCAAUCUAAAUGAAAGUCGUAUAAUAUGUUAAACUAAGAACAUCAAUAAAAAGAACGCCCAAAUCUGACUUCGUAUGAAGAAGUUAUGAUUUUUCGAAGUUUCGAGUUAGCAGUGUACAACCCGAAAUUCGAAUAUUAGAUCGAGCGGUUUUUAGCCAAUAUGACCUGAACGAGAAUCAAAGAUCUCGUUAAGAGUAGCGUAACGAGAAAAAGAUGGGCAAAAACGGACAUCGGAUGAAGAAGUUAUGAGGAUUUAACGGACCAAUCCUGUCCCGGCCCAUUAAUAAUAUAAAAUUUAAAAUCGAGCCAAAAUUAGCCGACGGAGUCUAAACGAAAGUUGUAGAGUACGUUCCCACCUUCGCGUGGAUAUAAAGAACGUCAAAAACGGAGGUCGUAUGCGAAAGUUACGAAUUUUUAAAGUUUGUACUCGAUUUUGCGAGAUCAGAUACGAAUUCGCUGACGUGGCGCUUUCCCAGCCGUCCGAUGAUGAUCGCUGAAGUCGCUUCGGAUGGCCGACACGUCGUCCUCGCAUACGCCCCGCAUCCGAGGUCAGUACGCCCCGCGUACCCUCUCCUUACCUCUUCCAAUGUUGCGAGCCAGCUGGUGUGAAGCUGGCACCCUUAUCCGAGACUACGCCCAGCGUAGCUGCUGGACGCGUCGCGUAGUCCGAGGCUGCUGGGGGCUAUAAAUAGCAUGCGAGCCAUUCCGAGUUUUUCACUCCAAGUCCACUUCUUUCUCUCACUAGUUUCUCUCUCUAGCUCAUCUAAACCCCCCAAAACACUAGAAAACCCCCUUAGCACCCUAGGGAAGCCCCGAGGCUCCCGGAGUCCCGAGAAAAAGGAGUUUUUCGGUUUCGAAACGCUGCUCCAAUUAAGUUCUGGUUUUCAAUAAUAUUCACUAUAAGUAUGCUACGCUUACGCAAUUUUUAAUAUAACUUUCAAAUAAUUAUAGGAAUGUUAUUAGGUCCUUAAAAUAAUUAAUUGGGCUAUUAUUAUGAGUUAUAUUGAGCGUUAUUAACGCUUAAUAAUAGUUAGACUAAUUAAUUUGUCGCGGUUAUCGUUAGACUAAAACCUAGUGGUAUUGGUACUAGGUUUUAUCGAAGGAAUAUCGUUUUGAGAGUAUCGAAGCGUUGUCCGAGUACUGAGUCACCACCUACUCAGGUGAGUGCAUAGUCCCUUUCAUCUUACACAUAGAUAUGAAGUAUUUUAUAUAAACUACGUGCUAUGUGUGCAUAUUAUCUGAAUACUUGUUGUCUAUGCUGGAUGAACAUUUUAUACAUGUUUUAAAGGAUUUAAACUGUAUAACGUAUUUUAUAUAUACGAAUAUGUUGGGUAUGAUGAUGGGUAGAUGAAUGAUGAGAGAUAGAAGAUGACGUGAGUAUACAUUGGCAGCUAUAGACUUAGUGUCUAUGGGAGAAACACCGGUAGCUAUGGACUUAGUACCUAUUAGACGUUGGUAGCUAUGGAUUUAGUACCUGUUGGGAAUUGGUAACUAUGGACUUAGUACCUAUUAGUUAGACGAUGGUAGCUAAGGAUUUAGUACCUGUAGGAAUUGGUAGCUAUGGACUUAGUACCUGUUGAACAUUGGUAGCUAUGGACUUAGUACCUAUUAGAUAAAGACUGGUAGCUAUGGAUUUAGUACCCGAUGAAUAGACUAUAGCAGCUAUGGAAUUAGUGCUUUAUGAACGAACAUUGGCAGCUAUGGAUUUAGUGCCAGUCCUAUAACCCUGGAAGUAAGGGACUUCGGAAUAAACGAAUGCAGGAUAGACGACUCUUAGGUUAAAUCCUUAAGAGUAAAGAAGAUAACGGGGAUGGGUAAUGGGGUUAAUUGUUUGAUGAUUAAACAUAACAAUUAUAUUAUUGUGGGUUGAAAACCCUAUGUACUCACCAGGUUUCCCAACCUGACCCACUCAGUUUAUGUAUAUCACAGGUGACGAAGUGAAGUGACAUUACACUGAGAGAUUUAAAAGAGAUGUAGAUCACUAGUGUAAAUCAUUGUAAUUCUGUUUAUGCUUAUGUUUCGGUAUUAACGAUGACAUCCCAAACAUUUUAAAAUGAAAUAAAUACGUUUCUUCGAAAAUGUUUUAAUAACGUAUUUACCAUGUUUUUCUGGGAACAAAUUCCGCAACCUUUUUAUAAAAUGAAGUACUCUGAUUUUUAUAAAGCAUAAACAAAAUCGGUCUUUUCUGGCCGUGAUUUUGGGGAUGUCACAGUUGGUAUCAGAGCAUUAGUUUAAGCGAACUAGGAAUAUGGAUUUAUUUCUAGACUUAAACUUAGAAUGCUAAGCGAUGAUUGUGAGGUGUGAGCACUAGCUUAUUUUAGGAAUUGUGCCUAAAAUGCUUUUAUGUGCUAAAUGCUUUGUGCAUGAUAUGUUGUUAAUUGUUCGGAUCUAUGGUCUGUUGCCGACCGGAUCUGGAAACCUUAUGUGUUUAGGAUUCUAAACGUACGACUACGGUAUUAGAACUAGCAUGUAAAUGUUUCGGAGUGAUAAGGAUGAUUUAAACGUCAAGUAAAGGUCUAAAUUCACCUUAUUCGGUGUAUAGAUCGAGAUGGUAAGGACCCGUAGCGGAAACGUAAACGCAAAUGGGAACAGGAACCAACCCCCAGUGGUUCAGCAAAUACCUGUUGUAGAAGAAGUUGCGCCUGAGCCAGUCACCAUGGCUGGAGUUCAAGCCAUGAUUCGGGCUAUGUUGGCUGAACAAAGGGAAGAAAUGAGACGGAUGUUGAAUAGGGACGAACCUACUAUGCCCAUUGAGCAACCCGAACUGAUUCCCGAGCAAUCUGAGGAAGGGAACUACAGCCGCCAAGUGAGUCAAGUUGGGACUCAAGGUGAGCAAAGGGAUGGCCCAGAAGGGAGAAACAACAAGGAUGGGCGGAUGUACAAGAACUUCUUGGGUGCGAAACCACCAAGCCUCUCAGGAAGCCCAAAGCCGGUUGAGGUUAUGGAUUGGAUCUCUGAGAUGGAGAUGGUGUUUGAGAGCUGCAGCUGUAAUGAGAAACAGAAGACUGUCUUUGCAGUAAGACAGCUGAAAACUGGAGUCUUGAGCUGGUGGAAGCUAUUGGCAGAUACGAUGCCACGAGGAGAAGCCUUAAGGAUGUCGUGGGAAGAGUUUUUGGAACAGUUGAAAAUGCAGUACUGCUCGGAGGUAGAUCUGAUAGACCUAAACAACGAGUUUCAGAACCUGAAGAAAGGGAAGAUGAGUGUUGAUGAGUAUGCCACCGCAUUUACCGAGAGGAUGAAGCUAUUUCCCUACUUGGUGCCUACUGAACUCUCCAAGAUUGAUAGGUUUGCUAACGGACUGCCCACUGACUUUGGUCCAAUGGUCAAAAUGGCAACUACCUUAAAAGCAGCUAUUAGGGCAGCUAAGAACGUAGAGGCCCAGAUAAGAGAAAAGGGUCUAGAAAAAGAUAAGGCAGGAGAGAAGCGAAAGUUUGAGGGAUCUUCGAGGUCGAACAAGGAAAGCAAAUUCUCAAAACUCGGAGGAGCAGAUGGAGGUGAAACAAGAUGGUGUGAUAAAUGCAAGAAGAAGCAUGGUGGGAAGUGCAACGAAGAAGUGACUUGUUACAAGUGUGGGAGGACGGGUCACUAUUCCAAAGACUGCACACAUAAUGACAAAGUAUGCUACGGAUGUGGAGGCAAGGGGCACAUGUCCAGAGACUGCCCAAGGAAAAAUAAAGCAGCAAGACCAGAAACGCCACCAAGGCCAAGGGCAUUUCACAUGAUCCUUGACGAAGCAGAGAACCAUGCGAGGAAUCAAGAAUGAGGACUUCUUACCCGAAGAUCGGAUUAUGCAGUAGCCAUAGUUUCGUAUGAUGUAGCCUAGUAGAGGCAUAGUCUAGGGUGAACUUGAACACCUAUGUAAUCGUUUCAAGAAUUAAUAUAAAACCUUCGUUUUGUUAUCUGAUGUGUUGAAUGAUUGUGUGAUUUGCUGCAUGGUGACUUGGGAAACUGCGAGACAAUACUUGGGACGAGUAUGAGUAGGUGUGAAUGGUAGUAGAGGCCUAUACUACCGGAAGCACAGGACUCACACUUGGAUCAGGGAAAGUCACAAGGUUACCAAGAAGCUAGUAAUUGAUUUCGUUUUAUUCAAGUGUGUUGUUACCAUCGUUUCGGUAAUGACUAAGAAGAUUGUUGAUAUUCCGACCCUAGUGGUCAUAUCGAAUCGAGUCCGACUACGAUGAGUAUGUUGUGUGGUUCAGAGAACCAAGUUUGAUGUAGCGUCCGACUUAAACCAAACGGUUGAAAUCAAAGCGAUCAAUAGAAGUAUCGCACUCGUUGUUAAAGAAGUUGGUGGCUAGAAAUGCCUAAUGUUAAAGUGUGAUUAUAUCACAUUAGAACAUGAAGGAAGGCAUAGCCUGUUUUAGAAUUUAACUCUAAGAGACCUAAGUCUAAGUGUUGCAACAUACGAUGAUAGGUCAUUAGAAUAUGACACAUCGAUCCAUAGUAGUAAUAAAAGAAAUCAUCUCAAGUUCGUAUCCAGUAAGGAUUGAGAUUGUGACUUGAAGGUCAUAAUUGGGAGUCUAGCCUGAGGUAGAGAGCAGGUGCACGAUCGAAUACUCUUAUAGUCAAUGAGAUUAAGAGAUAGACUUGAAGGAAUGUAGAAGUUAUAAUUAUUACCUAGGAAGAAGAGAUGACGUAUGGAGUCAUUAUACGAACCUGUUUCGUUGAUGAUUCUGGGACGUAAUCAUCCUAAGGGGGAGAUAAUUGUAACGCCCGCAAAUCUGGGCUAGUCAAAUUAGAGGCAAUAGGGGUCGAAAACGACUUUCGACAAAAGAUUAAUUAGAAUAAAUAAUCUUAACCAAGUUGUAGAGUAUGUUAGAAGGUUUCCGUACAUAUAAAGAACGCCGAAAUCCGAGUUAUAACAAAGAAGUUAUGACCCGUCGAAGUUUCGCGACAAAACCGGCACGAUACCGGAAAGCGGAAAUAGUGAAUUUACGAUAGAGCGAGAUUUAGCCUUAGCAAUCUAAAUGAAAGUCGUAUAAUAUGUUAAACUAAGAACAUCAAUAAAAAGAACGCCCAAAUCUGACUUCGUAUGAAGAAGUUAUGAUUUUUCGAAGUUUCGGACUAGCAGUGUACAGCCCGAAAUUCGAAUAUUAGAUCGAGCGGUUUUUAGCCGACACGACCUAAACGAGAAUCGAAGAUCUCGUUAAGAGUAGCGUAACGAGAAAAAGAUGGGCGAAAACGGAUGUCGGAUGAAGAAGUUAUGAGGAUUUAACGGACCAAUCGUGUCCCGGCCCGUUAAUAAUAUAAAAUUUAAAAUCGAGCCAAAAUUAGCCGACGAAGUCUAAACGAAAGUUGUAGAGUACGUUCCCACCUUCGCGUGGAUAUAAAGAACGUCAAAAACGGAGGUCGUAUGCGAAAGUUACGAAUUUUUAAAGUUUGUACUCGAUUUUGCGAGAUCAGAUACGAAUUCGCUGACGUGGCGCUUUCCCAGCCGUCCGAUGAUGAUCGUUGAAGUCGCUUCAGAUGGCCGACACGUCGUCCUCGCAUACGCCCCGCAUCCGAGGUCAGUACGCCCCGCGUACCCUCUCCUUACCUCUUCCAAUGUUGCGAGCCAGCUGGUGUGAAGCUGGCACCCUUAUCCGAGACUACGCCCAGCGUAGCUGCUGGACGCGUCGCGUAGUCCGAGGCUGCUGGGGGCUAUAAAUAGCAUGCGAGCCAUUCCGAGUUUUUCACUCCAAGUCCACUUCUUUCUCUCACUAGUUUCUCUCUCUAGCUCAUCUAAACCCCCCAAAACACUAGAAAACCCCCUUAGCACCCUAGGGAAGCCCCGAGGCUCCCGGAGUCCCGAGAAAAAGGAGUUUUUCGGUUUCGAAACGCUGCUCCAAUUAAGUUCUGGUUUUCAAUAAUAUUCACUAUAAGUAUGCUACGCUUACGCAAUUUUUAAUAUAACUUUCAAAUAAUUAUAGGAAUGUUAUUAGGUCCUUAAAAUAAUUAAUUGGGCUAUUAUUAUGAGUUAUAUUGAGCGUUAUUAACGCUUAAUAAUAGUCAGACUAAUUAAUUUGUCGCGGUUAUCGUUAAACUAAACCCUAGUGGUAUCGGUACUAGGUUUUAUCGAAGGAAUAUCGUUUUGAGAGUAUCGAAGCGCUGUCCGAGUGCUGAGUCACCACCUACUCAGGUGAGUGCAUAGUCCCUUUCAUCUUACACAUAGAUAUGAAGUAUUUUAUAUAAACUACGUGCUAUGUGUGCAUAUUAUCUGAAUACUUGUUGUCUAUGCUGGAUGAACAUUUUAUACAUGUUUUAAAGGAUUUAAACUGUAUAACGUAUUUUAUAUAUACGAAUAUGUUGGGUAUGAUGAUGGGUAGAUGAAUGAUGAGAGAUAGAAGAUGACGUGAGUAUACAUUGGCAGCUAUAGACUUAGUGCCUAUGGGACAAACACCGGUAGCUAUGGACUUAGUACCUAUUAGAUAAAGACUGGUAGCUAUGGAUUUAGUACCCGAUGAAUAGACUAUAGCAGCUAUGGAAUUAGUGCUUUAUGAACGAACAUUGGCAGCUAUGGAUUUAGUGCCAGUCCUAUAACCCUGGAAGUAAGGGACUUCGGAAUAAACGAAUGCAGGAUAGACGACUCUUAGGUUAAAUCCUUAAGAGUAAAGAAGAUAACGGGGAUGGGUAAUUGGGUUGAUUGUUUGAUUGAACAUAAUAAUUAUAUUAUUGUGGGUUGAAAACCCUAUGUACUCACCAGGUUUCCCAACCUGACCCACUCAGUUUAUGUAUAUCACAGGUGACGAAGUGAAGUGACAUUACACUGAGAGAUUUAAAAGAGAUGUAGAUCACUAGUGUAAAUCAUUGUAAGUUCUGUUUAUGCUUAUGUUUCGGUAUUAACAAUGACAUCCCAAACGUUUUAAAAUGAAAUAAAUACGUUUCUUCGAAAAUGUUUUAAUAACGUAUUUAACCAUGUUUUUCUGGGAACAAAUUCCGCAACCUUUUUAUAAAAUGAAGUACUCUAAUUUUUAUAAAGCAUAAACAAAAUCGGUCUUUUCUGCCCGUGAUUUUGGGGAUGUCACAGUAUGAGACUCGAAGAUUGUUGGACUCGACGAGUCUUGGGGUGACUCGGCGAGUUGAGUCGUGAUUGGGAGUUUCUGAGUAUAGGGACUCGACGAGUCAACGCGUUGACUCGGCGAGUAGAGUCAACCAGGAAGGUUGACUUUGACUGAGGACUUUGACUUUGACCACAGGUUGACCAGUUGACUUCCAGGGGUACUUUGGUAAUUAUUGGUAUUUAUUGGAUAUUGGUUAUUUGGUAAUGUUCAGUGGUGGAGUUCGUGUCGGUGGUCGGAGGAGCAUGAUCUUAUUCUUUAGUCGGCAGUUACAGGUGAGUUAUCCUCACUAUAUCAACAUCAACAGGGUCUAAGGCACCAAGGUCGGCCCUUUAUCGAAUGGGAAUCUGGGUAGUUGUUUGUUAUGUUAUUGCUUUGCUAUGUCUGCAUCUUGGUAGUUAGGCUGGUAUAUGUUAGAGACCUGGUUAAGGUCGGUAUCCUGGUAUAUAGGAUGAUGCUCUGUUAGUUACCGGUUAGGUCGGUAUCCUGGUUAGGAUGUUGCUAUGUUAUGUGAUCUACUAGAUCGGUUGAUUAGUCGUGAAUUGCUAUAUGAUUAUAUGUUUAUGUGCACAUGGUUGUUGGAAUGGGGUUGGGUUGAGGCGGGUCCUGCUUUGUGCUGUAGGCCAACAUACCAAGGGCGGACCGGUUAGACCGAAGGCCCGGCGAGCGGUACGGAUAGGCUGAAGGCCCCAAGAGGGUGGACCAGAUGUGCCGAGGCUCGGAGAGUGGACCAGAUAAACUGAAGGCCCAAUGCGGGUGGACCAGUCGUACUGUAGACUCGGAGAGUGGACCAGGUGCACUGAAGGCCGGUGCGGGCGGACCAGUCAUACUGUAGACUCGGAGGGAGAGUGGACUAGGUGGACUGAAGGCCCGGUGCGGGCGGAUUAGUCACACUGUAGACUCGGGGAGAGAGAGUGGACCGGGUGGAUUGAAGGCAUGGUGCAGGCAGACCAGUCACACUGUAGACUCGAUAUGCAUGGUUGUUCUGUUUAUGAUAUGAUAUGAUAUGUAUGUGGUAUUGUGGUUGGUAUUAAGGGGGUAACUCACUAAGCUUUCGGGCUUACAGUUUCAGUGUAUUGUUUCAGGUACUUCAGGAGACCGUGGCAANNNNNNNNNNNNNNNNNNNNNNNNNNNNNNNNNNNNNNNNNNNNNNNNNNNNNNNNNNNNNNNNNNNNNNNNNNNNAUAAAUUAUAUUAUAUAAAGGCUCGUUUAGGCUCGCGAGCCUAAUCGAGCUUAGUGACAUAGGCUUGAGCUCGAGCUCGUUUAAUAAACAAGCUUAAAAUUAAGCUUGAGCUCGGCUCGGGCUCGUUUAAAAUUGGUUUCGAGUCGACCUUUUAACGAUCCGAUCUCGAGUAGCUCACGAGUAGCUUGGCUCGUUUGCACCCUAGUUGGUAUUUUGGGGGUAACUCAAUAAGUUUUCGGACUUACAGUUUCAGUGUAUUGUUUCAGGUACUUCAGGAGAUCGUGGCAAGCCGAAGGUGUGAUCGUACCGCUCCUUAGUUUUAUGUUGAUGUUUCUGGGAUACUCUGAUAAUAAAUGAACUGAAAACUGUUUUGUAAUAACUUAAUGAAUAUGGGUUGUUUUUGAAAAGUUUAAAUUGGUUGUAAAUUUUCACGGUGUUACAAGUUGGUAUCAGAGCCUUGGUUUGAGUGAAUUGGAGGAACAUUCAUGUGAAUCUAGUCGCAAAUCGAGGAGAGUUUUCAAAGUGAAAUUGGAAAAUGGUUUUCAAAAAUAAGUAGAGGAGGAUGCGGAGGUACGAUCAGCCAGAGCCAGUAAGUAGACCCCAAAAUACUAUAUAAGUUAUUCGAUUAUGUGAUAUGUUAGAACAGCAUGCUAGUACUAGGCUAGGGAUCUUCAGGAAUUGCAUGGUAUAAUUGCCUGAUUAUAUGAUGCCUGCUAGCCUAGGGUUCCCUGUUACGUGAGGUUGUUAGCAGUUCCUCUAGAGGUGAGGAUUGAGUGUUGCCAUGUAUAUGUUUAUCGCUAGGGUGUUGUGGUGAUACUUGAUACAAAUAUGGGUAGGUGUGGAAGGUAGUAUGGGCCCAUACUACUGAAAGCACAGGACCCAUACGCGUAUCAAGGAAGUCACAACCCCUAGGGUUGGGUUGGGAGUUGGUUCUCGGGUUAUUGGGGAAGCAUCUGAUUUUCUGGCGGUGUAUUUACAGUAUGGUGGUUACCAGGCAUGUUGGGGGUGGAUCGGGAUCAGGAUCGGGAUCAAGAGAGGGCAGUCAGGGUGGAUCAACGCCACCCAAGGUCAUUGGUCAGAUGAGUACGGAUGAGUUGGAUGCCAAGAUUUGUGAGAUCCUGCAUGAUGAGAUUGCUGCUAUGUUCAGGGCGAAGAUGCCGGAGAUGUUUGGGUUGAUCAAGACUGCCAUGGUUGAGUAUUUUGAUGAGCGUUAUGCGGCUCUUGCAGAGACGACUGCCGCGGAUGUAGCAGCGACAGGUGGAGGAGGCGGGGGGGGGUUUCCGNGGGGUUUUCAGUAUCGGGACUUCGAUAAUAUGAAGCCCCCUACUUUUGAUGGAGUUUAGGAUCUGAUCAUUGCUAUGCGGUGGUUGUCGGACGUGUAGGGUUGUUUCUUCACGUGUUCAUGCCCAACGGAUCAGAGGGUGAGGUGUGCUCUGAACCUUUUAAGGCUCGGGGCAAAGGAUUGGUGGAGGUUGACUACGGGAUCGUAUUCUGAUGUGCAGCGGGCUGCGGUUACAUGGGAUCAGUUCUGGGAGAUGUUCAGUACUCGUUAUGUUUCGCAAGUUGAGAGAGAGAGAGGUUGGAUCAGGAGUUCCUGAAGCUGAAGCAGGAUUCAGAGUCGGUGACGAAGAUCACCAAGAUGUUCACAGAUAGGGCGAUGUUUUGCCCUGAGUUUGCUUCAGAGCAGGCUCAGAUGUAUCGAUAUCUGAGUAUGCUCAAGAGGGAUAUCAGACAGUUCGUGUCUACGCAGAGGUGCGAGACCUUGCUGGAGUUGCAGGAGGCCGCUCGACGGCGUGAGUUGGAGAUUGAGUUGCAAUUGAGAGAUCAGAGGCAGACCCCAGUGCAGUCGCAGCCGGCACCAAAACGGUCCAAGACCGUUGAUUCUAGGUUGGACAGUCAGAGCGGCCGCACUUGUGAGAAGUGCGGGAAGGUUCAUACUAGAGCUUGUAGGUCUGGUAGUGCAUGCCGCAAGUGUGGGAGAGAGGGGAAUUAUGCGAGGGAUUGUCGGCAGUCAGCCCCGGUUCAGGAUUUGAGGAUUUGUUAUCAUUGCCAUUAGGUUGGUCAUUUUAGGGCCAACUGUCCACAAAUCGUUUCUAGAUCGGUGCAGGUUCCAGCACCGACCACUUUGAGGACUACUGGCGGGGGCCAGGGUGAAGCGGAGCCUCCGAGGACUCAGGGUCGAGCUUUUCAGCUUACUGCCGAGGAGAUCAGGGCAGAGCCAGAUGCAGCUGCGGGUAUGUUUCCAUUUUGUUAUCUUGUUAUCUUGUGGUUAUUAUGGAGUAUUGUAUAUCUGCUAGUCUCAUUCGCAUGAUUCAUGGUAUUGUAUUCGUCCGUCCUUUCGCCGGGUUUAUCAUAUGAUUGAGGGUUUUGGUAUUAGGAGUCUUAGUUGGUUAUCAUCCAUGGGGAUUGUCGGUGGGAAAUUAGGCUUUUUGGUCUGGAUGUCAGGUAUAGCAAUUGCGAUUUGAGAAGUGUUCAGCGGAGAGUCGAACUUCCUUAGAGUUCGAGAUGUACGAUGCCGGAGGAGUGAUUUUAUGAAGGUCGCUCACUGCAAAGGAAAUCAGUUCAUGGAUAAGAGGAGUACGUUGAGUAGGGAUGACUGAUUUAUGACGGAUGAGUCACUGGUGGUUGGAAUUCAGUGCUCUAAGUGGAGGAGAUUUGAAAAUUCUCAGGAGGAUCGAUAAGCGUUAGAGUUUGAUUAGUUUUUUGGGAUCCAUCAGUGUUUCAGUCAGCCAAGAGUGUGGGCUGGUAUGAGUAAGUGACAGGCCGAUGGGGCGGAGUACAGACCAAGGAUUUCGGAAAGGGUGAUUGGUUGUUGUGAGAACUAGGAUUAGGCCGGGAUCUGAGUAUAUGGAAUGGAGUUAGAGUUCGAAACCCCUAGAGGGCUAGAACAGUAUGUAUGGGAGAGAUUCCUAUGAGGAAUAGUUUGGGAUGAUGUAUGAUAGUUUGAGCGAUUCGGGAAGACUGAAGGCCGGUGGGCAUACCAGUCAGGCCGAAGGCUCAGAGAACGGUCCAGACAGGCUGAAGGCCCUGGAGGGCGGUCCAGACAUGCUGAAGGUUCUGAGAGUGGUCCGGAUUGGCUGAAGGCAUGGUAAGGCGGUCCAGUCAUGUUGAAGACUUUGUAAGUGUUGAUAGAUCUGUAUGUGGAAAGUGAUUUGAGUAUGUUGCCCCGGGUAUUGAUCAUGUUAGUAGAAGGCAGUGCAUGGACCCGAGAGUCCUUGCGAGCAGAUUCAGAGCAUGUGCGAUGCAUGGAGUAGCGGUUACUCUACAAGGGAUAGUGUAGAGUGGGGUGUGAGCAUUGUGGCACUUGUCUGAAGUGGCAAGGUUGGCAAGUAGAUUUACUUGGAUAAGGAAAGGGAAAGGUAUGUAACUCUGGGGAGGAGUGUUGGUUCACGGAAGUGAAAGCAGUAGUGAGAAUGGAUGAUUGAGAGUAUUUCAAUUAUGGUUGUUGAGCACUGUUAUUGUGCCAGUGGUAUGGAAGCACGUCCGGAUUGGGUGUCUAUUGAGGUUAUGGAAGAAUUUCUGGUGGUAUAGAACCAGAGGAGUUCGGAAUGGAUGCAAGGAUGGAGCCUUGGACUUCCAGUAUGGUUGUGAUCAGGAGGUUAUGUAUGCAGUGGUAAUUCAUCCUAGGGAUGUCUGGAGGUAUCGUCAGUAUGUCGGGUUUUUCCAGCCCGAGGAUGUUAAAUCAGGUUCAGCAUGUGUAUGUGAUUGCAGAGGAGAGCUCAUGGGAGUUGCUCUAGAGAUGAAGGAUGUGUCAUCCUGUCAGCACAGAAAGAAAAGAGUUGGAUUCGGAAAGGAAGCGGGAUAAGUCCUAGCAGUAAAUUCGAUAAAGUUAUGUCAAGCGAGGAAAGGGAUAGCAGUUGGUACCGGGUCAGGACCCGGUGGUUCAGGGUGAUAUCUAGUUUGUAAGAGACAAGUGAUUAUGUGAUUUGGAAUGAUGGAAGUAUCAUCGGGUGAUCAUUGGUUGAUAAGUGUCGUUAUCAAAGAGAGAAACUAGCGGCUGGUUUGAAGCAGUUGUCAUGACUCUGUGAGAGAAGAGUUGGACUCAUAGGGUUUGAUAGCAGUGUUUGGAGGAACCUGAGUCGGUUGAGACCAGGAGCUGUGUAGUGGGAGUAUCAUCUAGGAUGUGUUGCUGCAGGCUUCGAGGACGAAUCCUAAUUUAAGUGGGGGAGAAUUGUAACACACCAAGUUCAGAAAUGCAAGUUCAGGGUUCUUAGUGUAAAUAAGGAAGGUCGAGUCGACGAGUCGAUGGAUGAACUUGGCGAGUCAAGUCGCGGUUUUGGUCACGUGUUAAGUGACCAACUCGGUGAGUCGGCAGCUGGACUCAAGAGGGUCCUAAUUUUUGCUGUAGGCCAACAUACCCAGGGCAGACUGGUUAGACCGAAGGCCCGACGAUCGGUCCGGAUAGGCUGAAGGCCCCAAGAGGGCACACCAGAUGUGCCAAGGCUCGGAGAGUGGACCAUUCGUACUAUAGACUCGGAGAGUGGACCAGGUGGACUGAAGGCAAUGCGGGCGGACCAGUCACACUGUAAACUCGGAAGGAGAGUGGACCAGGUGGACUGAAGGCCCGGUGCGGGCGGACCAGUCACACUGUAGACUCGGAGAGAUAGUGGACUGGGUGGACUGAAGGCCUGGUGCUGGCGGACCAGUCACACUGUAGACUCGAUAUGCAUGGUUGUUGUGUUUAUGAUAUGACACUACUAGAAAAAUAGCCUUUUACGACGCGCAAAUUACAACACUCAUUAAUAUAUGUUACGCAAACGAGAGUGACAUUAAAAAAGUGUCAUCUCUUCAGAAAAUUUAAGGAUUUAGGUCACGCAUUAUUGCGUGCCUUUAAAUUAGUGUCAAAAGAAAAAAAAUUAAAAACACGGAGGGCGCUGUACCUUAAAUGCGCGCCCUCUAUAUGUGUCGCUUUAUAAUUUUAAUGAACGCGCGUUCCUUAGUUACAAGCGGGAAAAGAAAAGCCAAAAAAUUAGAAAAGCCCACUACCCUCCCUGCCCUAAGCAUUUUCACGCAUCUUUCAUUCUCCUCACACUGUUGUGCAACUUCUCAAUCAAAGAUCGAAGGUUACGAUUUCAUCUCCAUCUCUCGACUUCAUCAUCUCAAUCAAGAAAAAGGGCUUCUGAUUUCCAUUCAUCUACUUCAUCGUUGCUGUAAUUUCACCUUCUUCAUCUCUCUGCUGUUAUUGAGAAUACUCGCCAAUAGUUUUCUUAUUCCCCACUCGAUGUUGAAAUUUUCAGAAAAAGCCCUAAUUAAGUAUUAUACUCUCAAGUCUCAAUAUUAGAAUCCAAAUAUUGAUUCUCGUUUGUUUCUUAUUCCCCACAGAUAAAUCGAAAAAGGGGAGUUAGAAUGAAGAAGGUAGCGGGAGUUUUGGUCCGGUGGUCGUGGUUCAUUGAUCGAGAAAGGAAGAUGGGAACGCAAGCAGCCAUGGUGGCUCGAUGAUGGAAAUCAAUCGAGAAAGGGGAAGCACCUCUGGUGCGGGAUCGAUUUGACAAAAGGAGAAGGGAGAAGCAGCGACGCUUCUCUUGUCUGCCACAGCUUGGGGGGGAGGUGCUCCGGUGGUCUCCUUGGCUGUUCUUCCUUGUCGCCAGCAGAUUACAUGUAGGGAGGGGACUCAACUAGUCCGAUGGAGUAGGACAAGUAACGGCUGGUAGAUCAGGAUGAUCGAUCUAUUCAUGAGGAGGAGGAGGAAAUUAUUGGUUCCCGGUGAGCCUUCCUUGGCUUCUUAGACUCCGUCAUCGGUAGAAAUCGGAGGACCUUUGGGGUUUGGACAGAUCGAAGGAAGAAGAAUGAAGAAGUGGUGGUCUUUGGUGAUUGAAGGUAAACGGAUGGGGUUUUCUUGAACCUCACAGGUCGUAUUCUUUCUUAGAUUUAAUGCUUUCCAUGAAUCUUUUUUGGUGAUUCCAACACACACAUAAAUCAGCAUUCUCUCAAAUUUCUUUGAAAAUCCAAUUGUUUACUUGAACUUCCUUCUAAUUAAAGCCAUUGGUAGAAGCCUUUCAUCAGCUCGAAUCUUAGUAUCUUUCCAUCCAUAGUCUGUAAUACUAAUACAAACGCGAACAAAACACUCCUUUCUGUUUUCCAAUUUCCACAAUGGUUUCUUCUCAAUUAACUGCUUUAAUUGAAAACAAGCCAUUCAAAUCCUCCAAGAACUAUUUCCAAUUCCCAAAAAACCCUCCCAAUGAAACAUCAGAUACUCUUGAAUUGGACUUUUCUGAUACAUUUGGUCCUCUCCCACUGCCAGCUGGCAAUUCUGAAAUUCCAAGCGAUGACCCUGUGGUCAUUUACAGCCGUUCACAUUCUUUAGUGGGUCCCACGCCAUGUGUAAGCCACUUGCUGAAUCUAAGGAAGUUAACCAUAUGUGAAACGGAUGAAUCAUUGGAGGAUUUCAGUGAUGUGAUAGAUAAAGAGAUUGAAGAAGAAGAUUCUGAAAAUGGUUGUAAGGUGAAAACCAUAGGGCUUGAAGAUUUUGAAGUCAUGAAAGUUGUGGGGCAAGGGGCUUUUGGUAAAGUGUAUCAAGUGAGAAAGAGAGAUAGUUUGGAAAUAUAUGCAAUGAAAGUUGUGAGAAAAGAUAAGAUUGUGGAGAAAAAUCAUGCUGAGUAUAUGAAAGCAGAGAGAGAUAUCUUGACAAAGAUUGAUCAUCCCUUUAUUGUCCAGCUUCGUUACUCUUUCCAGGUACUUUUUUUUUCUAAAUUCCAAAACUACCCUUUUUGUAUCUGUCUAUGCUCACUCUUUUAAUCUUCAGACAAAAUAUCGACUUUACCUCGUUUUGGACUUUGUGAAUGGUGGACAUCUUUUUUUCCAGCUAUAUCAUCAUGGACUGUUUCGGUGAGUUUUAUUUAUUUAUUUGUUUUUGUUACUUUAAAAAUAAAAUAAACUGAUUAAGAAUUUAUGAUUAUGAUUGUUUCAGAGAGGAUUUGGCACGUAUUUAUGCUGCAGAGAUUGUUUCAGCUGUUUCUCACCUUCAUGCAAAUGGGAUAAUGCAUAGGGAUCUUAAGCCUGAAAAUAUACUACUUGAUGUGGAUGGACAUGUACUUUUUUUUGUUUUCUCUCUCACAAACACACACAGUUCUUUUAUUAAACAUGUGAGUUUAUUUAUUUAGGCAUUGCUUACGGAUUUUGGGCUAGCAAAAGAGUUUGAUGAAAAUGCAAGAUCAAAUUCUUUAUGUGGAACAGUAGAAUACAUGUCACCUGAAAUUAUUCUUGGUAAAGGCCAUGACAAGGCUGCUGAUUGGUGGAGUGUUGGAAUCUUCUUGUUUUGAUCAUGAAUUGAUAAACUAAUAAAAGGAUUCAAAGAUGGCUGAGAAUUUGGCAGAGGGCGAUUUUCGUCAGGUCUGCAUAAAACAAAUUGAAUCAGAUUCUUUAUCAAUUAUAAUAUAAAAUCAUUAAACUGAGUUUGAGCUUGUGUUUAUAUAUAUAUAUAUAUAUAUAUAUAUAUAUAUACACUUGCUCUUUUUGUAGAAUCUACCAAGGUUCCUACCUGAGAAUCUUGAGAAUAAUAAAAUGUUGUACGAACGAGUUAGUGUGAUUGCAGUAAACAAAGGGUGCACUCCAUCACAACUAGCAUUGGCGUGGGUUCACCACCAGGGGAAAGAUGUUGUGCCCAUACCAGGAACCACUAAAAUUGAAAACCUUCAGCAAAACAUUGGAGCUUUAUUUGUGAAACUAGCACCACAAGACAUGGCUGAACUUGAAUCUCCACCGGGUAAUUUCUUGUCCUUCCCAACUCCCAAGUCUUAGUUAUGAACAUGCUUAUGGAUGUUUGUUUGGACAAACAUUGGAGCUUUUUGACGUUUUGUUGAAAUAAUUUUUUUGUUUUUUUUACGUCAUGCUCGAAUACAUUUUUUAACAUUUAGUAUGUUUAUAUUUGUUAAAGGAUUACAUAACUACUUAGGAGGUAUUUGACUUAUCUUUUUGAGAGACAAAAGUCUUUUUUGGAAAAGUUACAAAAAGUUAUGUUUUUCUGACUUUUUCAAAAAAUCAGUUUUUUCUUGUAUCAAAAAUUUAAAAGUAGCUUUUAAAAUACAUUUAUCAAACAUCUUUUACAUUUUAUCUUUUUCUAAAAAUGACUUUUCCCUCUAAAAAAGGACUUUUACAAAUUAAAUAAAUUAUAUUUACAAUUCCAAAAGUAUACCAUUAAUAUGAUCAUGUGUUAUAUUUAAUAACAUAUGUAACUUAAUAAUAUAAUUACAUAUUAGUUUGAAAGUUGAAAAGUUAAGAAUCUUUAAAUCAUUAUGGUGCAAGGAAAAUAAUUAUUCUAUGGACUUUGAAAGUCUAAUAUAGCAUAAAAAGGAGAAUUUCAUUUAUAUCCUUACAAACUUUAUAUAUUACGUCUAUAUCCUUAUAAAUUUUGAAAUUACGUAUAUAUCUGUUUCUAACUAUAAUACUACAUUUAUAUCCAAACUCAUAAUUUAACUCAUUAAGGGAAUGGUCUACAUCUCACCAAUAUCAUUUAAUGUUCAAUUUUUUGUGUUAUUGGAAAUAUUAAUAAAUAUAUCUAAAAGUUAAAAUAAUAAAUCAAAUUUUCAAAAAUAAAAAAAAGGUUCAAAUUUUAAAAAAUAUGCAGGUUUUUCAAAGUUUUUUUAGAAAAUAUGAAUUUUUUAAAAAAAUUAAAAUUUUUAACCAAAACAAUCAACGUUUUAGGUAUAUAUAUAUAUAUAUAUAUNNNNNNNNNNNNNNNNNNNNNNNNNNNNNNNNNNNNNNNNNNNNNNNNNNNNNNNNNNNNNNNNNNNNNNNNNNNNNNNNNNNNNNNNNNNNNNNNNNNNNNNNNNNNNNNNNNNNNNNNNNNNNNNNNNNNNNNNNNNNNNNNNNNNNAAAAUAAAAUAUAAAAAACAAAAAAUGUUACAAAGAUUCAUAGUGUUAUUAUUUCUUCGUGUCACGACUUCCAUAUGUUCUUCAAUUUAUCACUUUUCACCUGUUUAAUAAUUUCCACAAAAUUUUCCAAAUCUACAAGAAAAAUAAUUUUUUUUAUUAAUGCAUGAACACUCACAAAAACAAAGGAGGGGGACUUGCUCUCGUGUAAAAAAGGCGUAAAAUCAUAUACCUAGGUUCCAAGCCAAGAACUUCAGCCAUUCCAGUAAAUGACAUAAGGAAUGGAGUGUCUGCUUUUGCUGCUUGGAUAGCAAGCUCGUGAUGACAUACGUGUAAGCCAUCAAAAUUUCCCAAUGCUACUAUGCCUCCUACAAUACAACAUCAAAUUAAAUUCUUUAAAAUAAUAAACAAAACCAACAUAACAUAGUGUAAUCUAAAUAUCUAAUAAUAACAAAAUAUCGGAAUUGAAACCGAAGUUUGAAUCAUGCCUCAAAAGCUUAAACAAAUCAAGUCCAAUGUUCAAAUUCCAAUGAUUAUAGGAUGGAAUGGAAUUGACAUAGCAAAAGAUAAUGUUGAAAUAAAAGAAAAAAAUAUGUACUGAUAAUUGUAAAACAGGUUAUCAAUCGAAAACAAGAAAUUAUUACUUAAGUUAGGCAAAAAUCUAUGGUUUCCUCCGUCAACUUUCUCCCCUAUUCAUGUGUGCAUAUAUAAGUAAUUCAUAUGUGAUUUAUAUGUGAAUCACAUAUAAUUCAUAUGUGAUUUACUUGUUAUUUAUAUGUGAAUUACAUGUUAUUCAUAUGUGAAUUACAUGUGAAUCAUAUGUAAUUCAUAUGUGAUUCACUUGUGAUUUAUAUGUGACUUACAUGAGAUUCAUAUGUAAAUUACAUGUGAUUUACAUGUGAAUCACAUGUAAUUCAUAUGUGAUCUAUAUGUCAAUUACAUGAGGUUCAUAUGUUAGUUACAUGUGAAUCGCAUGUAAUUCAUAUGUGAUUCACUUGUGAUUUAUAUGUGAAUUACAUGAGAUUCAUAUGUAAAUUACAUGUGAAUCUAUAGCAGCCUAAAAAUCCAAGGUAAAAAUUUCAUUUUUAUUAUAAUCAAAACAUUAUUGUAACUUUGUUCAAAACAUUGAAAAGUAUUUCAAGUAAUACAAUUAUCAGAGUUCAAUCCUAAAGAUUACAUAUUGCAGAAAACACGGGUGUAUGCGCUGCGAUUGUCUCGUGCUCUAUCAUUUGAAAACUGAAGUACCUGAAACAAAACUGCAAUCCGUAAGCACAAAGCUUAGUGAGUUCCCCCAAAAUACCACAUACUAAUCAUACAAUAAACAUAUAGUGGGCCCCUCCCGGUCAUCGAGCUGAGCUCGAAAAGCAUAUAAACACAUACACAUGUAAUAUACACAGCAUACAAAUAGUCAUUGGUCUUCACCCGACAUUGAACGUUAGUCCAAAAGUAUAUAAACACAGGUACAUGCAAGAGUCACAAAGACAGCUAAUAUUCUAUUAGCAUAACAUAAACAUGGGUCGACAUUGGUGCCUUCGACCCGCUAAACCCGAUAAGGAAACUCACCUCGAAUGCUGAAACUCACUACAAGAAAUCCUUAGUUGUUGCCCUGACAACUUCUUGAGCUAACAAUACCAAAAUAUCACCCAAUUCGCAAUUGGGUUCCAAACCAUGAUCCAUAAUCCAUACUUGGGGUGAAAUGACCAUUUUACCAUUGGCCCAACAAGAUUCAAAACCACAAAAUCCAUAAAAACCCACUAAUGGCCUAAUUUUCCAAAUUGGGCCCAAUCCCAUGCGGGCCUUAUCCUAAGCCUAUAUUUUACAAUUCAGAUUGUUUCAAACACCCCUUGGGACAAACUUGAUCAAAGGCAUAAGUCAAAAGUUGAAGUCAACGGCCCAAGUUGGCCCAACUCGCCGAGUUUCUUCAUUAUACUGCAAAGAUUGAGCAAAACCCCCUUAACUCGCCGAGUUCACCAAAAAUCCAACCUCUUAAUUCAUUAAGUCGACAUUUUCGAAACUAAGGCCUUCUUAACCCAGACCUUAACUGAAAUUGCCUCAAAAGGGUAAAGUUUCCAACUUUACCCCCUAAGAACCACUAAAAUGGGUUCAAAACCCAAACCCUAAACUUAAAAGGGUAAGGACUUAAUCAUUAAGCACUUAUUCUACAAGGACACAACUCCAAGAUGCAGAUCUGACCAUAUGAGGCUAGAUAGCCAUGUAAACUUUCCAACUUUACACUUAUUCAUGAUUAGAAGAAGCUCAAAGGCUUAAAAGAGACCAAAAGAAGGACUUACUGAAUGCAUGAAGCCCUUAAGAUCAUAAAGUUGGCACCUUUAUGCCAAAAGAGCUCAUGAAGAUCAUAGAUCUGGAAAGGAUAAACACUUUGGACUUCUACUUCCUCAACAACCACGCAUCCGUGGCUAAAAGCAUACAAAUAAACCUAAGAAGAGAUCUAAGCCAAUACUAAGCAAGGUUAGAGCUUUAUAUACCCAAAAUAUGCUGAAAAUUAAACAGAGAACCAAGAUCUGAAAGCUCCUACUUGAACCACCACCUUGCACCAAGCUUCUCUUCCUUCAAUGAGCCUUAAACACGCCAAGACACACCCACAAUGAGCUCACAACACUCAAGGAGGCUAUAGGGUGUCGAGAUUAGGAUUAGGGGCUAUGGAGGUUGGAAAUGAGGUCAACACUUGGAACUUAAGGUGUUUAAAUAGGGUGCAAAACCCCAAAGUUAGGGUUUCCUAAACAACGCCCAACUCGUCGAGUUAUCUCAUUAACCUCGCGACCAAAACAACCUCUACUCACCAUCGCCGAGUUAAGGCUCCUCAACUCGUCUAGUAGACCAAUUAAAUCCUCAUGAUUCUUCAUCUUCAACUCGCCGAGUUCUACUUGACAUUGGCCUAAUUCCACAGUUAACCUUUUAGAUUUCGGGUGUUACAACCCUACCCCACUUAAAUUAGAUUUUGUCCUCGAAAUCGCUCGUUAUUAACACUCAUACCAAAACGACAAACCUGACAAUUAUAAACAAAAAUAUUACGCACAAAAUGAUCUUCCCUAGGGAACUAAAACCAAAACCAAAAUCGAAACUUUUAUCCUGAGGACGACAUCCAAACCUUCAGCCGCUGCACACACUUCUACCUUUCUGAGACUAGAAUCUAUAAGGGUCUAACUCCCUGACAUACCGCUCAUGCUGAAACAACUCCAUGCCCAACUCCCACACCGAACCGCCAUCGUGCCAGCCUCAUAGAGUUUCAUACCAAACAAAUACUUCCAACCCCCGAACACAUUACCGCUUCAAAGGAAAACAAAGUCACUGACCAUAAACAGCUACAUAACACUUAUACUCGAAAGAAGGCUCAGAUAAUCCUUCGAGUAGAAGAUUCAUUCCUACAACGGUUAGACUCAGACAAGAGUUGUGCAACAGGGUCAAAUCAAUUACUCUGAGAUUAUUUAAUCCCACUGCGAGUGACUUAGCAUUUCCCAAUCCACCAGUUACUCCACACACACACGAGACCCAAAUCACUAAUAUCGCCCAAAACACUGAAACUGCCCGAAACAGCAUGUUGCCUCCCGGCUGCUUUCCAAAAUCCACCGAGACCUCCCUGGUCCUAAUUCGUCAGCCAGUCAUCUGAAAUACCAGGUUUCAUCCCUGUUGCUGAGCAAAAAGAGUCCCACAUAGUAGCCCCUCGCGACUUCCGACAAAAAGCCUUAUAGGCACUAACUAUCCAAACCAUCUCGACACUAACCCGAUGCUAAACUGAACGCUGCAAGACCAACUAUAGUCUUUCCUCAUACCCCGGUCUCCCACGACCUACCAUAACCUGAUUCCAAACAUAUUGUGGCCCUCCUACAACCUUGCGACCUGACCCAUCCUGGCCUAAACCAUCCGAAGAAAACCACGACCAAAACACAGGUUUACCAUAAUCUCACCGUUGAAUGCUACGGGCCACCCCACACUCUUACAACACUCCCACACUAACUGACCACUACUGAAUGCUACAGGCCACCCCGCAGUCUUACAACACUUCUACACCAACUGACCACUCGUAAAUGCUAUGGGCCACCCCGCAAUCUUACAACACCUCUACACCAAUUGACCACUAGUGAAUGCUACGGGCCACCCCACAGUCUUACAACACUUCUACACUAAUCAUAAUUGCGGCCCACUACCUUACCCUAAUCUAUCAAAUCGAACGCACCCAGAGUGGAGCACACACUCGACCGAACGCCCAAGCUGAAUGAUAGGCGCAUUUUAUGCACCUAUUUUUCAUGUUAUUUAUGUCAUUUCAUAGCAUUCUACUUCAUAAUUCUUGCAUUUUGUUAAUUAUUUGGGCAAUUGCAUAUUUCAUUAAGAAUGCCUGGUACUUCACCGUUUUUGAUUUAUUUUGCAGGCAUUAUGGACCGUGGAGCUUGGAGCAUGGAGGAUGGAACUUGGAGGCAUGGAGCUUUGGAGCAUGAAGAGAAGAUGAACCGGUCAUUCCAUGGCAGAAAACAUGAAGACAUAACCCAAGUCAUUGUUGCAUUGUCAUCAUAGUAAAGGACUACAUUUGAAACGUGGUUCUUGUCACACCGACACGGGUCGUGUUUGUCCUUUAUCAUCUCAUACUUGAGCAACAUGACUCGUGGUGAAGUUUGACCGAAGAUGGAGCCAACAAUGAAGACUUAUUUGUGUUUUAGCAAAAAGCAUGGGCCAUGCCAAAAACACAUGGGCAAAAGGCAUGGCCAUGCCAAAAACGCAUGACCUCAUGGCAUGCACGUGAACAUAAAUUAAAACAGGAGGAGACGUCAUUUUUUUGCAGGGGACGGUUUCUGGAGCAACUAGGGGCGAUCUUGGGUGAUUUUGGGAGAAUUCUAGGAGCUUUUGAGAAGACCUAAUCAUUGCAAACACUUUUGAUUUCAUUUUUGUAAGCAUUAAAAUUUCCAAUUCCAUCUUUAUUCUUGUUUGAUUUGUUCUUAGCCAUGUGUGGCUAUGAAACCCUGGUUUCUAGUUCUUGUUCAAAACAUGUUGAUUGCUUGACUUGAAGCAUAUGAUUUGAUGUUUGAUUCGUGAUUCUAUUCUAGUGAUUAUGUUUUUUUUUAAACUAGAAUCCUUGAAUUUGAUUUGUGUUUGAUUGGCCACUUUCAUGAAUUGAAUUUUUGUGCAGUUAAUUAACUUUUAGGGCACCUAAUCAUUCUAUUGCGUUACUAAUUGGUAACAAGCAAUAAGUUUUCUUAUUGUAAAACAUAUAUCACAUGUUUUCAUACUUCCGAGCGUAUGAGAAGAAAUGAACAUUGUUGGGAAGCUUGUACAAAACUUAAUGCAAUUUUUAAAUACAUUAUAAGAGCGUGUUNGCGUGUUUAGGUUGAAUUAGUAAAGCUAGGUCUAGUCGAAGAGCAUGUUUUGGUUUGAUAAUUUGGCAAGCGAGAGGUAUUAGAGCGUGUUAAUACCUUUCAGUACCAACUUAGAAUAGUAAUCACAAAUUACAUCAAGUCACAAUCAGGUUAAAUGACAACAUUGAGAACUAGAACUAGAAGCAGUUUUACAACUUGUUCACAAAUCUAUUUCAUUUUCUGCACGUUCCAAAGUUGAUUUUUAUUUUCAUUAUUUGAAUUUUGCAAAAAAAACCCCCCUUUGUGACCAAAGUAUCUUGCGCAAAGAGGUAUAGACUUUUAUCCCGUGUCUCUGUGGUUCGACCCUGCUUGCCUUGUACUACUUUUUAGUGCAUUAAAGCAGUGUAGUUGGAGUCUAUUGUACCCCUAUCAUUUGUUGGGUUUGACACACCUAACACUGAACUCGAGCCACACCUGGAAUCCCAACCUGGUUCCCCAAAGCCUUCUAUCUAGCACCAAGAGAAUGCGACCUUAAUGUUUGGUGAGUUUCACGAUCUUCCAACUCAUACAAUCCUCAAUCCAAAUAGCGACUUGUGUUGCCUUCCUCCCCGAUGGUGAUGCAAAACGCAUCCUAGAUUCAGAACCACUUAUGUUCCUGAAUCCCUAAAUAGAGCUGACAAGAGGUCGACCUAGGUUGGCUUCGGGGUCAACCCAUUUAUUAAUUAGGUUGAAAAUAUCAACCCAACCCAACCUGUUUAUUUAAAUGGGUUGAUAUUUCCAAUCCAACCCAACCUUAUAAAUAAAUGGAUUGCCACCAGGUUGACCCAUUUAUGUAGUUCUCGAUCCAACCUAUGAAAUAAAUGAGUUAAACUUAGGUUUACUUAUUUGAAAUCAAAAAAUUAAAUACAUUAACUAAUGAUUAAGCUAUAUAAAUCAGUUUCAAACAUAAAUAAAAUUUCGAAGUACAACAAAAACACAAUCACAAUUUACAAAUUUGAAUAAAUUGAUCAAAUAACAUAAAAAAUAUUUAAUUUCAAAAGGAUUUUGGAGAGUGGCUUGUAUUUUUGGGGAUAAGAAAAAAAGAUGAGAAUUAAGAUUACAUUUUUUAAAACACAAAUAAUAAUAUAACAUUUUAAUUUAUAAAUUAAUACUUCGAUUAAUACAUGAUAAUAUUCAAAUAAAUAUUAAAUUAAUCAUAUACUAAAGUUAAAUAGGUUGGUGGGUUGAAAACGGGUUGAUAAUUUUUACUCAACCCAGCCUAUUUAAUUAAAUGGGUUAGACGGGUUGACCCAUUUAACUUAAAUGGGUUAAAAAUCUUAACCCAACCCGCUAAUUUUGGGUUAGGUCGAUUUUUGCCAGCUCUAUCCGUGGAUGAUUCUCCUCAACUUUGAUUCGACUAAAUUCUCACAACACACGAGAAUUGAAGAAUUCCCAAUCCUUCUCACUUCCCAACCAUCGAUCCGCUGACAACCAGCACUUAUUCUUUCUAAUGAUCCCUCACUAGCCAACUAAAAAGAUUGCACAACCCCUGAAGACCGGCUAAACACUUCCUGAAUCCCUGUAACGCUGAUGAUCCCAGAUGCUUAACCUGAUAUCUCACUCAAAUCUUGAAGUCCAAAUGACGGAUGCUCCAACCAAAAUAUCAACAACAAACCACCUCCCUCAACAACUCCAAAAACCAAUCCAAGCAUAAUUGGUAAAACCACUAGAUCAUGUCGAUAUUAUACAACUAUCCCGCUGAAUCAUGCCCAUAAACCUUCCACACAAUGCCCCUAACUGAUUCCGACUACCACCGAGAUAACAUAGAAUAAUCCCAACCUGCUAUAAGAGAAACAACCCUUUACAAAAACACUAACGAUUCAUGGUAUGCAAAUGACAUAUAACAUUUCUUGAAGAUAUAACUCAAACAUAAGUAGAGAAAUAAACCAGAGAUACAGUUACCCAAACCGAUGCAAGAUUCCAAUCAACAAAAUACAGAGAAAAUUGAAAGAAAGCAAAAGAUACAUACCCGCAAUGUCGCCUGGAGAAACCCCGGAUGCCUAUUUUUGUUGAAGUACCUACGAUGAAACCUGGGUUGCCCCAACCACUAAGCAUUGGUAACCCGCACCUGCCACACUUAGACCUGUUGCACUCAUCCCCAUGCACCCCUUCGCCCUUUGUGUAACCACUAUGACCCCUCAGGCCUCUGACACCAGCAAUGGCAGCGACCAACUACUCAGAUCGCCGAGACAGACUGGAAGUCUGCUUCCUCUUUCCCAACUGCCUAUCUAAACUAAUCUUCUGCUCCUAGGUUACCUCAACCAGCCCAUGAACCGCCUGAGUAACUGAGGCUCGCUCCUCGAACCUGGUGACCACUCUAUCAAUGACACGCCCAAUGAUGUUGGGUAACUCCUCGCGUAGGGCUUGCGAAACUUUCACGACAAUCCAUUCUUGUGGUUGACCCUUCUGAAGACAUUGUGCACUAUUCAACUUCGAUCCCAAAUGACAAGAGCUAACAAUAGGAUCCUCCUGCCUGUAGGUUCCUAGGAUUCCACAAGCUUUGGGCUCUAUAUGAGCCCCCAACUUGUUUCCAGUGUGGACGAUGAAGCGAAUCUUGAAUGAAGUUGUUGAUAUGACAAGUCAGUAUUGGUUGGAACCGGUUAUGUCGUUUGAUCUUUAAAAUUCUCAAGACUUGCAACUAGACCUUCCAAUUACUCCAAAAGCUUUUAAGUUUCGUAGCUUUGUGAAAGUGUUGAAUGCCCCUGUAACGGAUAGUGGUGUUGAUCACUUACUCUUCUCCUUAUACCUCAAGCAUAUGAAGCAACAAUAUGAGAUGUGAAGUGUGAGCAAGAUUACGGCAGUGAAGGUCACUGGUCCAAUCGAAACUGAUAGCUUCCCAAAUGCAAAGUUUAAGGUUGCGAGAGGUUCGUCCAGUCAGGUCUGCGAAUUCACUCUUGCUGAUCUGCAAUGCCUUAACCCAUAUGAUUAGAUCGUGCUUUACUAUUAUUUGCUGAGGGAUGGUCAGAAGUAUGAACCUAUCAUUGCUCACCUCAAACAUAUGAUAAUUUCUUACAUUUAUGAGGUUGGGCAGAUGGAUGUUGAAAUAGAUGUUGUGUUGCGAAGGAAACCAAGUAUUCUUCCUAAUGAUAACCCCGAUGGUUUUGACAAGAUGAAGCUUGGGAAGAUACAUAAGAACGGAUGGUGCGUGGCCUUUCAACUGGAGGAACGAAAUGAUGCAGACUUUCAAAAAUUUUGUUUCUUUUUGGACGACAAACACUUAUACACCACUUUGUGUCUUGAAUACGUUUUGGACCUCGUCAACAGAUACAAGGGCAACAUAAAGGGUGACAAGAAGUGCUUCUCGGAUAUGAUUCAAUAGUAUAUCUAGGUACACAUGGUUCUGCUGAACAUUAUUCCGAAAGUCUUUGAUAUACAGAAUCGAACAUAGCCUUGAUGGACUCUCGUCUCAAUUGACGUAAAAGGGGAGAUUGUUGCGAAAUUAGUGUUGCGUUAUUGUGUUUUAUUAAAUUGUCAAUUUAUGUAAACGGGCUUGGGCUUGUCCACCCGUCUUUAAUUAUUAGGGUUAGGGUUUUUAAGGUGCAUGCAUGCACCGUGUUUUUGGAAUCUUGGAAAUAGCCUUGUAACCCUACACGCCUCUACAGUUGCAAUUCUUCAUCGAGCUCUUCUGAGGCGUGACUUUGAAUCAUUAAGCAUAUUUUGAUCCAUUCUUGUGUUCUUGUUUUCUAUUACCUGUUUGAAUCUGUCGAUCUUUAGAGAUUUUAUCUCAAAACUUCUCAUAUCUCAUCUAUGUAUUUUACUUUGAAAAAACUGCCCUUUACAUUUAAUUUUCAAAAAUUAUCCCAUUUUUAGCAUUUAUCUUUAACUUUUCUUUCAGUAACAUCAUUAUUGAAACAUCAAACUUCUUUUUUUCUCAUUUAUGUAUUUUACUUUGAAAUAUCUUACAGCUAAAACAUUCUUCUUACAAAAACUUUCCAUUUUACAUUGAUUUUUUAAAAUCAUCACAUUUUUAGCAUUGUACUUUAACUUUUGUUCAGGCGCCAUAUCGCCUUGCACCACCAAAGAUGCAGGAGUUUUCCUCUCAGCUUCAGGAGUUGUUGGGCAAGAAGUUUAUCGGACCGAGCAGUUCACCCUAGGAAGUAUCGAUUUUGUUUGUGAAGAAGAAUGAUGGGUCCCAUCGUAUGUGCAUAGAUUAUCGGGAAUUGAAUAAGUUGACGGUAAAGAAUCGUUACCCACGCCCUAGGAUUGAUGACCUCUUUGAUUAGCUACAGGGUGCAUCUUGGUUCUCCAAGAUUGAAUUGAGGUCAGGUUACCACCAGAUGAGAGUCCGGAAGGAGGAUGUGGAGAAGAAAGCGUUCUGAACUCGUUAUGGUCAUUACGAGUUCGUGGUGAUUUCGUUUGGGCUCACCAACGCACAUGCAAUAUUCAUGGAUUUGAUGAACUGGGUAUGCAUGUCGAUGCUCGAACGGUCGGUUACUGUUUUCAUUGAUGACAUUUUGGUCUGAUCCAAGACUAGGAAGCAGCAUGAGGGGCAUCUUAGAUUAGGGUACCGAGACAGGAGGGGCUUUAUGCCAAGUUAAGGAGUAGGAUGAGGAGCAUCUUAAAUUAGGGUAUUGAGACAGGAGAGGCUUUAUGCCAAGUUCUCCAAAUGUGAGUUGUAGUUACGAGAGGUCCAGUUUCUAGGACACAUUGUCAAUCAGAACGAGAUUCCGGUCGAUCUGGCCAAGAUCGAGGCAGUGAUGCAAUGGGAAGUCCCGAAGUCUCCGUCUGAGAUUAGGAGUUUUCUGGGGUUGGUUGGUUACCGUAAAAUCCCAAAAAUCAUGGUAAUUUAAAAAAAAAAAACAUUUUCAUAAACCUUACGUCAUACAAAACAUUAUUCCAAAACAUAAUCAUAAAAUCAAAGUAUCCUCUUCUAGAAGGUGUACGCGUUGUACCCGUGCCGCGCACAUAAAUUUUUAUUUUUCUUCUAAAAAUCAUAUAUUUUUUAUACGACCUUUGUUUUUGACGUUCUUUAUAUCCACAUGUAGCUAUCAUCGAGUACUACAACUUUCAAUUUCUACUUUGUUUUAGACUUUGUUGAAUAAUUCUAACUUUAUUUUUGAUUUUAUAUUUUUAAAGUGAUUAGACUGUUAAAACUCAUAUAAAAAUCAUAACUUUUUCAUACGAAUUCCGUUCUCGACUAUUUUAUAUUGAUGGAAUUGUGUUCACCAUAUCUUUAACUCUCAUUUACUUUGUUUUGGAUAACACUCAACCAAUUUUAGUUUCAAUUUCAGUGUCCACACUAUUGCACUGAAAUUUUGAAAAAUCAUAACUUCGUCAUACGAAGUCAAAAUUUGAUAUUCUCCAUGUGCAUGUUUUUGCUUUUAUGGUUACUACGAUUUCAUUUAGAUUGUUUAGGCUAAUAAACAACCUAUCUAUGAUUGUAUUUUACAACACACUUAUUCGUAAAUGACUGAAUGCAAAACUUUAAACAAUCAUAACUUGUUCAUACGAAAUCUGAUUUGAGCGUCCCUUAUAUCUUUGGAAUCAUCAUCAUGAUUACUACAACUUUAUGAAGAUUAUUUAUCCUAAAUAAUCCUCUACCAUAAACUUUACUUUUAUCGCUUAAUGAAAAAUGACCUCUAUAGUCUUGUAACACACACCACUAACAAUUAUCUUAUUCGAUGAUUAAAUUAUUUAAUAAAAUGAAUAAAUUUUAUUAUAGUUACUCAAAUAAUCAAGCCCUAACUGUAACAUCCCAAAAUACGAAGGUAAAAUAUCAUUUUUAAAGCAUAAUCAAAACACACAUUUAUCCUUUAUUCAAACAUUUAGAGUAUUUCAAAAUAAAAACAAUUAUCAGAGUUCAUUCCCAAAAUCACUAAUUGUGGAAAACACGGGUGUAUACGUUGCGAUUAAGCCGGGUCCUUCACUUUUGAACCGGAAGUACCUCAAACCAUAAACCACAAACUAUAAGCACAAAGAUUGGUGAGUUCCUCAAAAUACCACAUACCAUACAUAACAUACGAGCCAUACAUAUCAUGCAUACAAUAAGAGGUGUUAUGUGCCAACCAUAGUCUUGUCAUUAUGUCACGAGCCGUAUCAUGGUCUUUCCUUGCCAAUUCGGGGUCCAAAACCUUGGGUUUUACAGACAAGUGACAAGAGCAACCUCCUGGUCUUCCAUGCAAGCAUCACAAAGACAACUAGCAUACAAUCUACAACUACUUACCUAAUUAACUGCCAAAGUCCAAACUCGGGCCUUGCAUACAGAUUUCCAGGAGCCACCUCCUGGUCUUUUAUACAAAUACCAAGGGCCACCCCUGGUCUUCCUAAUAUACAUAAACCAAAUGGGCCGGCAUUGGUGCCUUCGACCCAUAAUAUAGCGAGGAGACUCACCUUGAUAGCUGAACCCAUAAUAAAUCUCUUACUGUUGAUCCGCUAGAUUCUCCGCGCUAUCAAACAAAUAACAGCCAAUUAACAAUUGGGUUCCAAACUGAAUCCAAUAAUCCAUGUAACACCCUUGAGUUAGGGUUAGACGUUUAAGGGGUAAUAAUAAUAUUAAAUAUUUGUUUUAUCGAACAACUAAAAUCCUCAAAUAUGAUAAACGUUCUUCGUAUGCGUUACAAGUUAUAUAAAUACUUAUUUAUUAUAUAGUGUUAUAUGGACACAUAUAAUAUCAAUUUAAAAUUCAUUGAUAUAUAUUUACAUAUUGGAAAGUUGUAUUACGUUAAACAAUAUACAUAUUAUAUAUAUAUAUAUAUAUAUAUAUAUAUANNNNNNCCUACAAUAUAUAUAUAUAUAUAUAUAUAUAUAUAUAUAUAUAUAUAAUUUCAAAGGUUUUAAUAACUGAAGAAAUGUAUGAAUACAUUUUGUGAAUAUAGUGUAUAUUGAUCGGAAGCUACCGGAUUAGGAAUAGAUAUAUAUUUACUAAUAUAGAUCAAUUAUUAAUAUAAAAACGUGGGUGUAGAUUAUUGGGUCAAAAUAGAGACUUGAUAGUUGCAUCACACAUAUCUAUAGAAGCCUACGUGUAGUGAUUAUAGCUUUCAUGCAUAUCAACUUCAAAUUUUCCUUAGACACCAAGCAAAUUUUGAUUUGCCGGAUAGCAUCUGCGCAUGACUAUAAAUAGAGUUCUCUUUUCAUCAUAACAUGUAUGAAUUCAAAUUUCAAAGCAUACGACUCAAAACAUAAUUCUAGAAAGAGUAUAUGAUAUUGUCUUUUUUUAAAAUAAGAGGGCAAUUUUAGAUCGAAGAGUUAUUAUCGGAAUUAUUACGAUCUGAGGCUUACACUCGUUAUAUUAGGUGGGUGUAUAGUUACUUUCAUCUUAUACAUAGAUAUGAAGUAUUUUAUAUAAAAUACAUGCUAUAUGUAUAUAUGUUGUUUGUUUAUGGAUAUUGAAUGAAUGUUUUAUACUGUAUAUGUAUUUUUAUCUACAAAUAUGUUGGGUGUAACAUGGGUAGAUGAAAUAGUUGAUGUGUGAUGAAACAAAAUGAUGAGAUGUCUCGAUGUUGACGAUGUUCCAGUCAUCUAGAAGAAUAUAGAUGAUGACCACAGACUUUUCUAGAUAGUCCAGUGGAACGUUAACAGGUUCGUAAUCUGUAGGUGUUUUUUUUGAAUUAUUUGUUCAUCCGGUGUUUUUGAACUAUGUGAUCAUCAGGUAUUUUUGAACUAUAUGCUCAUUAGGUAUUUUGAACUAAGUGUUCGCUAUGUGUUUUCAAACUAGGUGUUCAUUAGGUAUUGUGAACUAAGUGUUCACUGGGUGUUUUUGAACUAAGUGUGUUCAUUAAUUAUUUUUGAACUAAGUGUGUUCAGUAUGUAUUUUUGAACUAAGUGUGUUCACCAGAUAUUUUUGAACUACGUAUUUACCAGAUGUUUUAAACUACGUGUUCACCAGUUGUAAUUUAAGAACCCUGGCAGCGAUGGACUUCGCGCCUAUUCCUUAGGAUAAUCCUUACGCAUGAAUGAAUGAAGGACAAAUGAUUCUUAAGAUCUUUAAGAAUAAAGAAGAUAAUGGGGAUGAGAAUUUGGGUUGAUUGUUUGAUGUUUAAACAUAAUAAAUUUAUUUAUUGUGGGUUAGAAACUAUAUAUGCUCACUAGGCUCCCAAGCCUGACCCACUCAGUUUUCUAUAUUACAGAUAGAGGAACAAGGGCAUAGUUGGAUGAUGAUGAGAGAUUUUGGAUUAUAGGCAAGUAGAUGUAAAUAAUUGUUGUAAGGCCUAUUUUAUAUUGUUUAUGCUUUUGGUCUAUAUCGAUGUUGACAUCCCGAUUUUUGUAAGGAAAAUGAAAAUACAUUUCUUUAAGAAAUGAUUUGAUAAAUGUUUAUCAUAUUUAGUUUUUGGGACAAAUUUCGCAACACUUUUUGAAAGAUUACUCUAAUUUUAUUUUAAAAGCAUAAACGAAAUCAGUAUUUUCUGGCCGUGAAAAUGGGGAUGUCACAAUCCAUAUAUGGGGUAAAAGACCAUUUUACUCAUCACCCAGUUUGGUUCAAGACUAAGGCCCAAAUGGGUAACGAUUCAGAACAUGGCGUUACACUAACUUACAGGAGUUACAACCAAUAAUAAAGAUUAAAUAAAAUUAUGAACAAUAAAUGAUAACAAUAGCAAUAUGUAUGCAUGGCUUGUUAAGAGCUAAGAUCACAAUCCACAAUGGACAUACCAACCAACAUAAAAUUCGGCACUACAUUCAUAAUAUCACACCCAACAUGUCAAAUAUGUGAAGUUCAAUAAAAAAAAACAUAGACUCAACAAUAAGGUGUACCUAAUUUUACAAAAUAAUUUUGAACACACCAUGGUGUGACAAAUCCUAAACCAAAUGAGGACUAAAUUUUCAUGUGGGGUUGUAAGGCACUACACGACACUUAGGGAUACUUUUGGUUCUAUCACAAAACAUAGAAUGCCCAAAGCCGAACAUACUACCUUCCCAUUAUUCCAUUUCUCCCCAUUUACGUGACACUUUCAUGGGUGAAAUAAGUAUAAUAUAGCAACGUUUUUUUUUUGAAAAACAAGAAAUUUAUUAAAGCAACACAAGCAAGAUGUUAAAGGAAAUUCAAGGCAAAUUGGGACUGAUGUUCUAGCUUUCCCAUGACAAAAAUCUAUCUUUCCUAACUCUACUUUUUAUCCACCAAAAGGAGGUGGUUUUAAUUUCCCAGAAAAUGGAAUUACAAUUCAUGAUCAUGCCCUUGAAGAUCUUACAUUUUAUAUACCACCAUAAAACCCAUAUGAAAGCCAAUAGAAUCACUCAAAGUCUAUUGCUUUUAUCCUUAUUAUCUGCAUCUCUCUUCUGAAUAGUUUGGAACAUAUCUUCGAUGGUAACCUUGUUAGUUGGGAACUCAUGACUCCACAUAUUAAUAAGAGCGAUAACUUCCUUAUCUAUCGAACACUUAGUAAACAUAUGGUUCUCCGUCUCCUCAUAACUAUGCCACAAAGGGUAAUGCGUGUGUAACGACCAAAAAUUUCAACCAAUUUAAAAUAUUUUAUUUCAUUCAAAAACCAUUAAGUUCAUACAUCUUGUUUGCAAAAUAGUUUAAACAUCAGAGUAUCCCCCAGAACCAUAUCACAUAGAUCAUAAAACAUGAGGAGCGGUACGAUCACACCUUCGCCUUGCCACGAUCUCCUAAAGCAGCUGAAACAAUAAACCACAACUGUAAGCCCGAAAGCUUAGUGAGCUCCCCCAAAGUACCCAUACACAUAAACAUACGCAUACAGCAAAGAACAACAUACUACGGUUCCAAUCAACCUUCUGGUUGGAAACCCCUGGCCCUCAAUUAUCGGGUUGGAAUGCCUACGUACUACGAGCCCAAUCAUCCUAUCGGGAUGGAAUACUCUCGGCCCACAACCAUCAGGUUGGAAUGCCCAUACACCUAUAUGUAAAAUAAUAACUACUAUGGGUCCAAUCAUCCCUCAUGAUGGAAUACCCCAGGCCCCUCAACCAUCGGGUUGGAAUGCCAACAUACUAUGAGUCCAAUCAUCCUACCGGGAUGGAAUACUCCUGGCCCACAACCAUCAGGUUGGAAUGCCCCACUUCCUAUACAUACAACAAUAACUACUAUGGCUCCAAUCAUCCCUCAGGAUGGAAUACCCCAGGCCCCUCAACCAUCGGGUUGGAAUGCCAAUCUACACUAGCAAACAUGUAUACAUAACAAGAAACUACAUAACACUCUAUAGAAUCAACAUACUAGGGCCCUAUCAUCCUACCGGGAUGGAAUACUCCUGGCCCACAACCAUCAGGUUGGAAUGCCCCACUUCCUAUACAUACAACAAUAACUACUAUGGCUCCAAUCAUCCCUCAGGAUGGAAUACCCCAGGCCCCUCAACCAUCGGGUUGGAAUGCCAAUCUACACUAGCAAACAUGUAUACAUAACAAGAAACUACAUAACACUCUAUAGAAUCAACAUACUAGGGCCCUAUCAUCCUACCGGGAUGGAAUACCCUCUGCUACUGCUCAACACACAUAUACCACAGGUAACCUCCUACCAGCAUACAUAAGGCAAGACCAACUACAGGUCUAUACUCAUAACCACUACUCGACUACCAGGGUGCUGACCCAACAGAACUAGCCAUCACUAAACUAUCCAUUCCUCUAGGAUACUAAGCUAACAAAGCAUAUCCUCAUAUCAUCAUCCUAUCUACCAGGAUACUAGCAAGCAUAUCAUCACAUAAACAUAACAAGCUCUAAACAACAAUUCAAAGGGCCGGCCUUAGUGCCUUAGACCCUUGAGUACAGUGAGGAUAACUCACUUGAAAUGAAGAACCGAACCACGGAAGCACACACCCAAAGCGCUACUCCAAACUCCAACACCUCCAAUAUAAGCUCCAACUGAAGUAGAUCCUGGAUCUACACCACUCCUUUGCAGCAAGCCUCUUGAUCUUCAAGCCCCUCUCCAAUAUUUUCUCCUCCAAAGCUCUAUUAUCUCUAUUAAUGGAGGCUCACUCAAUUCUAGGGUUUUUGGAUCUCAAAAGGGUAGCAAAGAUGCUGAGGGUAAUGUGCUUUAUAUAGGGCACAACCCCCGGGAUUAGGGUUUUCUCUCUUCAGCACCAACUCGUCGAGUCCAAGCCGCUGACUCGGCGAGUUGGCUACUUAGUCUACGACCCAAUCCCACUCCGACUCGGCGAAUAAGAAGACCUACUCGUCGAGUCCCUUAUUUUAUUUACACUUUUGGCCCUUCAUUGAACUUCUGAAAUUUCAGGAUGUUACAACUCCCCCCACUUAAAUUAGGCUUCGUCCUCGAAGCCUACUGCAACAUACGUUCCAGAACAAACCCCUAGCACUGCAGACUCCAGUUACUCAGUCAACUCAGGUUCUUACAAACCCUACUUCUACAUCUCUCUUAAAAUGGCUUAUUCUUGCGUGGUAUCCUUGCCACUACUCCAAGCCAACUAUUGGCCUUUCAACUCAAUAGCACCACUUAUCAACCACGAGUCACCCGAUAAUACUAACCCUUCAUAUCAUGGACACACUUUCGCGCCCUGCGAACGCUAGAUUCCACAAAAACCCACUAAGCUCUGCCAAGACACUAAUCCAUCUUCCUACGCCCAAAAAUUGGCGAUAACCCUAAUAACUUGCAACCUGGACGAGGAAACACUUUGACCAGGUGUUGGAAUCACAUGUGAUUUAAUAAGAGGAAGUGUACGACCACUUUGAGGAGUGUACGGCCACUUUAAGGAGUGUCGGCCACUUUAAGGAGUGUCGGCCACUUUGAGGAGUGUAUGGACAUGGGUGUGCGGCCAGGGAGUGUACGACCGCACACUCAUGGUAAUGAGUGUAGAAAAGUCUAUUCCAACGGUAAGGAUGCUUGUGGGACAAUUGCUCAUCAAGUGGUGAAGCUAGAAAGGCACUUUGGAGGCCCAUAAGCACUAAACAAAGGGGUGUACGGCCACAUGGAGUGUGUGCGGCCACACACUCCUUGAUAAACAUGGUUUUGACAUUUUAUAAGGAUCAUAUCUAGUAAGUAACAAGCUUAGGGAAUGGUACUUACAAUAUAGAAGCCUUUAGGGGACUUUUGAUGGUGUUUUGAGGGGUGUAUGGCCACACCUUUGAAUGCGGCCGCACACAACAUUUGAUUAUGAGUUCUGGGAAUUUUCUAGGACUAAAUCAAGUGUUCUAAGAAAGAUUCAAGCAAAGGGAAAGAGUACCUACGAUCUGGAGGCUCAAGAAGGCUCAAAAUCACCAAGAACAAGUGUGUUUUCUUGGUGUUCUUGGUGAAAUGGAUGAAGAUUUGAAGAUCUAGCCAAAAAAUGAUUUCAAAUGGAUGAAAUCAAAGGAUGUAACUAGUUUAAGAAGAUUAACAACAAAUCAAGGGAAGAACACUUACGUUCUUGAAGAUCUAGGCUGAAAAUCGGAUGCUGGUUGAGAGAGAAAUCAAGUUCUAGACUUGGGAGCAUGAAAAGGGAUGAAAGAAGGCAGAGUUAUAUACGUACACACGCGAGUGUGUGGCCUGGAGAGGGGUGUGCAGCCGUACACUCCUAAUGUUGGAGUGUAAGGCGCGAUUUUGGUGCUAGAAGUGUACGCGAUCCAUUCCUACGCUCAAUACUUGAAUGUACGGAGCUUUGAACCUUCAAACGGACUCUAAACAAGGUUAAAUGAUGGCAGAAACGAGUCUGGCACUCAGUUUUUGUAACACCCAGAAUCAGAAAAACUAAGAAAGGAAAGGAAAACCCUAAGUCAAGGGGUCAACUCGUCGAUUCCAUAGGUGAACUCGACGAGUCGGAGCGGGAUCCGAGUUAUGGAAUAAGUGACCGACUCAGCGAGUCGACAAGUGGACUCGACGAGUCUGGUCUGAGCGAGGAAAUCCCUAAUCCGAGGGUUUGCACCCUAUUUAAAGGACCUUAUGUCCUCUCCUUAGUCCCCCCUUGUCGGCCAGAAGCUGCUAUACACGAUUCUAAACCCUAAGUUGAGUGAGAGAAGGAAGAAAGUGAGUUUGGGGCUUUGCAAGAGGAAGAUUUGGAGGAUUUCAUCACUAAGGAGCUGGAGGAUCCAACCCUUUUGUUGUGAGCAUCAGUUUGAAGGUAACAAUUUGUAACCUUGCCUUUGUUGCUUCUAGAUCUUCUAAUGGAUGAUGUUUUGGGGCCAUUUUGGUAUGAUAAGGAUCCUUUUUGAGUUAGAAGUCCAUAUCUGAGGUUGCUACUUCAGAUCUAGGUGUAUCUUGGUCCAGAUAUCCAUAAAGUAUCAGUGUUUGGAGUGUUGGUGAAGCAUGUUUGCCCCAAACCCUAGCCCUAGAGUGUUUUAAGCCCAUAGCUCCUUGGUUUCACGUAAAGUUUGCAACUUUACGUGAGGAUUAUACUUUGGAGGAGUGGAUCUAUGAGUUGGAGCCCCUGCAUGGCUCGAAAAGCCACUGUAUGGAUUAAGAACGGAAGCUACUCGACGAGUCACAUGGGGGGGCUCCGCGNUAGUCAGGAACCCGACGAGUUGGAAGAACAACUCAGCGAGUCUGUUCUUGGACUCGACGAGUUGGAUCGCAGAACCUCAGCCUUUUCUGGUUAAGACUUAGAUCGGUGAGUUGAGUGGUAACUCAGUGAGUUGGACAGGAUGGGACUCAGAGAUCAUCGAACUUGACGAGUCGACGUGGUGACUCGGCGAGUUGAGGCGUAUUAUGUGAGUUUCUGAGUAUAAGGACUCGACGAUUCAACGGGUUGACUCGACGAGUAGGGUCAGUCAAGAAGGUUGACUUUGACCGGGACUUUGACUCUGUCAAGAAUGAACUUAGUUGGCUUCUAUAGUUCUCUUUGGAUCUAAGUGUUAUGUAUAUUGAUAUUGGUUGCCCGGGGAGCUAGUGUAGCAGCGGUUCAGAGAAUUGUCGGUCAGCAGUUUUGUAAAACGAGUUUUGAGAAAGAAAACAAUUUUAGUAAAGCAAAAAGAAUUCAAAAGGAAAAUAAUUUUGAUAAGAAAAAAAGGUGUGGUGCAUGCAAUCAGCCGAACUCAAGUAAGUACCCCAAAAUACCCGUACAAGUUUAUAUUAUGAUUAUCAGUUAGUAGGACAGCAUGUUAGAUUAGGACUAAGGAUCUAGGGAGGAUGCCUUAUGUGCCUGUUAUAUGUGCUUUGAGCUGCAAGAUAGUGCUGAUUAGACAGUAGUAGGAUAGCCUGUUUAGGUUAUGUCUGAGUUUAUGAUCUUAUGUCGCAUGCUAGUACAGAUUCUUGCUAUGAGAUUAUGAUUGCUUGAGUAUGUUAUGGUUAGAUUUUCCCUUGUCUGAAUGCUGCUUGCUUUGUGCAUUGUGGGAUUCUAAGUGAUGGGAGUUAGCCAUUAGGUGAAUACGUCACGUUACAUGUGAUCAGGGUUGAAUAAUCUCAGAGUGUUGGAUUUGGCCCUAUUGCGCAGCUCUCGUUUGAGUCUAACCGUUAUAGGGAUGAGUCUUUUACUAGAAGGAUUAUAUGAGCCUCGUCAUAUGUUAUGGUAUUCGGUGAUGGCUAAUUGGCAUCACAAGGAGGCCUUCAGCAGCUGAGGACUGGUUUGAGUUGAGUCAGAGGUUUCCCUAAGGUAAGCCUAGGAUGGGAUAGUGUUGGGAGCUGUAGUAGUAAAAAAAGGGACCUGGUGGAGUCGAAGCAGUUCUUGAGGAAAGUACGGAUAGAUGUGGAAGGUAGUAUGGGCCCGUACUACUGAAAGCAGAGGAUCCGUACUCGAUUCGGGAAAGGCCAAGAUGAGACCGGGAAACUUGUAGUGUGUGUGUAUGAUCCCUUAGCAGUGAUGAGUAUUCUGAUAGUUAUUGCGAUAUGUUUUCAGCAUGGUGACAUUGCGAGAGAGACCACUGGGCGGAUCAGGCACCGGAGAGGGAUCAAGCUCGGGUUUAGGGGCCGAGCAGCUCGAGGAGCGGAUGACGGAGUUGAUAUCAGCUGAGGUUACGCACAGUAUCCUGGAUCAGACUCCUGUGAUAUUUGGCACGGUCAAGGAGGGUAUACGGGAGAUCUUGGAUGUGAGGCUGGGAGACUUUCGUACCGAGAUAAUGGCUUUGAUUGGAGCGCGUACUAUGACAUUCCGAGAGUUUCAAGCUUGCAGAGCGCCAGAUUAUCAUGGGGCUAGGGACCCCAUCGCUAGCAGCAGGUAGUUGGCCGAUGUUGCCAACGCAUUCCAUACGAGCCGGUGUCCUGAGGGGGACAAGGUCAGACUCACCUCCUGUCUUCUGAAGGAUAGAGCGAGAGAUUAGUGGGAGGAAGUUGGUCAUGCCAUUGGUGAUGAUGCCGCGUUGGACGCGAUGUCAUGGAGCGAUUUCUUAGCUAAGCUUAGGGCUGAGUUUUUACUGAUUAUUGAGGUGCAACAGUUGGCACGGGAGUUUCAGGAUUUGACGCAGACUACUGAGACUGGCGGAGAUCACCACCAAGUUCAGGGAGAGGUCCCUUCUUGUUCCGCAGUAUGUCACAGAUGAGGAGAUGAAGAAGGCCCGAUACCACGAGAUGUUGAUAGACGACAUCAUGCAGUUUGUGAGCAGGUCCAGCUGCAAAACGUUGGAGGAUAUGAUCGCACGAGCUAGAGAGAGAUUGACUUAGAGCAGAUCUGGAAGAGGAAGCCGGAUGAGGUUCAGGUAGCCACAGGUUCGAGCAAAAGGCCCAAGGGGUCAGAUUCGAGAUCGAGGGAUUACCAGAGCCGCGGCCGAUGCGGGAGGUGCGGCAGGACGCACGAGGGUGUGUGUAGGAGUGGUAGUGGUGGAGAUUCAGGUUGCUUCAAGUGCGGCCAGACUGGUCAUCUUAGCAGAGAUUGUACUGAUACCACCACACAGGGAUCAGACCUGAUAUUUUUUCACUGCAGUCAGUGAGGCCACAAGAAGGCCCAAUGCCCCAGUUUGUUUUCGGCAGGACGGGUGAUAGCACCUGCCCCUACAACUCUGAGCAUCACAGACGGCCGUCUGGGCCGAGCAAAGGCGCCUGCGGUAGGAGGCAUGGCUUUUCAGAUGACUACCAUGGAGACGCGAGCAGCUCCGGACGUUGCAGGUAUGUAUGUUCCGUUUUCUGCUUUCUUUAUUCAUGAUUAUAUUGUUAUGGAUCUGCAUCGUUUGUGGUAUGAGUAUUUUAGAAUUGAGCGGCUUGCUUGUGAUUUAGUUAUAUGCCAUCUGCAUACCUUGGAUAAUAAAGUGGUAGUUAGGGGGUGGUGCCUUAGGGAAGCAGGUUACUUAGGAUGCAGUAACUAUAGCAUGCUGGUGUGCAACUUAGUAGUGACCCGCUGGAUUCAGAAAGGUGUUAUUGAGUGAUGGAUCGGUUAGACCCCUAGCUAUGGCAAGCUUGGUUCUUCAGCGGAUUGAUUGCGGUAUAGCAGUGAAGAUUUGGAAUUCUUCUCAACCAUUGAGCAGUGAGGUAUAAGCAGGAUCAAAGUGGGGGAGAACCCUCUGAGUGUACAAGGGUAAGAGCACGCAGAACCAAAAUGAGUACAAGACCUUUGAGAAGGAAAAAAAGUAGCACAUCGACUGAUGGGUUGAGGAGUUCAGCGUUGGGAGUUUGAGAGACUUCCCAACAAUAGUUCAUGUAAUCGAGAUGGUUAGUAUCUGGUUGGGAAUUCGGGUUGGAGGGUCGCCUGUAGGACUCGAGAAAGUUGGAAGGAGAAUUUUGAGAAUGGUUAGCAUGGGAUGCUUUCGUGUUAAUAGUCAGUGGCAGAGACAGCAUGUAGAGCAUGGUAGAGCGGAGAGAAAGCCGCAACAUUUUUCAUCAGCGAGCCAGAGGUAGGAAUUGUUGUAAGACUACAGGGUAGUCGUAGCAGCCAGUGAGUAUGGAAGGUGUGCAAGGCUACGGGUAAGUCGUGGCAUUCCCUAGCAGCUUAGUUAGCGGAGUGUGGGCGGAGGCCUGUAUCUCCUAGUUAGCGGAUUUUGGGCGAGGCCCUUAUCUCCUAAGUGAUCAAGGUGGGGAUCAGGAAUGGGUAGUAGAUGAGAAUAGUUGGAGCUAGCCUGCAUAGCCCUAGAAAAGUGAGACCGUGGGCGAGGCCCGUAUGUGAGUAGCAGUAUAGUUGAGACCUGAGAGCAGGGUUGCUCAGUAGUAUAAGCGGGUGAGACCCGUGGGCGAGGCCCGUGAGUUUUGGUAGCACAGGUGGGACCUGGUAAGGACCUUAAGGUCGAGUUAGGGGGAUCGAGGACCCAGGACUUGUAGCGCUAGAGUGGCAGAGUAGAGGGGUAGUAAUAGGUAGCCUAAGUUUCCUCGGAAGUCGCUAGGAGCGACUAUAAGUUUGUGUUGGGGCUAGCGACCGGUGGGAGCCGGUAAUCCAGAUAUUGAUAGAUCAAUAGGGACCGGGGUGGCUUCAGUUCAUCCGGAAGGCGGAUAAGGGACGGCAGAAAUUUUCAGUUAGUGGCAGUGAUGGUAAGUAGACUUUGGUGGAAUAUAGUUAGUUGAUCGAGGGGUGCCAUGCACAUCACAGCAGGUUGGAUAAUCUCAAAGGGAAGGUUUUGACCCUAUUGCGCAGCUCUCGUCUGAGUCUAACCGUUGCGGGGAUGAAUCUUUUACUCGAAGGAUUAUCUGAACCAUUCGUUGGGAGGGGUGCUCAGCACUAAGCUAUAGUAGUGAGAAGUGUUCAGUGGAUACUGGCGGUAAUGACCCGUACUGGAAGUAGCGGGAGUAAUGGAAUUGGUGAAGGAUAGGACCUUCACAGUGUCAGAGGAAGUAGUUGGUUAUGGAACGUUGCCUUGGGGAGGCCAGAAAACACACAAGGAAAAGGGAGUGAGCUCCUAGGGUGUCCAGAAUAAGUACUCGGGGAGUAGCAGAAGGUUUGUCAGUUGAGUAAGUUUUGUUCCCAGGAUGGUCAGGGUUAGGGUUGACCCGAGAAUAUUAUACGCAAGGAUUAAUGUUAGUCAGAAUGACUGGGCGGAAGGCCAGCGAAGGUAGUCAGCGGGUGUUAGGUCUACCAAGCAGAGUGUUGAAAGCAGAUUGCAGGGAGAUUGGCCGUAGAGAAACUUCGAGGACGAAGUUUAGUUUAAGUGGGGGAGAGUUGUAACACCCAGAAUCAGAAAGACUUAGAAAGGAAAGGAAAACCCUAAGUCAAGGGGUUAACUCGUCGAGUCCAUAGGUGAACUCGAAGAGUCGGAGCGGGAUCCGAGUUAUGGAAUAAGUGACCGACUCAGCGAGUCGGCAAGUGGACUCAGCGAGUCUGGUCUGAGCAAGGAAAGCCCUAAUCCGAGGGUUUGCACCCUAUUUAAAGGACCUUAUGUCCUCUCCUUAGUCCCCCUUGUCGGCAAAAAGCUGCUAUACACGAUUCUAAACCCUAAGUUGAGUGAGAGAAGGAAGAAAGUGAGUUUGGGGCUUUGCAAGAGGAAGAUUUGUAGGAUUUCAUCACUAAGGAGCUGGAGGAUCCAACCCUUUUGUUGUGAGCAUCAGUUUGAAGGUAACAAUCUGUCACCUUGCCUUUGUUGCUUCUAGAUCUUCUCAUGGAUGAUGUUUUGGGGCCAUUUUGGUAUGAUAAGGAGCCUUUUUGAGUUAGAAGUCCAGAUCUGAGGUUGUUACUUCAGAUCUAGGUGUAUCUUUGUCCAGAGAUCCAUAAAGUAUUAGUGUUUAGUGUGUUGGUUAAGCAUGUUUGCCCCAAACCCUAGCCCUAGAGUGUUUUAAGCCCAUAGCUCCUUGGUUUCACGUAAAGUUUGCAACUUUACGUGAGGAAUAUACUUUGGAAGAAUGGAUCCAUGAGUUGGAGCCCGUGCAUGGCUCGAAAAGCCACUGUAUGGAUUAAGAACUAAAGCUACUCGGCGAGUCACAUGGGUGGACUCGGCGAGUUGGAUGAAGAUAGGCAGGAACUCGACGAGUUGGAAGAACAACUCGGCGAGUCUGUUGAAUAUUUCCAUGGACUUGGUGAGUCUGUUCUUGGACAUGACGAGUUGGAUCGCAGAACCUCAACCUUUUCUGGUUAAGACUUAGAUCGGUGAGUUUAGUAGUGCUCAGUGAGUUAGACAGGAUGGGACUCAGAGAUCGUCGAACUCGACGAGUCGACGGGGUGACUCGGCAAGUUGAGGCGUAUUGUGUGUGUUUCUGAGUAUAAGGACUCGACGAGUCAAUGGGUUGACUCGGCGAGUAGGGUCAGUCAGGAAGGUUGACUUUGACCAGGACUUUGACUCUGUCAAGAGUGGACUUAGUUGGCUUCUAGAGUUCUGUUUGGAUCUAAGUGUUAUGUAUAUUGAUAUUGGUAGCUCGGGGAGCUAGUGGAGCAGCGGUUNCGGUUCAGAGAAUUGUCGGUCAGCAGUCAGAGGGUUAUCAGCAAAAGUUCAGUAGUGCAGGUGAGUUUUCCCUUUGUGUGAAUGGGUCUAAGGCCAUAAUGCCGGCCCAUGUAGAUAUAAGUAGGAAGACCCACGGGUUAGCCCUAGGCAUUGUAUGCCAGUAUGAUAUUUAGGAUCAAGGUCCAUUGAUAGCGGGCGAGUGCCUAAGGAAUGGUUUACAUGAUAGAGUAUACUUGUUGUCAGUGUGAUACUUGUGUGUGCCUGGUAGGGAGGUGAGUGUGGGCGAGGUCCCAUAUUUCACUAAUAGCUAAGUGUGGACGGUGUUCCACAUCUCAUUAGCAGCAGAACAGGGGCGAGGCCCAAGUUAAGGAAGAUUGAGUGUGGGUUGGGCCUGUAUCUCACUAUCAGUAGGAUCGUGGACGGGGUUCCAUGACUCAUCAGUAGUAGGACAAGGGCGAGGCCCAAGAUAGGCGAGGCCUCAGGACAGGAUUCAUUAGUAUAUGUUAGCUUGUGUGUUGUGAUAUGUUUAUGUGUUAGUAUAUGUUAGCGGGAGAGGCCCAGUGACAGGCGAGGCCUAAGUAAAACAUAUAUGUAUCCGAGCGGGGCUCGAAGCCAGGAGGGGCCUGGAGCGGUGGGGCCGUUGUAGCGGGCAAGGCCCGGAAUAGCGGGCGUGGCCCAGUAUGUGCAUUAUGUGUUUAUGCAGGGUAUGUGGUAGGUUGGGGGAAAUCACUGAGCUUCGUGCGUACGUUUUUCAGUUUUGGUUUCAGGUACUUCCGGUAGCGGAGGGAAGAGCUCGAGGUGAUCGCAUGGCACACACCAUUGAUUAGUCAGCCUGGGAUGUUUUACUCUGAUAAUGAAAAUAUGUUUUGGAAAUGAUACUCUGAAUUCAUGUUAUGACUUAUGAUAUGUUUUUAUGAAUAUGGAUUUGGUAAUGAUUUAAAGAAAAAAUUUUGGCAUGGAUUUUUGGGACGUUACAGUUUUGUUGACUUGCUGGGCUUUACAAGGCAAAAACUUUUUAAAAAAAUUAUGGGUUGUCACGGGUUUCGACGUCGUUCUAGGAAUAGAUUGGCUUAGCACCAACGAUGUUGAGAUUCUUUGCAGGAAGAAGAUAGUAAGGGUGAACCCACUCGGAAAAGAGUCAUUUAUGGUGUAUGAGGACAAAUGGAGAGCGAAUUCUGGAAUCAUCUCCCUGAUGAAAGCCUGGGAAUGUUUGUCCAAGGGAUGCACAUUGUAUUUGGCAUUUGUGAUCGAUGCUAAGAUGGAAAAGAAGGAGGUGUAGAAUAUACCAGUGGUGUGUGAUUACCCGAAAGUCUUUCCCGAAGAUCUUCCCGGAUUACCGUCUGAUAGACAAGUAGAGUUCCGAAUAGACUUGUUACCAGGGACGACACCAAUAGCAAAAGCAUCGUACCGAUUAGCACCGACGAAGAUGAAGGAGCUUAUGACGCAACUUUAGGAGUUGUUGGACAAGGGUUUUAUUCGACCAAGUUCAUCACCCUGGGGAGCUCUGGUGUUAUUCGUGAAGGAGAAAGAUGGAAGCAUGAAAAUGUGAAUAGAUUAUAGAGAAUUAAACAAGGCAAUGGUGAAGAGCAAGUACCCAUUGCCAAGAAUUAAUGACCUAUUCGAUCAGCUGCAAGGUUCGAGUUAUUUCUCAAACAUCGAUCUUAGGUCAGGAUAUCAGCAGCUGAAAGUGAGAGAGCUGGAUAUUGAGAAAACUACGUUCAGGACGAGAUAUGGACACUACAAGUUCUUGGUUAUGUCGUUUAGACUAACCAAUGCUCCAGCAACAUUCAUGGAUUUGAUGAACAGGGUUUGUAAACCAUUCCUCGACAAAUUCGUGAUAAUGUUCAUAGCUAUGAACAUUCUCAUCUACUCGAAAAGCCAGGAGGAGCAUGGCAAACAUCUAUAAGAAGUGUUGAAGAGGGAGAAACUUUAUGCAAAGUUCUCCAAAUGCGAUUUUUGGAUUCGAGAAGUCCAAUUCUUGGGUCAUGUGGUUAACCAAGAAGGGAUAAUGGUUGACCCAACAAAAAUCAAAGCGGUGAUGAAGUGGGAACGACCGAAAAGUCCCACGGAGAUUCAAAGCUUUCUGGGAUUAGCUGGAUACUACCAAUGAUUUAUCCAAGGAUUUUCUUCGAUAGUUGCUCCAAUAACAUCUUUGACCCACAAAGGAGUUACUUAUACAUGGAGUGAGAAGCACAAAGAAGCAUUCAAGAACCUGAAGAAGAAGUUGUGUGAAACACCAAUUCUUUCUCUACCCGAUGGAGUUGAAGACUUUGCAGUGUAUAGCGAUGCGUCAGGAGUCGGGUUGGGUUGUGUUCUGACCCAAAGAGAAAAGGUGGUAGCAUACGCAUCUCGUCAAUUGAAGGAGCGUGAAAAGAACUGCCCCACUCAUGAUCUGGAGUUGGCAGCGGUAGUUUUUGCCGUGAAGAUAUGGAGACAUUACCUCUAUGGCACGAAGUGCAAACUUUUCACUGAUCAUAAGAGUCUCUGGUAUCUCUUUAAUCAGAAGGAAUUGAACAUCAGACAACGACGCUGGCUAGAGAUACUCAAGGAUUACGAUUGUGAGAUACUUUACCACCCCGGUAAAGCAAAUGUUGUUGCUGAUGCUCUCAGUUGAAAAGUCAACCUUGAGAGAAAAAGGCCAAGAGCGUUGAGGAUAGAAGUUGUCUCGACGAUUGUGGAAAGUACCAGGAAAGCUCAAGAAGAAGCUUCAGAGAAAGAUGACCGAAAGGAAUAACGUUUGGGAAAAAUGUUAGUGUUCGGUACAAACAUUCAAGGAUUGAAGGUAUUCCAAGAUCGGAUUUUGGUACCUAAAUAAGAGAUCUUCUGAUGGAAGAAGGGCACAAGACCAUGUACUUAAUUCAUCCCGGCAGCACAAAAAUGUAAAGGGACCUUAAACCCUACUAGUGGUGGCCGACGAUGAAGCUCGAUGUUGUAAAGUAUGUUGUCGAGUGUGUAACCUGUGCAAGAGUUAAGGCACAACAUCAAAAACCGUAUGGGAGUUUAGAAACUUUACCUAUACCCAUGGGUAAAUGGGAAGACAUCACCAUGGAUUUUGUGACUAAAUUGUCCAGGACGAAGAACGGUCACGACAUGAUUUGGGUAGUCGUGGAUCGUUUCACCAAAAGUGCACACUUCAUAUCAGUCAAUGAAAGGUGGUCUAUGGAUAAGCUCGCAAAUGAUUACGUGAAGGAAGUGGUAAGACUUCACGGUGUUCCUCUAACGAUUGUAUCAGAUCGUGAUAGUCAUUUCACCUCACGGGUUUGGAGAAAUCUACAAGAAGAAUUUGGUACGAAUUUGUGUUUGAGUACAGCUUACCAUCCGCAGACUGAUGGUCAGAGCAAAAGAACGAUACAAACACUGGAAGAUAUGCUGAGAGCAUGUACCCUAGAUUUCCAAGGGAAUUGGGACGAGCACUUACCUCUGGUAGAGUUUUCCUAUAACAAUAGUUUCCACUCGAGCAUCAAGAUGGAACCUUAUCAAGCUUUGUACGGACAGAAGUAUCAUACGCCAUCUUGUUGGCUUGAGGCUGGAGUAAAGCAGUUUAUGGGCCCCGAGAUAGUCCAUGAGACUGCUGAGAAGCUGAAGGUGAUUAGGGAAANNNNNNNNNNNNNNNNNNNNNNNNNNNNNNNNNNNNNNNNNNNNNNNNNNNNNNNNNNNNNNNNNNNNNAAGGUGAUUAGGGAAAGAAUGUUAGUAGCUCAGGAUCGUCAGAAGAGCUAUGCUGACAAGAAAAGACGACCGAUGACUUUUGAAAUUGGAGAUUCAGUUUUGCUUAAAGACUCACUGUGGAAGGGACCUAUAAGAUUUGGGAAAUGAGGAAAGUUGAGUCAAAGGUUUAUUGGACCGUUCAAAGUUCUUCAUAGGAUUGGGAACCAAGCUUACAAGCUUGAAUUACCCGAAGAACUAUAUGGUAUUCAUAAAACUUUUUAUGUGUGUUUUUUGAGGAAGUUUACAGGAGAAGUUCCCGACAUAAUUCCAAUCUCAGAGUUAAGAAUGGAUGAGAAUAAGAGGCUAAUCGAAGAGCCUGAGGCAAUCGUUGACCGUAAGACUAAGAAGUUACGACACAAGAUGGUCGAUUUAGUGCUAGUAUUUUAGAAAAAUUCGAAUGGCCCGAAUCUCACCUGGGAGACAUAGAAUGACAUGAUGAGUCGCUAUCCACAUCUGUUUGUUGAUGCAUGGUUCCGGGGCAGAAUAAUCCUAAGGGGGAGAUAAUUGUAACGCCCGUGUUUCAGGGAUAAGUAGUAGUAGAUGAUGUAAUAGUCUAGGUCAACUAUUGUAACACUUUUUGAAGUAAUAAAGACGAAUUAUUUGAGUAAUACGUGAGCUAUAUGAAUUUAUGUGCUUAUUACUUGUUUAUAAUGAAAUAAUAAAUAAAGGAUAAAAAUAAGCGUAAAAAAUAAAGCAUUAGAUAAACCCAAUAUCGAUGAAGAAAGUUGUAUUGGUCGUGACAAGGAUUUCGGACAUAUAAAGAACGCCAAAAUCCGAGUUAUAACGAAGAAGUUAUGACUUGUCGAAGUUUCACGACAAAACCGACACGACGUUGUGUGACGUAAAUAGUUAAUUUACGAUAUAUGACUUUUUUGCCUUAGUAAUUUAAACCAAAGUUGUAGUAUACGUUAAAUCGAGAACGUGCAUAAAAAGAACGUCCAAAUCUGACUUCGUAUGAGGAAGUUAUGAAUUUUCUAAGAUUUGGCUUAGCAGUGCACAACUCGAAACUCGAAUUUUAGAUAGAACGGUUUUUGGCCUAUGCGACCUAAAUGAGAAUUGAAGAUCUCAUUAAUAGGAACUCAACGGUAAAAAGACAGACGGAAACGGAGUCCGUAUGUAGAAGUUAUGAAUUUUACAUGGACAUUUAACAGUAUAAUCUCCUCGUACUGUUAAAUUUAAGAUCGGUCGAGAAUUAGCCGACAGAGUCAAAAUGAAAGUUGUAGAUCUUAUUUUUACCUAUGCGUUGAUAUAAAGAACGUCAAAAACGGAGCUCGUAUGUGAAAGUUACGGAUUUUAGAAGUCGAAAGUGUGCACGAAAAUGGGUGACGUGGCACAAUCUUGGCCAUUGCUUUCUCCCCAAGUCUUGCCACCGGCACCAAGUUCAGCCAUAUUUCACCCUAUAAAUAUAACCUCUCUCACCCUCAUUUUCUUCACACCUUUCCCAUUCUUUCCUCUCUCUACUCUCUCUCUAAACCUCCCAACCCCCCCNNNNNNNNNNNNNNNNNNNNNNNNNNNNNNNNNNNNNNNNNNNNNNNNNNNNNNNNNNNNNNNNNNNNNNNNNNNNNNNNNNNNNNNNNNNNNNNNNNNNNNNNNNNNNNNNNNNNNNNNNNNNNNNNNNNNNNNNNNNNNNNNNNNNNNNNNNNNNNNNNNNNNNNNNNNNNNNNNNNNNNNNNNNNNNNNNNNNNNNNNNNNNNNNNNNNNNNNNNNNNNNNNNNNNNNNNNNNNNNNNNNNNNNNNNNNNNNNNNNNNNNNNNNNNNNNNNNNNNNNNNGACGGCUCCGAGAAGAAGAGAUUUUCGGCUCGGGAACGCUGCUCCAAGCAAAGCCCGGUUUUCAAGAAAAACUGUUGUAAGUAAGCUACGCCUACACUAUUUUUAAUAUAGCUUUUAAUUGAUUAUAGUAACAUUAUUAGGACCUUAUAAUAAUUAUUUGGGCUAUUAUUAUGAGUUAUAUAAGUGUCAUUAUAAUAUUUUUUAACUACUCGCUGUACGGGAAAUCUGGUUUAAAGGGCCACAUAGGGUUGUUGGAUUUCAGAAGUGCUAUAUGCCAAAAUGGUCAUGUCCUCCGGUGUUUUAUGUCUGGACCUUGUCUGUACAUAGUGGUUGGAAAAUGUUGUUUAAACGCUUAUAUAAUAAUAAUAAUAAUAAUAAUAAUAAUAAUAAUAAUAAUAAUAAUAAUAAUAAUAAUAAUAAUAAUACUAAUAAUUAGUCACGAUAAAUAUUAGACUAAAAUCUAGUGGUAAUAAUACUAGGUUUCGUCGAAGGAAUCACCAUCUUUUCAGGUGAGUGCAUAGUCAUUUUCAUCUUACACAUAAAUAUGAAGUAUUUUAUAUAAAUUAUGUGCUAUGUGUGCAUAUUAUCUUUAUACUUGCUAUCUAUGCUGGAUGAACGAUUUUUAUACAUAUUUUAAAUGAUUUAAAUUGUAUAUGUAUUUUAUAUCUACAAAAAUGUUGGGGUAAAACAUGGGUAGAUGUGACAACCCUAAAUUUUUAUCUUGUACAAACCAUUCACUUCAAUCAAAUUCAAACUUGUUUCUGCUAACUAUUAGCACUGCUUAGAGUCUGUUUAAGCAUUCUUAGCCUAGUACACCAACGGAAUGAGUGAAAGGAAGUGUCAAUUGAAGUUGUAAACCAUCAAAUAAACCAUAAAACCUCAAAUGAGGAGUUUACGGCCAAGACCCAUGAGUUUACGACCGUAAACUCAUGAUGGUCGUAAACUCCAUCCUAUAAGUAUGAACCUUGGCCAUUUUUCUUCACUUUUACUAAUUCCAAGUCUAGAAAUCGGUUUUUCUCUCAACUAUCUUCAAGAGUUCUUCAUUUUUCUUCAAGAAUGUAAGUGAUUUACUUACUUUGUGAGAUUAUACUCCUCUUAUCCUUGAUAACCCAUUGAUUCAUACCUGGAUUUCAUCUUUAAGACUAGAUCUUCAAAGAUUCUCAAGAACAUCAAGAACACUUAAGUGUUUUGGGCCGAAAACACCCUCCUUUUGCCUUCAAAUCGUAAGUAUCUACCUCCUAUACUUGUUAGUUAGUUAGGAUGUUUGGAUUAAGGCCUUGAAAGCAAACUUUUCCAAGAACAUGAGGUGUUUACGGCCAAGAGCAUCUCCCUUGGCCGUAAACCCUAAUUGUUGGUGCAUAAGAACCAUAACUUCCACCUAAGGAUUGGACAUGAACCUAGAAGCCUUCCUCAAUGCUUGAAAGCCCUUUAAAACACCAUUUGGCACCUUUCAUCAUGAGUUUAUGGCCGUAAACUCCCAUGGAGCAUACCACUUGGCUGUAAACACUAGUGUGUAGCCAUACACCCCUUAGAUGCAACCCUUUGUACUUCUAACACUUGAAUCUAAGUGUUUUACAUGUCCUAGGGUGUCUUUACUGGAAUAAUUAUUUGUUAUAAACACUAAUUAGAUGCAUAUAUAUAUGUGUCAUUAUAUGCUAAAUAGGAUCCAUGUGUGCUCAAGUCUUCACUUGACACUUAGCAUCCUUUACCAAUCUUACAUUCUCAUCACUCACUACAGGUGAGUUCAUACCCCUUAAUCUAUCUUUUAAAUGAUUUAAAUGCUUUUAACGGGGAAUACAAAUAGAAAACAUAUUAGUUAUAUAAUCAAUCACAUUUGAUUUAUAAACUGUGUUUCAAACAAAGGAUUUCAUAUACUUCAAAAUGUGUUUCAAAAAAAGGAUUUCUUAUACUUUAACUGUGUUUCAAACAAAUGAUUUCUUAUAUUUUAAACUGUCUUGUCAACCAAACUGCUUUUAAAUCGUUUUAUAAAUUGACAUCAAGUCAUCAACAUUUAUUAUUAAACUCUUCAAAUGUUUUACAAAACUUCUUUUUAAAAUUAUAUAUUGUCAAAUGCAUGUCUAUAUAUGUAUAGUUAUAUAAGUAAUGUUUAAAGGACUUAGGACAAAUAACUCGCUUUAUUUCCUUUUCCUUGUUUGGAUGUGACCUGAGAGUAUUGGUUAUUUGUCUGAAUGUCGUUUAAAUAUCAGUUAUAUAUUAUGUAUACAUAUAUAGAUGUAAAAGUACUAUCAAUCAGUUCAGCACCUUUGGGUAGCAAAGGUAUACCUUCAUUUAUUCAAUUACAGAAAUCACUAGUAAACUAUAAUAGGUAUAGUUUAGGAGAAUACUAUCAUAUACAAAUACUAGACAAAGAAUACUAUAACAGAGAAUACUAGACAGAGAAUACUAUAACAGGGAAUANAGACAGGGAAUAACAGAGAAUACUAUAUAACAGAGAAUACUAGACAGAGAAUAUUAUAACAGAGAAUAUUAGACAGAGAAUACUAUAACAGAGGAUACUAUAAUAGAGAAUACUAUACAAGAAAUACUAUACAUAGAAUACUAUUACUAUAUCAAGUAUACUAUAACAAGAUUUACAGAUAACAUAAUGUGAGAUACUACUUCAUGACACAACGACCAUUUCGUUGUGUCACGUUUUUGUAACCAGAAUCUCCUGGAGGGAGAGCGUGAGUUUGCGUAUAGAUCUAUACUGGAUUGACUAUCCUACACCUUGUUGUUCGCUACAGUGGGACUUGCAAGUCUACGGGUGCCAAAUGUCAUUUCUUCCGACGUCUUUCAUCGUCGUGUUUUAGUCAGUUUGAUAUUUGCAUUUUUAGCUAUAUUUCUAUGUUUGAUUUUUAUCCUUUAUUGGCUAAUUAACUGCAUAUCGUGGACAAAAAAGAUACUUAAUAUUGUUCAAAUUAUGUUUUCAGUUCUAAAAAGAAGCUCGAAAGCAAAAGGAAGCAGGAGAUAUGAAAGGAAGCUUGGGAAAGAAAGAAAGAAGAAGAAAGGCUAAUUCUGAAGCUACUUGGCGAGUAGGAUCGUCUACUCGACGAUUCGACACAAAGAUUCGCGAAGCGACACGUGGAGUCCUUGUCGUAUACGGAUUCCUCAAGGGGGACUCGGCGAGUCUGUUGGCUAUUCGACGAGUAGCCCCUGUUUUGAGAAAACUAUAAAUAAACUUCAUAACCCCGAAUUGAGGACUAUCUCUAGAUCUUUGGUGGAACAAUUGGCGAUCAAGAAACCCUUGGAGCUCUGGAAAACGAUUGAAGAACCCUAAUCCUUCAUUCUUAAGAGAUUAAGGCAAUUUAGGUUUAAUAUUCCACUUUUCUUUUGCAUUGAAUUAUGUUGGGAUUAUUUGAAUUUGUCUUUGAGCUUUCACAUACUGAAUUCAUGAACUAAUUUCGUUAGUUUCUGUUUGGGGAAACAAUUUUGCUCCUAUGGUUUAAUUUAUUUGUUUUUGAUUAAUUGUUAGUUGGUGAUAUUGUUAAAUUAAGCUUGUUAAAGACCCUCAUGUAUUAACCAUAACUGUUUUCUAUUAAGUGCUAAGUAAUUAAGCAGCAUGAACAUCUCUUAAUUGCUUAUCUCAUAUAAUUUAUGUGAACACAAUACUAUAUGCCUAGGAAUAAUGAACAUGAAACUAGGAUUAAUUAGAGAAUGGGUAAAUUAAUGUGUGAGCUUGUGUGAUACACCAUCAACAAGAGGUUAAUUGAAUCACCAAAUUUAAUUAGCUAGUUACAAGUCUUAUUUAGCCAAAAUAAUUAACCUAGAAAAUCUAUUAGUUUAAUCAACUGGACAUUGCUUGAAUUGGUAAGUUUUCAAAGGAUUAGUAAUAGUGACUGCGAAUCUAAUCACCAGAGUCGGUAACCAAUAACAAUUAAUCUAUCGUAUUAUCAUAAAAUUGACCAUAGGAGUAAAAGAGUUGAACCUAAACAGAAACCCUUUUUGAUCAUUGAAUUAGUUUGUUUUUACGUGUUUUCAGCUUUUCAUUGAGUAGUCAAGUUGUAGUUAAAUUUAUAGUCUUGCAAAACUAGAGAAACCCCUAAUUUAUAUUACUUGUUUUUAGUUAAUUCUAGUUUUUAGUAUUAAUUUUCCGUUCCCUGAGUUCGAUACCCUACUUAUUUAGUUUUACCACAAUUGAUAGGUGAACUGUCUUUGUGUGUCAAUUUAUAAUUAAAAGUAGGAUUAAAACUAGUUGAGUAAACACACAUCAAGUUUUUGGCACCGUUGCCGGGGAACAGUUCAAAAAUUAGCACUAAUUUCUAGUUUUAUCGAUCCUUUGUGUGAGAUUUAUCUUGCACAAAGUUAUUUUUAAGUAAUUUAGUUAUUAGGUUUAGUUUUAAUAGUUUUCUGUUUUAGAAUUUUAAUUAGAAUUUUUUUUUCUGUUUCUGCCUUGAACUCGCCGAGUGCAGUUGAAGCUACUCGGCGAGUCCGUCGCAGUUUCACACUUUUGUUUUUUAUUUACUUUUUGUUCUUUUUAUGCGUUUUUCUUACUUUGGUUGCAGUUUUUACAUGACCCGAGGAUCCAAUACGCCUUUAGUCCCUCCACUUGAAGUCCCGGAGUCCGCCCUAAAGAAGAAUAAAGGAAAAGUCGUUGGAGAAUCUGCUUCUUCGAAGAGCUCGCCUUUGAAGAAUCUAAACUCCGUUUUCAGCAAGAAGAAGAGCAGCAAAUCAGGAGCAUCCAGCAACUCUUCCUUGGCAAACGAAGACCCAAUCAAGGAAGACACUGUGAACGAGUCCGAAAGGGAAGAAAGCGAAUUUGGAGAAGACAGCGAUCUAGAAGGUGAAUUUGACAACACCAUGGCGAACAUUGAUGAAGUUCCCAUGGGCGAAUGGAAGAAGAGGAUACGAGAUGACACCGGCCCAGGACUUGUGCAACCCGUAAUUCCCGCGACUGCCACUUUUGAGCUCAAGGGUCACAUACUUGCUCAAAUCAAGGAGAUCCCCUUUUACGGAAAAGACCACGAAGAUGAUUAUAAACACUUGGAUGAAGUCAAUGAUGUAGCUGAUUACUUUAAUGUUCCAAAUGUGCCUCGUGAAACCCAACUGCUUCAUAUGCUUCCAAAUACAUUCAAGGGUGCUGCAAAAGAUUGGCUCAAGUCACUCCCUCCCGGAUCCAUCACUACAUGGGCUAAGAUGAAAGAAGAAUUCAUUGACCAGUUUUGCCCACCUUCUAUAAUAGAAAGCUAUAGCCAACUUUGAACAACAACCCGGAUAGUCCCUUUAUGAGGCGUGGGAGAGGUACAAAUGUCUACUAAGGAAUUGCCCACACCAUGACCUUAAUAGCCAACAAGAAGUCUCCAUCUUCUAUGAUGGAGUCAAUGUUACAACUCGACAGCUCCUUGACUCGCAAGGACCCCUCACAAAGAAGGCACCCCCGGUGAUUGAAGAGUUCUCUAACCAUUCUAGAGAAUAUCACAACCCAUGAAAUGAAGUAAGUAGGCGGGUAGUGAACAUGGUUAACGAUGACAUGGAGGCAAUGAUGGCCAAACUAGAUAGUUUAGAUAGGAGGAUGACAAAGAUGGAUCAAACAAUCCAUGCUAUUUGGGUAGGAUGUGAGAAUUGUAGAGGACCCCACCUCACAAGGGAUUGUGACUUGGAUGAGAAUGGAAACAAGAAGGCUCAAGUAUUAUAUUCAAGUGGCGACAGAUUUGAUGAUAAUUUGCGGAAACCAAAGAAGGAAUGGGUCCCGUAUGAAGAAUACAAAAAGGAAAAUGAGGAGAAAUUCAAGCAAAAAGAACGGGGUUACUAUCAAAAGGAGGAACCGAUUGUGGAGAAGAAAGUUGAUUUGGAAGAGAUGCUUACUAGAUUUGUAGCCGCGUCAGAGAAACGACACAAUGAUACUGAUGCUACACUUAAAGAUCAACAAAAUAUUUUGAGAGAACACCAACUUAUGAUGAAAGAUCAGCAAGCCUUACUUAGGAAUCAGCAAGCAUCCAUUCUCAACAUAGAAAAACAGCUAGGGCACUUGCACAACAAGUGAAAGAGAGAAGACCGGGUGGACUUCCAAGCAAUACCGAAAGUAACCCGAAAGGCGCACAUAUAAGCAUUGUCACAACAAGGAGUGGGAAGAUUAUAACCCCUCUAACCCCUAUUCAGAAUGAAGAUCCAAAGUCGGUGCAAGAGAAGGAGGCAGAAGGGCAGAAUCAAGACUAGAACCAGAUGAACCCAGAACCUACUCGCCGAGUCCACGAUAUGGACUCAAAGAGUCCGACACCUGAUCAGAAAAGUAAAACUCUUGUUAAGCCAUAUUAGCCUCCACUGCAAUAUCCAGCCCGAGCUAGACAAGAAAAGAAUGAAGAAGACUACCAGAAGUUUCUAGAACACAUAAAGGCUCUUAAAAUCAAUAUACCAUUCAUAGAAGCGGUUUCCCAAACGCCAAAAUACGCCAAGUUUCUCAAGGAGCUUCUAACUAAUAGAAGGAAGAUGGAAGAAGUGAAGAAGGUGGUCCUAAACGAAAACUGUUUAGUUGCUAUGUUGAACACACUUCCUAAGAAGAAAGAAGAUCCGGGAGGUUUAACAUUGCCCUGUCAAUUUGGAAACUUGGCCACCAUAUAUGCACUAGCUGAUUCAUGGGCAAGUGUAAACCUCAUGCCUUUCAUUUUUCAAAAAGUUAGAUCUCCCCGAGCCAAGACCCAUUCGCAUGGCAAUCCACCUAGUAAACAAAACGGUUACAUUUCCUAGGGGAAUCUGUGAAGAUCUUUUGGUAAAGGUGGACAAGUACGUGUUCCCCUCAGACUUUAUAGUUCUCGACAUGGAAGCGGAUCCCCAAGUCCCGAUCAUAUUGGGAAGACCUUUUCUCAAUACAGCAAGCGCUAUAGUCGAUAUGAGAGAUUCUAAACUUACCCUUCGGGUAGGGGACGAAUCAGUCACUUUCGGAGUUGAUCAAGCCAUGAAGCAUGCAAGGAGUAGUGAUGACACGACGUUUUCAAUUGACAUGUUGGAUGAGUUAUUGGAAGAUUGGAAAUAAGAAAAGCCAAGCAAGCCCACCGUUUCAUUUGAAGAAGAGUUUGAUGCUGAAAGGGACCUGAUGGAGUUAGAAAGACUGCUCGAGGAAGCUGAGUAUGAAGAUCUGAUCAGAAGUGUUGAAGAAAUGACUCGCCGAGUAGCCUCGAUCUACUCGACGAGUCCAUUCGAAGAACCCCGUACAGUCACGAAAUUUACAUUGGACUCGACGAGUCCCCUUUCUGGACUCGACGUGUUCAGCAUAUAGAACACAAAAAAUAAGCUCAAGGCACUACCAGAUCACUUGGAGUACGCAUUCCUUGAAGAUGGCCAACAAAAACCUGUAACUAUAGCUACUGAUUUGGCCAAACAUGAGAAGGAGAUCCUUGUGGGGGUACUAAAGAAGAGACAAGGUGCUAUAGCAUGGAAAAUAACCGACAUAAAGGGAAUUAGUCCAGCCUAUUGUUCCCACAAAAUCAACCUAGAAGAAGGGUCAAAAGCUGUAGUACAACGCCAAAGAAGACUCAACCCGAACAUGCAAGAAGUUGUGAAAAAGGAGGUCGUGAAAUUACUAGAUGCUGGAAUCAUUUAUUCAAUCUCCGAUAGCCCAUGGGUGAGUCCGGUCCAAGUAGUUCCGAAGAAGGGAGGGAUGACGGUGGUGGCUAACGAAAACAACGAAUUAAUUCCAACAAGGACGGUAACCGGGUGGCGAGUUUGCAUAGACUAUAGGAAGCUAAAUGAAGCCACAUGCAAGGAUCACUUUCCAUUGUCUUUUAUCAAUCAAAUGCUUGAAAGGCUUUCCGGUCAUCUCUAUUAUUGCUUUCUCGACGGGUUUUCGGGGUAUUUCCAAAUUCUAAUCGACCCACAAGGCCAAGAGAAGACCACUUUUACAUUCGCAAGUGGGACAUUUGCAUAUAGACGCAUUCCCUUUGGGUUAUGCAAUGCACCAGCUACUUUCCUAAGGUGCAUGAUGGCUAUCUUUCAUGAUAUGAUUGAAAGGCUCAUGGAGGUGUUUGUGUAUGAUUUCUCGGUUUUUGGAUCCUCUUUUGAAGAUUGCUUGUCCAACUUGGAUCUAAUGCUAGCGAGAUGUGAGAAGACCAACCUUGUCCUUAAUUGGGAGAAGUGUCAUUUUAUGGUGAAGGAAGGAAUUGUAUUAGGACACAAGGUCUCAAGGAGGGGAGUAGAGGUGGAUAGAGCAAAGAUGGACACUAUAGCCAAAUUGCCACCUCUAACAAAUGGCAAGGGAGUAAGAAGCUUUUUAGGCCACGCGAGGUUCUAUAGGCGCUUUAUUAAAGACUUCUCCAAGAUCACAAGACCCUUGAAUCAACUACUUUUGAAGGACGCCCCCAUUCAACUUUUCUAAGGAAUGUAUUGAAGCCUUUAAUUUGUUGAAGGACAAGUUGACUACUUCACCUAUUAUGGUAGCUCCAAAUUGGAGUCUCCCUUUUGAGCUAAUGUGUGAUGCUAGUGACUUUGCGGUGGGAGCUGUUUUGGGACAAAGAAUUGACAAGCAUUUUCAGCCAAUUUAUUAUGCAAGCAAGACAUUGAAUCCAACUCAAGAGAACUACACUACUACCGAGAAGGAGCUGUUAGCGGUGGUAUAUGCUUUUGACAAGUUAUGGCCUUACUUAGUGUUAUCCAAGACAAUCGUGUUUACCGAUCACUCCGCAUUGAAGUAUCUAUUUGCCAAACAAGAUGCAAAGUCAAGAUUGAUACGUUAGGUUCUACUUCUUCAAGAAUUUGAUAUCGAGAUACGCGAUAAAAAGGGGAUGGAAAACGUAGUUGUCGAUCAUUUAUCAAGACUAGAAAACCCACUUUUGGAGAAGCUAGAUGAAGAUAAAAUUGGGGAUGAUUUUCCCGAUCAGUACAUAUUGGUAGUGGCGGGAGAAGUGCCAUGGUUUGCGGAUAUAACAAAUUAUUUGGCAACCAAAUACAUCCCAAAGGAUUUGACUCACCAACAAAAGAAGAAAUUCUUUUCAGAAAUUAAAUACUACUUUUGGGACGAGCCAUAUCUUUUCCGAAGCUGCGCGGAUGGAAUGAUAAGAAGAUGUGUAUUCGGGAAAGAAAGUCAAGACAUUUUGGCACACUGCCAUAGUGGACCCGCUGGAGGACAUCAUGGAGCACAUUACACCGCGAAGAAGAUUUUUGAUAUUGGGUUUUAUUGGCCUACAAUUUUUAAGGAUGCUACUAAAUAUGUCAAGGAAUGUGACUCAUGCCAAAGAGCGGGAAAUAUAUCAUCCCGGAAUGAAAUGGCCCAACAUAGCAUCCAUGUAUGUGAAAUAUUUGAUGUGUGGGGUAUUGACUUCAUGGGACCCUUUCCCAUGUCUAAAGGAAACAAGUACAUCUUGGUGGCGGUGGAUUAUGUAUCCAAAUGGGCGGAGGCACAAGCAUUAUCCACUAAUGAUGCUCGGGUGGUGGUACGAUUUUUAAAGAAAUUAUUCUCAAGAUUUGGAGUUCCUAAAGCUCUCAUUAGUGACCGGGGCACUCACUUUGCCAAUGAUCAAUUAGCUAAGGUGUUGCAAAAAUAUGGUGUUCAACAUAAAUUCUCAACAUCCUAUCAUCUUCAAACGAGUGGGAAAACGGAAGUUACAAAUAGAGCAUUAAAUAGAAUACUAGAAAGAUCGGUUGGAAGUAAUAGGAAAGAGUGGUCGGAUAAGCUUGAUGAUGCACUAUGGGCAUUUAGAACAGCUUUUAAGACACCUAUUGGCACUAAACCAUAUAGGCUAGUCUAUGGAAAACACUGUCACUUGCCGGUUGAAAUAGAGCACAAGGCUUAUUGGGCAUUAAAGGUGUGCGAUUUUCAUAUUAUUAGCACAUUGCGUUUUCAAAAAUUAUCCCAUUUUUAGCAUUGUACUUUUGCUUUUCUUUUCGUUAUAACAUUGAAACCCUAGACUUCUUUUUUCAAUUCAAAUUCAUAGUACGAAAAUUCUGAAUUACACUUUCACUUUUCUUUUUGUUACAACUUUGAAACAUAAAAACUUCUUUUUCCCCAUCAAUUUUAGCAUUGGUUUCACUUUCCUUUCUGUUACAACAUUGAAACAUCAAGCGUCUUUUUUCUCAUCUAUGCAUUUCACUUUGAAAAUUCUUCCAAUUAGAGCAUCUUACUUUCUGAUUUCAUAUUAUUAAUGCAUUGCAUUUUUUUCAAAAUCAUCUCCAUUUUAGAGUUGUAUUUUAACUUUUCUUUCUGUUACAAAAUUGAAACAUCAAACUUUUGUUUUUUUCAUCCAUGCAUUUUACUUGUUAAUACCAUCCUAUAAUAGCAUUUUACUUUAAUUUUUUUUAUUAUUAGCAUAUUGUAAUUUCAAAAAUCAUCCCAUGAUUAUGUUCUCUCAUUAUGAUAGCAUAGCAAAUAGAUUAACAACAAGAAGGUUAGGAAGAUGAGGAUAACUAUGGAUAAUAGGUGUUAGUUUUAGACUUUAUUUUGUAAUAAUAACAUAGUAAAGAUUAAUGCCGACAAGAUCGGAUCUUUGUACCAAUAAGUAUUGUUUGUAUAGAUUUUUUUUGAAAGAGAUAUUGUUUGUAUAAUUAAGCAUCAUAUAAGUAUAUGUGCUUUAUGGAUAUGAUUAGUAUAAUGAGUUUAAGUAUGGAUAAUAGGUGUUAGUUUUAGACUUUAUUUAGUAAUGAUCUAGGAAUAUGAUUAAUCAUGGAUAUAUGGUGAUAUAUGGAUUAAGGAAAAGAUGAAAUAUGUAUUACAUGUGAAAUGACCAAUGUUUUAAGGAUCCCAUGCUUAUGUUUUAUCAUAAUAAUAACAUAUCAGAUAGAUUAAUGAGAACGAGAUUGGAUCUUUAUACUAAUAAGUAUUAUUUUAAUAUUUAAGCAUCAUGUAUGUUAAUAUGUGCUUUGAGGAUAUGAUUAGUAUGAUGAUGUUAAGUAUGGAUAAUAGGUGUUAAUUUAAGAGUUUAUCUGGUAAUGAUAUAGGAAUAUGAUGAUAUAUGGACAUAUGAUGAUAUAUAGAUUAACGAAAAGAAGAAUUUAAAAUGUAAGUAUAUGAAUAUAUUAUAAAGUGGUCUUAGCAGGAUGUCAAUGAUUGAGGAUUUGAAGGGUAGGAACGUAUCAUAUUCUUAAGUUUUUUCCAUUUAUAAUCACAGCUAUGGUUUUAACUAUUAUAUGAUAUGAUAUGAUGCAAAGUAACAACAUAAUCUUUUAUCUCUCUUGUUGAAACGCUGAAGAUGAGUGAUGCAAGAGUAUUAUUGUCUGCUCUUCACAAUGUCAUUCGCACUUUAUCCAAGGUUUGAUCUUGCCCCUAAUAAUUAUUCUCAUCUUAUUACAUCAUAUUUCUGCUUUUUUAAGACCUUAGUUUAUGAAUGUAAUCAUUAUUUCAUUCUUGUAACACCUUAGUUUCUAUGCUUUAUUGGGUUUGAUAUAUUUUUUUUAUUUCUGUUAUGGAAUACAAUUCUAGGUUGUUUGUACCUUACUAAUUUUCAUGAACACAAACUAAUAUUUUACUCUUUUUAUAGAAUGUUGCCACCUGAAACCAAAUAAAUCAAUAUUUAUCCAAAUAGAAAGCAGUUUUGAUCUAAUUUGCUGGGUUUAUAUGCAAGAAAAGAGAUUGCACUUUCUGUUAUUUUCUUGUUAUUAAAUUACAUUUUCAUUUUUUCCUUUAUUAAAGUUAUGCUUCCAAACUCUUAUUUAUUAAAACAUUUUAAUUUAAAAAAGUUCACUCAUUACAUUGAUUAUGUAUGACUUAUGAGUUAUGUUUUGUGGUAUGUGUUUGUAGAAGCUGUCACAUGUUUUAUGGGAAAGACAGAAGAAAUUUUCUUUUACCAAUUAUAUUCAUAUUCAGUCCAAGGUAUGUCAUCUCCUGCUACUGUUAUUCUUUUUCAUUAAGUGAAUACCAAAAAUACCCCUCAACUAAAUACAUUCUCUUUAUUUGCUGAUUUUCCCAUAUUACCCUUAUCUAGACUAUAUCACGUAAGUGGAUGCUUAGAAAAUUCUCUCUACUGCAACUUCCAUUCUUUUUCAUAUUAAGGCAUUGUAUUUUGAAAAAUCUAUCAGUUAUAGCAUUGUAUAUUCACUUUUCCUGUUAUUAGCAAAUAUAUGUUUUUACAAAUCAACCCAUUUUUGGCUUUGUACUUUUCAUUUUUCUUAUAAUUUGCACGUCGCAUUUUUAAAAUAAUCCCAUAUUUGGUAUUGUACGUUUACUUUGAAAGAACUUCCAAUUAAAGCAUUCCACUUUCAAUUUUCUUAUUAUUAGCACACUGACUUUCCAAAAACAUCUCAUUUAUAGCAUUUUAUUUUCACUUUUCUUUUUGUUGCAACAUUGUAACAUCAAACUUCUUUUUUCUCAUUUAUGCAUUUGACUUUGAAAAAUCUUGCAUUUAUAGCUUUCUGCUUCUCAUUUUCUUGUUAAUUAGCGCAUUGCAUUUUUUAUAAAUCAUCUCAUUUUUAGAGUUGUACUCACUUUCCUUUCUGUUAAACAUUGAAACAUUUGUGUAGUUUACUUUAAAAAAUCACCACUUAUAGCAUUAUUAAGUUUUCUUAUUGUUAACAUAUUGUAUUUUCAAAAAUCAUCCUGUUUUUAGCAUUGCACUCUUUUUCCUUUCUGUUACAACAUUGAAAGUCAAACUUUUUUUUUCAUAUAUGCAAUUUACGUUGAAAACUCAUCCAUUUAUAUUGCAUUCUUCUUUCAGUUUUCCUAAAUAUAAACACUAGGCAUUUUUAAAAAUCAACUCAUUUUUAGCUUUGUGCUUUUAUUUUCUUUUCUGUUACAACAUUAAAACCUUACACUUUUUUUCCCAUAUAUGCAGUUUACUUUGAAAAAUCAUCACAUUAUAGCAUUCUACUUUCAAUUUUCUUAUAUUUAGCAUAUUGCAUUUUGAAAAAAUCAUCCUAUUUUUAGCAAUACUUUCUAUUUUCUUUCUUUACAACAUUGAAACAUGAAACUUCUUUUUUCUCAUGCAUUUUACUUUGAAUGAAACAUGAGCCAAUCAAGGGGAUGCUAAGAAUGUAGGGAUAAUAAAAAAAUUGUAUUUAGAAAUUUUAUUUUGAGUGGGCACUUAGUGUAAGGAUAUGGAGCAUAGUCUUAUUGUAAGGAUACAUUAGGAUUGGAAUGAUGACAAGAAAGAUGAAAUAUGUAUUACAUGUGAAGUGACCAAUGUUUUAAGGAUCCCAUGAUUAUGUUCUAUCAUAAUAAUGACAUAUCAAAAAGUUUAAUGACAACAAGAUUGGAUCUUUGUACAAAUAAGUACCAUUUGAAUAUUUAAGCAUCAUAUAUGUAUAUGUGCUCUCGCAUCAUAAGUGAUUUUAGCAGGUGGAUUGAGGAUUUGAAGGAUAUGAAUGGAUGAUACACUUAAGAUUAUUGAUUAAGUCGAGGAUUAUGUAAGUCGUGGGUGUCAUAAUUAGACAAGAGAAGUAUGACUCUUCUACUUUGAUGUUAAAUACUUCAUAUAAAAAGUAUAAGAUAGAUUUAGUCGUAAUGACAUGAGAUAUAAUGAUCACUUUAGGUAUGAAUGAUAAUGCACGAUGCAUAUAGGGACACUUGAAAAAAAUCAUAUCAUUUUUAGCAUUUUACUAUCGCUUGUCUUUCUAUAAUAUCAUUGAAACAUGAACUCAACUUUUUCUCAUCUAUGCAUUUUACUUUGAAAGGUCUUCUAAAAAUAGCAUCCUACUUUCUGAUUUCAUUUUAUUAGUGCAUUGCAUUUUUUAAAAAUCAUCUCAUUUUUAGAGUUGUAUUCUAAGUAUGCAUAGUAGGUGUUAGUUUUAGACUUUAUUUAGUAAUGAUUUAGGUUAAUGAUAAUUUAUGGGUUGAGGAAAAGAAGGAAUUUAGAAUGUUAAGUGUAUGAAUAAGUCAUAAAGUGAUUUUAGCUGGAAGUCAAGAUAGAUUUAGUUGUAAUGUCAUAAUGUAUAAGAUAGAUUUAGUCGUAAUGUCAUAAUGUCAUAUAUAAUGAUCGCUUCAGGUGUGAAUGAUAAUACAUAAUACAUAUAAGGACAUUGUUAAAUUUUGGUUUUCUUAUUUUUAGCAUAUUGAAUUUCAAAAUUUCAUCCCAUUUGUAGCAUUUUAGUUUCACUUGUCUUUUUACAACAUUACUAUGAAAUAAACAUGAACCAAUGAAGGGGAUGCUAAAAAUGAACGGGUGACAAGAAAGAUGAAAUGUUUAUUACAUGUUAAAAGGUCACCAUUUUCGGGAUCCCAUGAUUAUGGUCUAUCCUAAUAAAAUAGCAAAUUAAUGACACCAAGAUUGAAUCUUUGUACUAAUAAGUACCAUUUAAUUAUUUAAGCAUCAUAUGUAUAUGUGCUUCGAGGAUAUUUUCAAAAAUCGUCCCAUAUUGAACAUUGUACUUUCACUUUUCUUUCUGUUACAACCUUGAAACAUCAAGCUUUUUUUUUACAAGUAUAUUGUUUUGAAAGAAACAAGAACCAAUCAAGGGGAUGCUAAGAAUGAAGUUGCAUGAAGUAUAACUUUAUUAGUUUAUUGUAGGAAUACAUUAGGAUUAGAAUGAUGAAAAAAAAGAUGAAAUAUAUAAUACAUGUGAAAUGACCAAUGUUUUAAGGAUUUCAUGAUUAUGUUAUAUCAUGGUACUACCAUAGCAAAUAGAUAAAUGACAACAAGAUUGGAUCUUUGUAACUCCAUUUGAAUAUUUAAGCAUCAUAUAUGUAUAUGUGCUUUGAGGAUAUGAUUCGUAAGAUGAGGUUAAGUAUGGAUAAUAGGUGUUAGUUUUAGACUUAUUUUGGUAAUGAUCUAAGAAUAUGAUGAAUUAUGGACAUAUGGUUAUAUAUGGAUUGAGGAGAAAAGGACAUUAGAAUGUUGAGCAUAUUAAUAAAUCAUAAAGUGGUCUUAGCAGGAAGUCAAGGAUUCAUGUUUUGAGGUUAUGAAUAGAUCAUAUAGUUAAGAUUUUUGGUAAGUGAGGAUUAUGUAAGCCUUGGGUAUCAUGAUUAGACAAGAGAAGUACUUUCACUUUUCUUUUCUUUUUGCUACAAUAUUGAAACAUCAAUUUUAUUUUUUAUCAUCUAUGCAUUUUACUUUGAAAAAUCUUCCAAUUAUAGCAUUCUACUUUAAGUUCUGUAUUAUUAGCAUGUCACAAAUUAUUAAAAAUCAUCUCAUUUUUAGAAUUGUACUAUCACUUUCCUUUCUGUUACAACAUCGAAACAACAAACUUUUUUAAUCAUAUACCUAGUUUACUUUAAAAAAUUAUCACAUUAUUAUAGGUGUUAUUUUAAAACUUUAUUUGGUAAUGAUCUACUAAUAUGAUUAAUUAUGGACAUAAGGUGAUAUAUAGAUUAAGGAAAAGAAGGAAUUUAGAAUGUUAAGUAUAUGAAAGAAUCAUAAAGUGGUCUUAGCAGGAAGUCACGGAUUAAGAAUUUGAAACAUGAAACUUAUUAUUUUUUUCGUCUAUGCCUUUUACAUUGAAAUUUUUUCAAAUUUUAACAUUCUAGUUUUGGUUCUUUAUUAUUAUUAGCACUUUGCAUUGCAUUUUUUAAAAAUCAUCAUCCCAUUUUUAGCAUUGUGCUUUCAUUUUUCUUUCUUUUACAACAUUUAAACAUCAAGCUUUUUUUUCCGCUCGUCUAUGCAUUUUACUUUGAAAAUACAUCUAUUUAUUAUAUUCUACUUUCAAAUUUUUAAAUAUCAACACAAUGCAUUUAAAAAAAAUCAUCUCAUUUAUAGCACUGGGCUUUCACUUUCCUUUCUAUAACAACAUUGAAACAUCAAACUUUUUUUAUCAUCUAUGUAUUUUACUUUGAAAGAUCAUCCAUUUUUAGCAUUCUACUUUUAAUUUUCUAAAUAUUAACACAUUGCUUUUUUAAAAAUCAUGCAGUUUGUAGCAUUGUGCUUUCAAAAUUCUCUUUGUUACAACAUUGAAACAUCAAACUUUUUUUUUUCUCAUCUAUGCAUUUUACUUUGAAAAAUCUUGCAAAUAUAACAUUCUACUUUUUUUUGUAAUACUAGCACAUUGAAUUAUAAAAAAAUAUACCAAUUUUAGCAUUAUACUUUUACUUUCCUUUUAGUAAAUAAUUGAAACAUCAAACUUCUCUUUCUAAUCUAUGCAUUUUACUUUGAAAAAUCCUAUAAUUAUAUCGUUCUACAUUUCGCUUUCUUUCUAUUAGCACAUUGCAUUUAAAAAUACCAUCCCAUUUUUAACAUUCUGCUAUCACUUUUCUCUGUGUUAGAAGAUUGAAACAUCAAACUUCUUUUUUCUCAUCUAUGCAUUUUAUUUUGAAAAGCCUUCUAAUUAUAGCAUUCCACUUUUGGUUCUCUUAUAACUUGCACAAUGAAUUUUCAAAAAUCAUCCUAUUUUUAGGCUUGCACGUUCUCUUUUCUUUCCGUUACAGUAUUGAAACAUUAAAACUUCUUUUUUUCUCAUCUAUGCAUUUUACUUUGAAAAGACUUCCAUAUAGAGCAUUGUACUUUUAGUUUUCUUAUUAUGAGAGCUUUACAUUUCAAAAAUCAUCCCUAUAUUAGCAUUGUUCUUUCACUUUUUUUGCUUUUUUUAUUGCAUUGUACUUGCCUUUUUAUUUCUGUUUAAACUCACAACAUUGAUACAUCAAACUUCUUUUUUCUCAUAUAUACAUUUUACUUUGAAAGAAACAUGAACUGAUAAAGGGGUUGCUAAUAAUGAGUGGAUGAGAAAAGAUAUAUAUAGAAAUUUUAUUAUGAGUAGACAUUUAGGCUAACUUUAUUGUAGGAAAGAUGAAGUAUGUAUUACAUAUGAGAUGCCUAAUGUUUUAUGAGUGAUUAUUUUCUGUCAUAAUAAUAACACAGUAAAGAUUAAGGAUGACAAGAUUGGAUCUUUGUACCAAUAAGUAUUGUUUGUAUAAUUAAACAUCAUAUAAGUAUAUGUGCUUUAUGGAUAUGAUUAGUAUAAUGAGUUUAAGUAUGGAUAAUAGGUGUUAGUUUUAGACUUUAUUUAAUAAUGAUCUAGGAAUAUGAUUAAUCAUGGAUAUAUGGUGAUAUAUGGAUUAACGACAAGAUGAAAUAUGUAUUACAUGUGAAAUGACCAAUGUUUUAAGGAUCCCAUGCUUAUGUUUUAUCAUAAUAAUAACAUAUCAGAUAGAUUAAUGACAAUGAGAUUGGCUCUUUGUACUAGAAAGUAUUAUUUUAAUAUUUAAGCUUCAUAUAUGUAUAUAUGUGCUUUGAGGAUAUGAUUAGUAUGAUGAGGUCAAGUAUGGAUAAUAGAUGUUAAUUUAAGACUUUAUCUGGUAUUGAUAUAGGAAUAUGAUGAAUUAUGGACAUAUGAUGAUAUAUAGAUUAACGAAAAGAAAGAAUUUAAAAUGUAAGUAUAUGAAUAAAUCAUAAAUCAUUAAGUGUCAUGAUUAGAAUAAUUAGACAAGAUAAGUAUGAUUCUUCUACUUUCAUAUUAAAUACUUCAUAGAUACAGUUAGAGCUAGAUUUAGUCAUAAUGUCAUGAGAUAUAAUGAUCACUUUAGGUAUGAAUGAUAAUACAUGAUACAUGAUGCAUAUAGGGACACUGUUAAAUUUUGGUUUUCUUAUUAUUAGCAUUAUGCAUUUCAAAAAAUCAUCUCAUUUUUAGCAUCUUACUUUCACUUGUCUUUUUUUAACAUUGAAACAUAGAAACUUCUUUUUCUCAUCUUUGCAUUUUACAUUGAAAAACUCCCAAUCAUUGCAUUCUACUUUCUAUUUUCUUAUUAAUAGCGCAUUGAAAAUCAGUACAUUAUAACAUUCUACUUUCUAUUUUCAUAUUAAUAGCGCAUUGCACUCUCACUUUCCUUUCUGUUACAACAUUGAAACAUCAAACAUUUUUUUUUCUUAUCCAUGCAUUUUACAUUGAAAAAUCAUCAAAUUACAGCAUUCUUUUGUUAUUAUUAGUGCAUUGCAUUUUCAAAAAGCAUCCCAUUUUUUGCAAUGUACUCUCAAUUUUCUUUUUGUUAUAACAUUUAAACAUCAAACUAUUUUUUUAUCAAUGCAUUUUACUUUGAAAAAUCUUGCAAUUAUAGCUUUUUAUUUUUUUAUUAGCACAUUGUUUCUUAAAAAAAAAUACAAUGACACGUUUUAGCAAGGACGCUUGGAGGACAUACAAUAUUGCAAUUUAUAAACUUCAAAUUCUGAAAAAGAGGAUGUGUGUGUCUUUAUUACAAUAUUGCAAUUUAUAAACCCACCAUAGCUGUUCAUUUUUUUGUUUAUCUUCAUAAACUAUUAAUGGUUGGUAUCUAUUUACUCGAUAUUUGUUUUAUUCAGUUUCAUCUUGUUGCGUCUGUGUCUGACAUUCUUCCUUCCCGAAGGCAAACAUGAUUAAAGUGUUUUGGACUAAGAUAUGAAUUAAUCAUUGUUUAUUGUUGUAUAUUUCUUCAUAGAUUAUAACACAUCAAUAAACUAGAUUACUCUGAUUUAUGUGUGAAAUACUCUUGGAAAUUUAUUAUGUAAUUUCUAUUGGUCUUUAAUUCUCCAAAGUAAAAAAUUUCUCAAAAAAACUCGACUUCCUUUUGAACUUUGCAAUUUAACUUCUUGUGUGGUGUUUUUGUAUCUUGCAAUCUUCUAUUUGAAACCAUAGUUUCUAUUUCUUCCAUUUAUGUUGUUUAGAUAAAUAAAGUUACCUUUUUUUCUCUAAAAAAAAUAAUAAAUAAAUAAAUAAAGUUACCUUUUUUUGAAAAUAUCUGUAAAAAUAUUCUAAUAUUAGAAUAUUCUAGUAGAAUAUUAGAAUAUUUUACAUAUCUGAUUAAUCUAGUAGAAUACUAGAAUAUUCUAACACUCUAAAAAUCAUAUUAGAAUAUUUAUAGGGUAAUUUUCUGUUAGAAUAUUUCACGUAUUUUUCAAAAAAAAAAAAAAAAAAAAAANAAAAAAAAAAAAAAACAGUAACUUUUAGUUAAUUAUUUUUUAUUUUUUCUGGAUAAAUAAAAUGACGAAAAUAAUAAUUAAAAAAAGAAUUUUCAGAUUUUUCCUUUUAUUUUGCAUUUUAAACUUAUUUCACUAACAUUUUUUUGAUGUUUUGCUCAAAUUAUUUUUUUGAAUCUUUUUGACGUUUUUUUUAAGUACAUUUUUUAAUGUUUUUUUUUGAGGUUUUGUUGAAAUAUUUUUUUUUGUUUUUUUUACGUCAUGCUCGAAUACUUUUUUUAACAUUUAGUAUGUUUAUAUUUGUUAAAGUAUUAACAUAACUAAUUAGGGGUGUUUGACUUAUCUUUUUGAGAGACAAAAGUCUUUUUUNUUUUUUUAACAUUUAGUAUGUUUAUAUUUGUUAAAGUAUUAACAUAACUAAUUAGGGGUGUUUGACUUAUCUUUUUGAGAGACAAAAGUCUUUUUUGGAGAAGUUACAAAAAGUUAUGUUUUCCUGACUUUUCCAAAAAGUCGGUUUUUUCUUAUAUCAAAAAUUCAAAAGUAGCUUUUAAAAUCCUUUUAUCAAACAUCUUUUAUAUUUUAUCUUUUUCCAAAAAAGACUUUUACAAAUUAAAUAAAUUAUAUUUACAAUUCCAAAAGUAUACCAUUAAUAUGAUCAUGUGUUAUAUUUAAUAACAUAUGUAACUUAAUAAUAUAAUUACAUAUUAGUUCGAAAGUUGAAAAGUUAAGAAUCUUUAAAUCAUUAUGGUGCAAGGAAAAUGAUUAUUCUAUUGACUUUGAAAGUCUAAUAUAGCAUAAAAAGGAGAAUUUCAUUUAUAUCCUUAAAAACUUUAUAUAUUAUGUCUAUAUCCUUAUAAAUUUUGAAAUUACGUAUAUAUCUGUUUCAAACUAUAAUACUACAUUUAUAUCCUAACUCAUAAUUUAAUUUGGAUUAUAUCAAUUUACUUUAAAAAAUUAUCUAAAAUUUAAAAUCCUAUAAGAUUUUACCAAAAUACCCUUCACAAAUUGAUAAUUAGCCAACACCAACACUAAUUCGCUUCCCUUCAUCUUCCUCAUCGCACCCAAACUGUCUUUGAAAUUAAUUGGUUUUUCUUAGUAAAAGAAACCCUCAUGAUUAUUCUAUGGACUUUGAAACCCUCAUGCACAAAACUCACUAAUCAAUAAGCACAGGUGUCAUGACCUUCUAUAUAUGGCCUUAAUUUUUUAUUAAAUAAACUAACUUUUCCAAAAAAAAAAAAAACACGUGCUCAGCCUCGUUGACGAAGUAUUCCAUGACCAACAAAAAAUUAAACAAUGUAUAUUCCAACGUACAAACAUAAACUAAACCAACUUCUGCGCCGAUAGUGCUUAAAUUUAUUUAUCUACGCAUGAAAUAUCCAAGAUAUUAAAUCAUAAGCCAUUUACGAAAUUAGAGACCUUGUCACAAUAGAACACAAAAAGAAAUUGAAAAACGAUUAACAUGUCCAUUCCUUUGUUUUGUAGGUUAUAAUGAUUAAGGAAAGUGAUAUUAAAGGACUCGCAACAAAAACGAUAAGGAAGAAGGAAGUAUAUAUCAUGCCUAAUCUUUAAUUUAGUAUUUAACUUAAGAGGGGUAUUCUUGUAAACUCACAUCAAAUUUUGAAUUUUAGAUAAGUUAUUUAAAAUUAAAUUGAUAUAAUUCAAAUUAAAUUUUAAUUUUGGAUAUAAAUGUGAAUUUUAUAAUUAGAAAAUGAUAUAUAUGUAAUUUCAAAAUUUUUAAAGACACUGAAGCAAUAUUUAAAGUUUGUAAGAAUAAAGAAAAAAAGUUCCCUAAAUAAAAAUAUACUAGCCGAAUGUUCAUAUAUCCACAAAUUAAAAUUAUGUACUUAACGUUUUAAGAAAUAUAUAAUGUUAAGAAUUAAUGUCAUUAACAAAGGUGGUUAUAGUGGUGGUGGCGAUAUAGGUGACUAAGAUGGCAAUGGUUGGGGGCAAUUGGUCGCAGAUGUGGUUGUAGUGGUGGUGACAGUGGCGGUUGUGGUGGUUGGAAGCUGGCGAGGAAAAAGUGGGCAGCACUGAAUAAUAAUUUAUGAUUAUAACUCUUCUGUCUCGCCGGUACGCCGAAGUGCUAGAGCGACAAAUUAGAAAUAUGCGACUAAGAUUGAAUCUUAAGAUCUCUUAUUUUUGUGGAAUUUCAAAGGAGCCUACUUAUAGGGUUAAGUUCAAAUGAAAACACUAUUUAAUGUGAGAACGUGAAAACACUACUUUAUGUUACUAUUCUAAUAUGAAUUUAAUAUGUAUAGUAUUGUAGCAAUUAUAAUAUGAAUAUAUUCAAUUUUAGGGUUAAGACUNAUAUAUGUAAUUUCAAAAUUUUUAAAGACACUGAAGCAAUAUUUAAAGUUUGUAAGAAUAAAGAAAUUUUUUUCCCUAAAUAAAAAUAUACUAGCCAAAUUAAAAUUAUGUACUUAACGUUUUAAGAAAUAUAUAAUGUUGAGAAUUUAUGUCAUUAACAGAGGUGGUUGUAGUGGUGGUGGCGAUAUAGGUGACUAAGGUGGCAAUGGUUGGGGCAAUUGGUCGCAGAUGUGGUUGUAAUGGUGGUGUGGUGACAGUGGAUGUUGUGGUGGUGGGAAGCUGGCGAGGAAAAAGUGGGCAACACUGAAUAAUAAUUUAUGAUUAUAACUCUCCCGUCUCCGGUACGCCCGAAGUGCUAGAGCAACAAAUUAGAAAUAUGCGACUAAGAUUGAAUCUUAAGAUCUCUAUUUUUUGUGGAACCCAAUAACUAAAGAUGAAGUGUUAGAUCAAAACUAACUCAUGAAGGGCAUGGUCGACAUCUAACCAAUAUCAUUUAAUGUUUCAUUUUUUGUGUUAUUGGAAACAUUAAUAAAUAUGUCUAAAAGUUAAAAUAAUAAAUCAAAUUUUCGAAAAUAAAAAAAAGGUUCAAAUUUUAAAAAAUGUGCAAGUUUUUCAAAGUUUUUUUAGAAAAUAUGAUUUUUUUUUUAAAAAUUAAAAUUUUUAACAAAAACAAUCAACGUUUUAGGUACAUAUAUCAAUAUUUUUUCAAUUAUGUAUAUAUAUACACAUAUCUCUUAUACUAUAAUAUUCAUAAGUAAAUCAUAAAAAAUCUCAUUUUUAUUUACAAAUCCAUAAACACUAUUAAUAUAAGUAUUUUAUUCGAAAAAAAAUAAAAUAUAAAAAACAAAAAAUGUUACAAAGAUUCAUAGUGUUAUUAUUUCUUUGUGUCAUGACUUCCAUAUGUUCUUCAAUUUAUCACUUUUCACAUGUUCAAUAAUUUCCACAAAUUUUUUCAAAUCUACAAGAAAAAUAAUUUUUUUUGAUUAACGCAUGAACACUCAAAAAACAAGGGAGGGGGACUUGCUCUCGUGUAAAAAAGGCGUAAAAUCAUAUACCUAGGUUCCCAGCCAAGAACUUCAGCCAUUCCAGUAAAUGACAUAAGGAAUGGAGUGCCUGCUUUUGCUGCUUGGAUAGCAAGCUCGUGAUAACAUAUGUGUAAGGCAUCAAACUUUCCCAAUGCUACUAUGCCUCCUACAAUACAACAUCAAAUUAAGUUCUAUAAGAUAAUAAACAAAACCAACAUAACAUAGUGUAAUCUAAAUAUCUAAUAAUAAAAAUUAUCGGAAUUGAAACCGAAGUUUGAAUCAUGCCUCAAAAGCUUAAACAAAUCAAGUUUUUUCAGUCCAAUGUUCAAAUUCCAAUGAUUAUAGGAUGGAAUGGAAUUGACAUAGCAAAAGAUAAUGUUGAAAUAAAAGAAAAAAAUAUGUACUGAUAAUUGUGAAACAGGUUAUCAAUCGAAAACGAGAAAUUAUUACUUAAGUUAGGCAAAAAUCUAUGGUUUCCUCCGUCAACUUUCUCCCCUAUUCAUGUGUGCAUAUAUAAGUAAUUCAUAUGUGAUUUACAUGUGAAUCACAUGUAAUUCAUAUGUGAUUUACUUGUUAUUUAUAUGUGAAUUACAUGAUAUUCAUAUGUGAAUUACAUGUGAUUUACAUGUGAGUCAUAUAUAAUUCAUAUGUGAUUCACUUCUAAUUUAUAUGUGAGUUACAUGAGAUUCAUAUGUAAAUUACAUGUGAUUUACAUACGAAUCGCGUGUAAUUCAUAUGUGAUCUAUAUGUCAAUUACAUGAGGCUCAUAUGAUAGUUACAUGUGAAUCGCAUGUAAUUCAUAUGUGAUUUACAUGUGAUUCACAUGUAAUUCAUAUGUGAUUCACUCUUGAUUUAUAUGUGAAUUACAUGAGAUUCAUAUGUAAAUUACAUGUGAAUCUGUAGCAGCCCAAAAAUCCAAGGUAAAAAUUUCAUUUUUAUUAUAAUCAAAACAUUAUUGUAACUUUGUUCAAAACAUUGAAAAGUAUUUCAAGUAAUACUAUUAUCAGAGUUCAAUCCUAAAGAUCGCAUAUUGCGGAAAACACGGUUGUAUGCGCUGCGAUCGUCCCGAGCUCUAUCAUUUGAAAACUGGAGUACCUGAAACAAAACUGCAAUCCGUAAGCACAAAGCUUAGUGAGUUCCCCCAAAAUACCACAUACUAAUCAUACAAUAAACAUAUAGUGGGCCCCGCCCGGUCAUCGAGCUGAGCUCGAAAAGCAUAUAAACAUAUACACAUGUAAUAUACACAACAUACAAAUAGUCAUCGGUCUUCACCCAACAUCGAACCUUAGUCCAAAAGCAUAUAAACACAGGUACAUGCAAGAGUCACAAAGACAGCUAGUAUUCUAUCAUCAUAACAUAAACAUGGGUUGGCAUUGGUGCCUUUGACCCGCUAAACCCGGUAAGGAAACUCACCUCGAAUGCUGAAACUCACUACAAGAAAUCCUUAGUUGUUUCCCUGACAACUUCUUGAGCUAACAAUACCAAAAUAUCACCAAAUUAGCAAUUGGGUUCCAAACCAUGAUCCAUAAUCCAUACUUGGGUGAAAUGACCAUUUUACCAUUGGCCCAACAAGAUUCAAAACCACAAAAUCAAUAAAAGCCCACUAAUGGCCUAAUUUUCCAAAUUGGGCCCAAUCCCAUGCGGGCCUUAUCCUAAGCCCAUAUUUUACAAUUCGGAUUGUUUCAAACACCCCUUGGGACAAACUUGAUCAAAGGCAUAAGUCAAAAGUUGAAGUCAACAGCCCAAGUUGGCCCAACUUGCCAACUUGUCCUUCAACUCAUCGAGUUUCUUCAUUAGACUGCAAAGAUCGAGCAAAACCCCCUCAACUCGCCGAGUUCACCAGAAAUCCAACCUCUUAAUUCAUUAAGUCGACCUUUUCGAAACUAAGGGCUUCUUAACCCAGAUCUUAACUGAAAUGGCCUCAAAAGGGUAAAGUUUCAAACUUUACCCCUAAGAACCACAAAAAUGGGUUCAAAACCCAAACCCUAAACUUAAAAGGGUAAGGACUUAAUCAUUAAGCACUUAUUCUACAAGGACACAACUCCAAGAUGCAGAUAUGACCAUAUGAGGCUAGAUAGCCAUGUAAACUUUCCAACUUUACACUUAUUCAUGAUUGGAAGAAGCUCAAAGGCUUAAAAGAGACCAAAAGAAGGACUUACUGAAUGCAUGAAGCCCUUAAGAUCAUAAAGUUGGCACCUUUAUGCCAAAAGAGCUCAUGAAGAUCAUAGAUCUGGAAAGGAUAAACACUUAGGACUUCUACUUCCUCAACAACCACACAUCCGUGGCUAAAAGCAUACAAAUAAACCCAAGAAGAGAUCUAAGCCAAUACUAAGCAAGGUUAGAGCUUUAUACCCAAAAUGUGCUGAAAAUUGAACAGAGAACCAAGAUCUGAAAGCUCCUACUUGAACCAACACCUUGCACCAAGCUUUUCUUCCAUCAAUGAGCCUUAAACACACCAAAACACACCCACAAUGAGCUCACAACACUCAAGGAGGCUAUAGGGUUUCGAGAUUAGGAUUAGGGGCUAUGAAGGUGGGAAAUGAGGCCAACACCUGGAACUUAAGAUGUUUAAAUAGGGUGCAAAACCCCAAAAUUAGGGUUUCCUAAAUAGCGCCCAACUCGUCGAGUGGGCUCCUCCAAAUCACCGAGUUAUCUCAUUAACCUCGCAACCAAAACAACCUCUACUCGUCAUCGUCGAGUUAAGGCUCCUCAACUCGUCUAGUAGACCAAUUAAAUCCUCAUGAUUCUUCAUCUUCAACUCGUCGAGUUCUACUUGACAUUGGCAUAAUUCCACAAUUAACCUUUUAGAUUCCGGUUGUUACAACCCUAACCCACUUAAAUUAGAUUUUGUCCUUGAAAUCGCUCGUUAUUAACACUCAUAACAAAACGACAAACCUGAAAAUUAUAAACAAAAAUUUUACGCACAAAAUAGUCUUGCCAAGGGAACUGAAANUUCAAAGUUUUUUUAGAAAAUAUGAUUUUUUUUUUUAAACAUUAAAAUUUUUAACAAAAACAAUCAACGUUUUAGGUACAUAUAUCAAUAUUUUUUCAAUUGUGUAUAUAUAUACACAUAUUUCUUAUACUAUAAUAUUCAUAAGUAAAUCAUAAAAAAUCUCAUUUUUAUUUAUGAAUCCAUAAACACUAUUAAUAUAAUUAUUUUAUUCGAUAAAAAAUAAAAUAUAAAAAACAAAAAAUGUUACAAAGAUUCAUAGUGUUAUUAUUUCUUUGUGUCACGACUUCCAUAUGUUCUUCAAUUUAUCACUUUUCACCUAUUCAAUAAUUUCCACAAAAUUUUCCAAAUCUACAAGAAAAAUAAUUUUUUUUUAUUAAUGCAUGAACACUCACAAAAACAAGGGAGGGGGACUUGCUCUCGUGUAAAAAAGGCAUAAAAUCAUAUACCUAGGUUCUUAGCCAAGAACUUCAGCAAUUCCAGUAAAUGACAUAAGGAAUGGAGUGCCUGCUUUUGCUACUUAGAUAGCAAGCUCGUGAUGACAUAUGUGUAAGGCAUCAAACUUUCCCAAUGCUACUAUGCCUCCUACGAUACAACAUCAAAUUAAAUUCUUUAAAAUAAUAAACAAAACCAACAUAACAUAGUGUAAUCUAAAUAUCUAAUAAUAAAAAAUAUCGGAAUUGAAAUCGAAGUUUGAAUCAUGCCUCAAAAGCUUAAACAAAUCAAGUUUUUUCAGUCCAAUGUUCAAAUUCCAUUGAUUAUAGGAUGGAAUGGAAUUGACAUAGCAAAAGAUAAUGUUGAAAUAAAAGAAAAAAAUAUGUACCGAUAAUUGUAAAACAGGUUAUCAAUCGAAAACGAGAAAUGAUUACUUAAGUUAGGCAAAAAUCUAUGGUUUCCUCCGUCAACUUUCUCCCCUAUUCAUGUGUGCAUAUAUAAGUAAUUCAUAUAUGAUUUACAUGUGAAUCACAUGUAAUUCAUAUGUGAUUUACUUGUUAUUUAUAUGUGAAUUACAUGAUAUUCAUAUGUGAAUUACAUGUGAUUUACAUGUGAAUCAUAUGUAAUUCAUAUGUAAUUCAUAUGUGAUUCACUUGUGAUUUAUAUGUGAGUUACAUGAGAUUCAUAUGUAAAUUACAUGUGAUUUACAUGUUAAUCGCAUGUAAUUCAUAUGUGAUCUAUAUGUCAAUUACAUGAGGUUCAUAUGUUAGUUACAUGUGAAUCGCAUUGAAUUCAUAUGUUAUUUACAUGUGAAUCACAUGUAAUUCAUAUGUGAUUCACUUGUGAUUUAUAUGUGAAUUACAUGAGAUUCAUAUGUAAAUUACAUGUGAAUCUGUAGCAGCCUAAAAAUCCAAGGUAAAAAUUUCAUUUUUAGUAUAAUUAAAACAUUAUUGUAACUUUGUUCAAAACAUUGAAAAGUAUUUCAAGUAAUACAAUUAUCAGAGUUUAAUCCUAAAGAUCACAUAAUGCGGAAAACAUGGGUGUAUGCGCUACGAUCGUCCCGAGCUUUAUCAUUUGAAAACUGGAGUACCUGAAACAAAACUGCAAUCCGUAAGCACAAAGCUUAGUGAGUUCCCCCAAAAUACCACAUACUAAUCAUACAAUAAACAUAUAGUGGGCCCCGCCCGGUCAUCGAGCUGAGCUCGAAAAGCAUAUAAACACAUACACAUGUAAUAUACACAGCAUAGGAAUAGUCAUCGGUCUUCACCCGACAUCGAACCUUAGUCCAAAAGCAAAUAAACACAGGUACAUGCAAGAGUCACAAAGACAACUAGUAUUCUAUUAGCAUAACAUAAACAUGGGUCGGCAUUGGUGCCUUCGACCCGCUAACCCAGUAAGGAAACUCACCUCGAAUGCUGAAACUCACUACAAGAAAUCCUUAGUUGUUGCCUUGACAACUUCUUGAGCUAACAAUACCAAAAUAUCACCCAAUUAACAAUUGGGUUCCAAACCAUGAUCCAUAAUCCAUACUUGGGGUGAAAUGACCAUUUUACCAUUGGCCCAACAAGAUUCAAAACCACAAAAUCCAUAAAAGCCCACUAAUGGCCUAAUUUUCCAAAUUGGGCCCAAUCCCAUGCAGGCCUUAUCCUAAGCCUAUAUUUUACAAUUCAGAUUGUUUCAAACACCCCUUGGGACAAACUUGAUCAAAGGCAUAAGUCAAAAGUUGAAGUCAACAGCCCAAGUUGGCCCAACUUGCCGAGUUGUCCUUCAACUCAUCGAGCUUCUUCAUUAUACUGCAAAGAUCGAGCAAAACCCCCUCAACUCGCGAGUUCACCAAAAAUCCAACCUCUUAAUUCAUUAAGUCGGCCUUUUCGAAACUAAGGGCUUCUUAACCCAUACCUUAACUGAAAUGGCCUCAAAAGGGUAAAGUUUCCAACUUUACCCCCUAAUAACCACGAAAAUGGGUUCAAAACCCAAACCCUAAACUUAAAAGGGUAAGGACUUAAUCAUUAAGCACUUAUUCUACAAGGACACAACUCCAAGAUGCAGAUCUGACCAUAUGAGGCUAGAUAGCCAUGUAAACUUUCCAACUUUACACUUAUUCAUGAUUAGAAGAAGCUCAAAGGCUUAAAAGAGACGAAAAGAUGGACUUAUUGAAUGCAUGAAUCCCUUAAGAUCAUAAAGUUGGCACCUUUAUGCCAAAAGAGCUCAUGAAGAUCAUAGAUCUGGAAAGGAUAAACACUUCGGACUUCUACUUCCUCAACAACCACGCAUCCGUGGCUAAAAGCAUACAAAUAAACCCAAGAAGAUAUCUAAGCCAAUACUAAGCAAGGUUAGAGCUUUAUACCCAAAAUGUGCUGAAAAUUGAACAGAGAACUAAGAUCUGAAAGCUCCUACUUGAACCACCACCUUGCAUUAAGCUUCUCUUCCUUCAAUGAGUCUUAAACACACCAAAACACACCCAAAAUGAGCUCACAACACUCAAGGAGGCUAUAGGGUUUCAAGAUUAGGAUUAGGGGCUAUGGAGGUUGGAAAUGAGGCCAACACUUGGAACUUAAGGUGUUUAAAUAGGGUGCAAAACCCGAAAAUUAGGGUUUCCUAAACAGCGCCCAACUCGUCGAGUUAGCUCCUCUAAAUCACCGAGUUAUCUCAUUAACCUCGCGACCAAAACAACCUCUACUCGCCAUCGCCGAGUUAAGGCUCCUCAACUCGUCUAGUAGACCAAUUAAAUCCUCAUGAUUCUUCAUCUUCAACUCGCCGAGUUCUACUUGACAUUGGCAUAAUUCCACAAUUAACCUUUUAGAUUCCGGGUGUUACAACCCUACCCCUAUUAAAUUAGAUUUUGUCCUCGAAAUCGCUCGUUAUUAACACUCAUACCAAAACGAUAAACCUGACAAUUAUAAACAAAUAUUUUACGCACAAAAUAAUCUUCCCAAGGGAACUGAAACCAAUACCGAAACUUUUACCCGAGGACGACAUCCAAACCUUCAGCCCCUGCAAACACUUCUACCUUUAUGAGACUAGAAUCUAUAAGGGUCUAACUCCCUGGCAUACCGCUCAUGCUGAAACAACUCCAUGCCCAACUCUCAACGAAUAACCAACCAAAUAUAACACUUCCAAUUCUGAACAUACCACGACCUAUCCAAAUUUACUGAAACCUCCCUUAAAAUAGUUGUUCAAGCCCAAUGUAGAACGAAUUCUCAAUCUCUCAAAUAAAACCAAUCCUAUCUCACCUAAAAUCCAAAAACUAAGUCUCAAUGGUCUGACUCACUGUCAGACCUCCCACGCCGAACCGCCAUCGUGCCAGCCUCAUAGAGUUUCAUACCAAACAAAUGCUUCCAACCCCCGAUCACAUUACCACUUCAAAGGGAAACAAAGUCACUGACCAUAAACAGCUACAGAACACUUAUACUCGACAGAAGGCUCAGAUAAUCCUUUGAGUAGAAGAUUCAUUCCUACAACGGUUAGACUUAGACAAGAGCUGUGCAACAGGGUCAAAUCAAUUACUCUGAGAUUAUUUAAUCCCACUGCGAGUGACUUAGCAUUUCCUAAUCCACCAGUUACUCCACACACACACGAGACCCAAAUCACUAAUACCGCCCGAAACACCGAUACUACCUGAAACACUGAAACUGCCUGAAACAGAAUGCUGCCUCCUAGCUACUUUCCAAAAUCCACCGAGACCUCCCUUGUCCUAAUUCGUCAGCCAGACAUCUGAAAUACCGGGUUUCAUCCCGGUUGCUGAGCAAAAAGAGUCCCACACAGUCGCCCCUCGCGACUUCCGACAGAAAGCGUCAUAGGCACUAACUAUCCAAACCAUCUCGACACUAACCCGAUGCAAAACUGAACGCUGCAGGACCAACUGUAGUCUUUCCUCAUACCCCGGUCUCCCACGACCUACCAUAACCUGAUUCCAAACAUAUUGUGGCCCUCCUACAACCUUGCGACCUGACCCAUCCUAACCUAAACCAUCCGAAGAAAACCACGACCAAAACACAGGUUUGCCAUAAUCUCACCGUUGAAUGCUACGGGCCACCCCACACUCUUACAACACUCCCACACCAACUGACCACUGCUGAGUGCUACGUGCCACCCCGCAGUCUUACAACACUUCUACCCCAACUGACCACUAGUAAAUGCUAUGGGCCACCCCGCAGUCUUACAACACCUCUACACCAAUUGACCACUAGUGAAUGCUACGGGCCGCCCCACGGUCUUACAACACUUCUACACUAAUCAUAAUUGCAGCACACUACCUUACCCUAAUCUAUCAAAUCGAACGCACCCAGAGUGGAGCACACACUCGACCGAACGCCAAGUUGAAUGAUAGGUGCUUUUCAUGCACCUAUUUUGCAUGUUAUUUUUGUCAUUUCAUAGCAUUCUACUUCAAAAUUCUUGCAUUUUGUUAAUUAUUUGGGCAAUUGCAUAUUUCAUUAAGAAUGCAUGGUACUUCACCAUUUUUGAUUUAUUUUGCAAGCAUUAUGGACCGUGGAGCUUGGAGCAUGGAGGAUGGAACUUGGAGGCAUGGAGCUUUGGAGCAUGAAGAGAAGAUGAACCGGUCAUUCCAUGGCAGAAAACAUGAAGACAUAACCCGAGUCAUUGUUGCAUUGUCAUCAUAGUAAAGGACUACAUUUGAAACGCGGUUCUUGUCACACCGACACGGGUCGUGUUUGUCCUUUAUCAUCUCAUACUUGAGCAACAUGACUCGUGGUGAAGUUUGACCGAAGAUUGAGCCAACAGUAAAGACUUAUUUGUGUUUUAGCAAAAAGCAUGGGCCAUGCCAAAAACACAUGGUCAAGACAAAUGGCCAUGCCAAAAACACAUGGGCAAAAGGCAUGGCCAUCCCAAAAACGCAUGGCCUCAUGGCAUGCACGUGAACAUUAAUUAAAGCAGGAGGAGACAUCAUUUUUUUUGCAGGGGACGGUUUCUGGAGCAACUAGGGGCGAUCUUGGGUGAUUUUGGGAGAAUUCUAGGAGCUUUUGAGAAGACCUAAUCAUUGCAAACACUUUUGAUUUCAUUUUUGUAAGCAUUAAAAAUUCCAAUUCCAUCUUUAUUCUUGUUUGAUUUGUUCUUAGCCAUGUGUGGCUAAGAAACGCUAAUUUCUAGUUCUUGUUCAAAACAUGUUGAUUGUUUGACUUGAAGCAUAUGCUUUGAUGUUUGAUUUGUGAUUCUACUAUAGUGAUUAUGUUUUUGUUUAAACUAGAAUCCUUGAAUUUGAUUUGUGUUUGAUUGGCCACUUUCAUGAAUUGAAUUUUUGUGCAGUUAAUUAACUUUUAGGGCACCUAAUCAUUCUAUUGUGUUAAUAAUUGGUAACAAGCAGUAAGUUUUCUUAUUGUAAAACAUAUAUCACAUGUUUUCACACUUCCGAGCGUAUGAUAAGAAAUGAACAUUGUUGGGAAGCUUGUACAAAACUUAAUGCAGUUUUCAAUACAAUCUAAGAGCGUGUUUAGGUUGAAUUAGUAAAGCUAGGUCUCCAUGAUUUGGUUUGAUAAUUUGGCAAGCGAGAGGUAUUAGAGCGUGUUAAUACCUUUCAAUACCAACUUAGAAUAGUAAUCAUAAAUUACAUCAAGUCACAAUCAAGUUAAAUGACAACAUUGAGAACUAGAACUAGAAGCACUUUUACAACUUGUUAACAAAUCUAUUUCAUUUUCUGCACGUUCCAAAGUUGAUUUUUAUUUUCAUUAUUUGAAUUUUGCAAACAAAACCCCCCUUUGUGACCAAAGUAUCUUGCGCAAAGAGGUAUAGACUUUUAUCCCGUGUCUUUGUGGUUCGACCAUGCUUGCCUUGUACCACUUUUUAGUGCAUUAAAGCAGUGUAGUUGGAGUCUCUUGUAUCGCUAUCAUUUGUUGGGUUUGACACGCCUAACACUAAACUCGAGCCACACCUGGAACCCCAACCUGGUUCCCCAAAGCCUUCUAUCUAGCACCAAGAGAACGCGACCUCAAUGUUUGGUGAGUUUCACGAUCUUCCAACUCAUACAGUCCUCAAUCCAAAUAGCGACUUGUGUUUCCUUCCUCCCCGACGGUGAUGCAAAACUCAUCCUAGAUUCAGAACCACUUCUGUUCCUGAAUCCCUAAAUAGAGCUGACAAUGGGUCGACCUAGGUUGGCUUCGGGGUCAACCCAUUUAUUAAUUAGGUUGAAAAUAUCAACCCAACCCAACCUGUUUAUUUAAAUGGGUUGAUAUUUCCAAUCCAAACCAACCUUAUAGAUAAAUGGAUUGCCAUCGGGUUAACCCAUUUAUGUAGUUCUCGAUCCAACCUAUUAAAUAAAUGAGUUAAACUUAGGUUUACUUAUUUAAAAUCAAAAAAUUAAAUACAUUAACUAAUGAUUAUACUAUAUAAAUCAGUUUCAAACAUAAAUAAAAUUUCAAAGUACAACAAAAACACAAUCACAAUUUACAAAUUUGAAUAAAUUGAUCAAAUAACAUAAAAAAUAUUUAAUUNUGCAAAAGGAUUGGAGAGUGGCUUGUAUUUUUGGGGAUAAUAAAAAAAAGAUGAGAAUUAAGAUUACAUUUUUUUAAACACAAAUAAUAAUACAACAUUUUAAUUUAUAAAUUAAUACUUCGAUUAAUACAUGAUAAUAUUCAAAUAAAUAUUAAAUUAAGCAUAUACUAAAGUUAAAUGGGUUGGUGGGUUGAAAACGGGUUGAUCAUUUUUACCCAACCCAACCUAUUUAAUUAAAUGGGUUAGACGGGUUGACCCAUUUAACUUAAAUGGGUUGAAAAUCUUAACCCAACCCGCUAAUUUUGGGUUGGGUUGGCGGGUUGGGUCGAUUUUUGCCAGCUCUAUCCCUGGAUGAUUCUCCCCCACUUUGAUUCGACUAAAUUCUCACAACACACGAGAAUUGAAGAAUUCCCAAUCCUUCUCACUUCCCAACUAUCGAUCCGCUGACAACCAUCGCUUUUUCUUUCUAAUGAUCCCUCACUAGCCAACUCAAAAGAUUGCACAACCCCUGAAGACCAGCUAAACACUUCCUGAAUCCCUGCAACGCUGAUGAUCCCAGAUGCUUAACCUGAUAUCUCACUCAAAUCUUGAAGUCCAAAUGACGGAUGCUCCAACCAAAAUCUCAGCAACAAACCACCUCCCUCGGCAACUCCAAAAACCAAUCCAAGCAUAAUUGCUAAAACCACUAGAUCAUGCCGAUAUUAUACAACUAUCCCACUAAAUCAUGCCCAUAAACCUUCCACACAAUGCCCCCAACUAAUUCCAACUACCAUCGAGAUAACAUAGAAUAGUCCCAACCUGCUAUAAGAGAAACAACCCUUUACAAAAACACUAACGAUUCAUGGUAUGCAAAUGGAAUAUAACAUUUCUUGAAGAUAUAACUCAAACAUAAGUAGAGAAAUAAACCAAAGACACACUUACCCAAACCGAUGCAAGAUUCCAAUCAACAAAAUGCAGAGAAAAUUGAAAGAAAGCAAAAGAUACAUACCCGCAAUGUCGCCUGGAGAAACCCCGAAUGCCUCUUUUUGCUGAAGUACCUACAAUGAAACCUGGGUUGCCCCAACCACUAAGCAUUGGUAACCCGCACCUACCACACUUAGACCUAUUGCACUCAUCCCCAUGCACCCCUUCGCCCUUUGUGUAACCACUAUGACCCCUCAGGCCUCUGACAACAACAAUGGCAGCGACCAACUACUCAGAUCGCCGAGCCAGACUGGAAGUCUGCUUCCGCUUUCCCAACUGCCUAUCUAAACUAAUCUUCUACUCCUAGGUUACCUCAACCAGCCCAUGAACUGCCUGAGUAACUGAGGCUCGCUCCUCGAACCUGGUGACCACUCUAUCAAUGACACGCCUAAUGAUGUCGGGUAACUCCUCGCGUAGGGCUUGCGAAACUUCCGUGACAAUCCAUUCUUGUGUUUGACCCUUUUGAAGACAUGGUGCACUAUUCAACUCCGAUCCCAAAUGACAAGAGCUAACAAUAGGAUCCUCCUGCCUGUAGGUUCCUAGGAUUCCACAAGCUUUGGGCUCUAUAUGAGCCCCCAACUUGUUUCCAGUGUGGACGCUGAAGCGAAUCUUGAAUGAAGUUGUUGAUAUGACAAGUCAGUAUUGGUUGGAACCGGUUAUGUCGUUUGAUCUUCAAAAUUCUCAAGACUUGCAACUAGACCUUCCAAUUACUCCAAAAGCUUUUAAGUUUCGCAGCUUUGUGAAAGUGUUGAAUGCCCCUGUAACAGAUAGUGGUGUUGAUCACUUACUCUUCUCCUUCUACCUCAAGCAUAUGAAGCAACAAUAUGAGACGUGGAGUGCGAGCAUGAUUACGGAAGUGAAGGUUACUGGUCCAAUCGAAACUGAUAACUUCCCAAAUGCGAAGUUUAAGGUUGCAAGAGGUUCGUCCAGUCAGGUCUGCGAAUUCACUCUUGCUGAUCUGACAUGCCUUAACCCAUAUGAUUGGAUCGUGCUUUACUAUUAUUUGCUGAGGGAUGGUCAGAAGUAUGAACCUAUCAUUGCUCACCUCAAACAUAUGAUAAUUUCUUACAUUUAUGAGGUUGGGCAGAUGGAUGUUGAAAUAGUUUAUGUGUUACGAAGGAAACCGAGUAUUCUUCCUAAUGAUAACCCCGGUGGUUUUGACAAGAUGAAGCUUGGGAAGAUACAUAAGAACGGAUGGUGCGUGUCCUUUCAAGUGCAGGAACGAAAUGAUGCAGACUUUCAAAAAUUUUGUUUGUUUUUGGAUGACAAACACUUAUACACCACUUUGUGUCUUGAAUACAUUUUGCACCUCGUCCACAGAUACAAGGGCAACGUAAAGGGUGAAAAGAAGUGCUUCUCGGAUAUGAUUUAAUAGUAUAUCCAGGUUUGCAUGGUUCUGCUGAACAUUAUUCCGAAAGUCUUUGAUAUACAGAAGCGAACAUAGCCUUGAUGGACUCUCGCCUCAAUUGAUGCAAAGGGGGAGAUUUUUGGGAAAUUAGUGUUGCGUUAUUGUGUUUUAUUAAAUAGUCAAUUUAUGUAAACGGGCUUGGGCUUGUCCACCCGUCUUUAAUUAUUAGGGUUAUAGUAUUUAAGGUGCAUGCAUGCACCGUGUUUUGGAAUCUUGGAAAUAGCCUUGUAACCCUACACGCCUCUACAGUUGCAAUUCUUCAUCGAGUUCUUCUGAGGCAUGACUUUGAAUCAUUAAGCAUAUAUUGAUCCAUUCUUGUGUUCUUGUUUUCUAUUACCUGUUUAAAUCUGUCGAUCUUUAGAGAUUUUAUCUCAAAACUUCUCAUAUCUCAUCUAUGUAUUUUACUUUGAAAAAACUGCCCUUUACAUUUAAUUUUCAAAAAUUAUCCCAUUUUUAACAUUUAUCUUUAACUUUUCAUUCAGUAACAUCAUUAGUGAAACAUCAAUCUUCUUUUUUUCUCAUUUAUGUAAUUUACUUUGAAAUAUCUUACAAUUAAAACAUUCUACUUUCAAAAACUUUCCAAUUUACAUUGAUUUUUUUAAAAUCAUCACAUUUUUAGCAUUGUACUUUAACUUUUGCUCAGGCGCCAUAUCGCCUUGCACCACCAAAGAUGCAGGAGUUGUCCUCUCAGCUUCAGGAGUUGUUGGGCAAGAAGUUUAUCAGAUCGAACAGUUCACCCUAGUAAGUACCGAUUUUGUUUGUGAAGAAGAAUGAUGGGUCCCAUCGUAUGUGCAUAGAUUAUCAGGAGUUGAAUAAGCUGACGGUAAAGAAUCGUUACCCACGCCCUAGGAUUGAUGACCUCUUUGAUUAGCUAAAGGGUGCAUCUUGGUUCUCCAAUAUUGAAUUGAGGUCAGGUUACCACCAGAUGAGAGUCCGGAAGGAGGAUGUGGAGAAGAAAGCGUUUUGAACUCGUUAUGGUCAUUACGAGUUCGUGGUGAUUCCGUUUGGGCUCACCAACGCACCUGCAAUAUUCAUGGAUUUGAUGAACUGGGUAUACAUGCCGAUGCUCGAACGGUCGGUUAUUGUUUUCAUUGAUGACAUUCUGGUCUGAUCCAAGACUAGGGAGCAGCAUGAGGAGCAUCUUAGAUUAGGGUACCGAGACAGGAGGGGCUUUAUGCCAAGUUAAGGAGCAGGAUGAGGAGCAUCUUAAAUUAGGGAAUUUAGAUAGGAGAGGCUUAAUGCCAAGUUCUCCAAAUGUGAGUUGUAGUUACGAGAGGUCCAGUUUCUAGGACACAUUGUCAAUCAGAACGAGAUUCCGGUCGAUCUGGCCAAGAUCGAGGCAGUGAUGCAGUGGGAGGUCCCGAAGUCUCCGUCUGAGAUUAGGAGUUUUAUGGGGUUGGUUGGUUACCGUAACAUCCCAAAAAUCAUGGUAAUUUAAAAAAAAAAUUCAUAAACCUUACGUCAUACAAAACAUUAUUCCAAAACAUAAUCAUAAAAUCAAAGUAUCCUCUUCUAGAAGGUGUACGCGUUGUACCCGUGCCGCGCACACAAAUUUUUAUGUUUCUUCUAAAAAUCAUAUAUUUUUUAUACGACCUCUGUUUUUGACGUUCUUUAUAUCCAUAUGUAGCUAUCAUCGAGGACUACAACUUUCAAUUUCUACUUUGUUUUAGACUUUGUUGACUAAUUCUCACUUUAUUUUUGAUUUUAUAUUUUUAAAGUGAUUAGACUGUUAAAACUUGUAUAAAAAUCAUAACUUUUUCAUACGAAUUCCGUUCUCGACUAUUUUAUAUUGAUGGAAUUGUGUUCACCAUAUCUUUAACUCUCAUUUACAUUGUUUUGGAUAACACUGAACCAAUUUUAGUUUCAAUUUCAGUGUCCACACUAUUGCACUGAUUUUGAAUAAUCAUAACUUCCUCAUACGAAGUCAAAAUUUGAUAUUCUCCAUAUGCACGCUUUCGCUUUUAUGAUUACUACAAUUUCAUUUAGAUUGUUUAGGCUAAUAAACAACCUAUCUAUGAUUUGUAUUUUACGACACACUUAUUCGUAAAUGACUGAAUGCAAAACUUUAAACAAUCAUAACUUGUUCAUACGAAAUCUGAUUUGAGCGUUCCUUAUAUCUUUGGAAUCAUCAUCAUGGUUAUUACAACUUUAUGAAGAUUAUUUAUCCUAAAUAAUCCUCUACCAUAAACGUUACUUUUAUCGCUUAAUGAAAAAUUACCUUUAUAGUUUUGUAACACACACCACUAACAAUUAUCCUAUUCGAUGAUUAAAUUAUUUAAUAAAAUGAAUAAAUUUUAUUAUAGUUACUCAAAUAAUCAAGCCCUAACUGUAACAUCCCAAAAUACGAAGGUAAAAUAUCAUUUUUAAAGCAUAAUCAAAACACUCAUUUAUCCUUUAUUCAAACAUUUAGAGUAUUUCAAAAUAAAAACAAUUAUCAGAGUUCAUUCCCAAAAUCACUAAUUGUGGAAAACACGGGUGUAUACGUUGCGAUUAAGCCGGGUCCUUCACUUUUGAACCGGAAGUACCUCAAACCAUAAACCACAAACUAUAAGCACAAAGAUUGGUGAGUUCCUCAAAAUACCACAUACCAUACAUAACAUACGAGCCAUACAUAUCAUGCAUACAAUAAGUGGUGUUAGGUGCCAACCAUAGUCUUGUCAUUAUGUCACGACCCGUAUCAUGGUCUUUCCUUGCCAAUUCGGGGUCCAAAACCUAGGGUCUUACAAACAAGUGACAAGAGCCACCUCCUGGUCUUCCAUGCAAGCGUCACAAAGACAACUAGCAUACAAUCUACAACUACUUAUCUACUUAACUGCCAAAGUCCAAACUCGAGCCCUGCAUACAGAUUUCUAGGAGCCACCUCCUAGUCUUUCAUACAAAUACCAAGGGCCACCCCUUGUUCUUCCUAAUAUACAUAAACCAAAUGGGCCGGCAUUGGUGCCUUCGACCCAUAAUAUAGUGAGGAGACUCACCUCGACAGAUGAACCCAUAAUAAAUCUCUUAUUGUUGAUCCGCUAGAAUCUCCGCGCUAUCAAACAAAUAAUAUUCAAUUAACAAUUGGGUUCCAAACCGAAUCCAAUAAUCCAUGUAACACCCCUGAGUUAGGGUUAGACAUUUAAGGGAUAAUAAUAAUAUUAAAUAUUUGUUUUAUCGAACAACUAAAAUCCUCAAAUAUGAUAAACGUUCUUCGUAUGCGUUACAAGUUAUAUAAAUACUUAUUUAUUAUAUAGUGUUAUAUGGACACAUAUAAUAUCAAUUUAAAAUUCAUUGAUAUAUAUUUACAUAUUGGAAAGUUUUAUUACGUUAAACAAUAUACNUAUAUAUAUAAUUUAAUUUCAAAGGUUUUAAUAACUGAAGAAAUGUAUGAAUACAUUUUGUGAAUAUAGUGUAUAUUGAUCGGAAGCUACCGGAUUAGGAAUAGAUAUAUAUUUACUAAAAUAGAUCAAUUAUUAAUAUAAAAACAUGGGUGUAGAUUAUUGGGUCAAAAUAGGUACUUGAUAGUUGCAUGACACAUAUCUAUAGAAGCCUACGUGUAGUGAUUAUAGCUUUCAUGCAUAUCAACUUCAAAUUUUCCUUAGACACCAAGCAAAUUUUGAUUUGCCAGAUAGCAUAUGCGCAUGACUAUAAAUAGAGUUCUCUUUUCAUCAUAACAUGUAUGAAUUCAAAUUUCAAAGCAUACGACUCAAAACAUAAUUCUAGAAAGAGUAUAAGAUAUUGUCUUUUUUGAAAAUAAGAGGGCAAUUUUAGAUCGAAGAGUUAUUAUUGGAAUUAUUACGAUCUGAGGCUUACACUCGUUAUAUCAGGUGGGUGUAUAGUCACUUUCAUCUCACACAUAAAUAUGAAGUAUUUUAUAUAAAAUACGUGCUAUGUGUAUAUAUGUUGUUUGUUUAUGGAUAUUGAAUGAAUGUUUUAUACUGUAUAUGUAUUUUUAUCUACAAAUAUGUUAGGUGUAACAUGGGUAGAUGAAAUAGUUAAUGUGUGAUGAAACAAAAUGAUGAGAUGUCUCGAUGUUGACGAUAUUCCAGUCAUCUACCAGAAUAUAGAUGAUGAACACGGACUUUUCUAGAUAGUCCAGUGGAAUGUUAAUAGGUUCGUAAUCUGUAGGUGUUUUUUUUAAACUAUUUGUUCAUCCGGUGUUUUUGAACUAUGUGAUCAUCAGGUAUUUUUGAACUAUAUGCUCAUUAGGUAUUUUGAACUAAGUGUUCACUAUGUGUUUUCAAACUAGGUGUUCAUUAGGUAUUUUGAACUAAGUGUUCACUGGGUGUUUUUGAACUAAGUGUGUUCAUUAAUUAUUUUUGAACUACGUGUGUUCAGUGUGUAUUUUUGAACUAAGUGUGUUCACCAUAUAUUUUUGAACUACAUAUUUACCAGAUGUUUUCAACUACGUGUUCACCAGUUGUAAUUUAAGAACCCUGGCAGCGAUGGACUUCGCGCUUAUUCCUUAGGAUAAUCCUUACGAAUGAAUGAAUGAAGGACAAAUGAUUCUUAAGAUCUUUAAGAAUAAAGAAGAUAAUGGGGAUGAGAAUUUGGGUUAAUUAUUUGAUGUUUAAACAUAAUAAAUUUAUUUAUUGUGGGUUAAAAACUCAAUAUGCUCACUAGGCUCCCAAGCCUGACCCACUCAGUUUUCUAUAUUACGGGUAGAGGAACAAGGGCAUAGUUGGAUGAUGAUGAGAGAUUUUGGAUUAUAGGCCAGUAGAUGUAAAUAAUUACUAUAAGGCCUAUUUUAUAUUGUUUAUACUUUUGGUCUAUAUCGAUGUUGACAUCCCGAGUUUUGUAAGGAAAAUGAAAAUACAUUUCUUUAAGAAAUGAUUUGAUAAAUGUUUAUCAUAUUUUGUUUUUGAGACAAAUUUUGCAACACUUUUUGAAAGAUUACUCUAAUUUUAUUUUAAAAGCAUAAACAAAAUCAGUAUUUUAUGGCCAUUAAAAUGGGGAUGUCACAAUCCAUAUAUGGGGUAAAAGACCAUUUUACUCCUCACCCAGUUUGGUUCAAGACUAAGGCCCAAAUGGGUAACAAUUCAGAACAUGGCGUUACACUAACUUACGGGAGUUACAACCAAUAAUAAAGAUUAAAUAAAAUUAUGAACAAUAAAUGAUAACAAUAGCAAUAUGUAUGCAUGGCUUGUUGAGAGCUAAGAUCACAACCCACAAUGGACAUACCAACCAACAUAAAAUUCGGCACUGCAUUCAUAAUAUCACACCCAACAUGUCAAAUAUGUGAAGUUCAAUAAAAAAACAUAGACUUAACAAUAAGAUGUACCUAAUUUUACAAAAUAAUUUUGAACACACCAUGGUGGGACAAAUCCUAAACCAAAUGAGGACUAAAUUUUCAUGUGGGGUUGUAAGGCACUACACAACACUUAGGGAUACUUUUGGUUCUAUCACAAAACAUAGAACGCCCAAAGCCGAACAUACUACCUUCCCGUUAUUCCAUUUCUCCACAUUUACGUGACACUUUCAUGGGUGAAAUAAGUAUAAUAUAGCAAUGCUUUUUUUUAAAAAAAAACAUGAAAGUUAUUAAAGCAACACAAGCAAGAUGUUAAAGGAAAUUCAAGGCAAAUUGGGACUGAUGUUCUAGCUAUCCCAUGACAAAAAUCUAUCUUUCCUAACUCUACUUUUUAUCCACCAAAAGGAGGUGGUUUUAAUUUCCCAGAAAAUGGAAUUACAAUUCAUGAUCAUGCCCUUGAAAAUCUUACUUUUUAUAUACCACCAUAAAACCCAUAUGAAAGCCAAUAGAAUCACUAAAAGUCUAUUGCUUUUAUCCUUAUUAUCUGCAUCUCUCUUCUGAAUACUUUGGAACAUAUCUUCGAUGGUAACCUUGUUAGUUGGGAACUCAUGACUCCAUAUAUUAAUAAGAGCGAUAACUUCCUUAUUUGUCGAACACUUAGUAAACAUAUGGUUCUACGUAUCCUCAUAACUAUGCCACAAAGGGUAAUGCGUGUGUAACGACCAAAAAUUUCAACCAAUUUAAAACACUUUAUUUCAUUCAAAAACCAUUAAGUUCAUACAUCUUGUUUUCAAAAUAGUUUAAACAUCAGAUUAUCCCCCAGAACCAUAUCACAUAGAUCAUAAAACAUGAGGAGCGGUACGAUCACACCUUCACCUUGCCACGAUCUCCUGAAGCACCUGAAACAAUAAACCACAACUGUAAGCCCGAAAGCUUAGUGAAUUCCCCCAAAGUACCCAUACACACAUAAACACACGCAUACAGCAAAGAACAACAUACUACGGUUCCAAUCAAACUUCUGGUUGGAAUACCCCUGGCCCUCAACUAUCCGGUUGGAAUGCCUACGUACUACGAGCCCAAUCAUCCUACCGGGAUGGAAUACUCUUGGCCCACAACCAUCGAGUUGGAAUGCCCAUACACCUAUACGUAAAACAAUAACUACUAUGGGUCCAAUCAUCCCUCAUGAUGGAAUACCCCAGGCCCCUCAACCAUCGGGUUGGAAUGCCAACAUACUAUGAGUCCAAUCAUCCUACCGGGAUGAAAUACUCCUGGCCCACAACCAUCGGGUUGGAAUGACCCACUUACUAUACAUACAACAAUAACUACUAUGGGUCCAAUCAUCCCUUAGGAUGGAAUACCCCAGGCCCCUCAACCAUCGGGUUGGAAUGCCAACAUACUAUGAGUCCAAUCAUCCUACCGGGAUGGAAUACUCCUGGCCCACAACCAUCAGGUUGGAAUGCCCCACUUCCUAUACAUACAGUAACUACUACUAUUAUGGGUCCAAUCAUCCCUCAAGAUGGAAUACCCUAGGCCCCUCAACCAUCGGGUUGGAAUGCCAACCUACUAUGAGUCCAAUCAUCCUAUCGAAAUGGAAUACUCCUGGCCCACAACCAUCGGGUUGGAAUGCCAAUCUACUCUAGUAAACAUGUAUACAUAACAGGCAACCACAUAAAACUCUACAGAAUCAACAUACUAGGGCCCUAUCAUACUACCAGGAUGGAAUACCCUAUGCUACUUCUCAACAUACAUCUACCACAGGUAACCUCCUACCAGCGUACAUAAGGCAAGACCAACUACAGUUCUAUACUCAUAACCACUACUCAACUACCAGGGUGCUGACCCAACAUAACUAGCCAUCACUAAACUAUCCAUUCCUCUAGGAUACUAAGCUAACAAAGCAUAUUCUCAUAUCAUCAUCCUAUCUACCAGGAUACUAGCAAGCAUAUCAUCACAUAAACAUAACAAGCUCUAAACAACAAUUCAAAGGGCCGGACUUGGUGCCUUAGACCCUUGAGUACAGUGAGGAUAACUCACCUGAAAUGAAGAACUGAACAACGGAAGCACACACCCGAAGCGCUACUCCAAACUCCAACACCUCCAAUAUAAGCUCCAACUGAAAUAGAUCCUGGAUCUACACCACUCCUUUGCAGCAAGCCUCUUGAUCUUCAAGCCCCUCUCCAGUAUUUUCUCCUCCAAAGCUUUAUUAUCUCUAUUAAUGGAGGCUCACUCGAUUCUAGGGUUUUUGGAUCUCAAAAGGGUAGCAAAGAGGUUGAGGGUGGGUUAUAAUGUGCUUUAUAUAGGGCACAACCCCCGGGAUUAGGGUUUUCUCUCUUUAGCACCAACUCGUUAAGUCCAAGCCGCCGACUCGGCGAGUUGGCCACUUAAUCUACGACCCAAUCUCGCUCCGACUCGGCGAGUAAGAAGACCUACUCGUCGAGUCCCUUCUUUUAUUUACACUUUUGGCCCUUCAUUGAACUUCUGAAAUUUCAGGAUGUUACAACUCUCCUCCACUUAAAUUAGGCUUCGUCCUCGAAGCCUACUGCAACAUAUAUUCCAGAACAAACCCCUUGCACUACAGACUCCAUUUACUCAAUAAACUUAGGUUCUUACAAACCCUACUUCUGCAUCUCUCUUAAAAUGGCUUAUUCUCGCGUGGCAUCCUUGCCACUACUCCAAGCCAACCAUUGGCCUUUCAAUUCAAUAGCGCCACCUAUCAACCACGAAUCACCCUAUAAUACUAACCCUUCGUAUCAUGGACACACUUUUCCGCCCUGCGAACACUAGAUUCCACAAACACACACUGAGCUCUGCCAAUACACUAAUCCAUCUUCCUACGCCCAAAAAUUGGUGAUAACCCUAAUAACUUGCAACCUGGACGAGGAAACACUUUGACCAGGUGUUGGAAUCACAUGUGAUUUAAUAAAAGGGAGUGUACGACCACUUUGAGGAGUAUACGGACAUGGGUGUGCGGCUAGGGAGUGUACGGACGCACACUCAUGGUAAUGAGUGCACAAAAGUCUACUCCAAAGGUAGGGAUGCUUGUGGGACAAUUGCUCAUCAAGUGGUGAAGCUAGAAAGGCACUUUGGAGGCCCUUAAGCACUAAACAAAGGGGUAUACGACCACAUGGAGUGUGUGCAGCCGCACACUCCUUGAUAAACAUGGUUUUGACGUUUUAUAAGGAUCAUAUCUAGUAAGUAACAAGCUUAGGGAAUGGUAAUUACAAUAUAGAAGCCUUUAGGGGAGUUUUGAUGGUGUUUUGAGGGGUGUACGGCCACACAUUUGUAUGCGGCCGUACACAACGUAUGAUUAUGAGUUCUGGGCAUUUUCUAGGACUAAAUCAAGUGUUCUAAGAAAGAUUCAAGCAAAGGGAAAGAGUACCUAUGAUCUGGAGGCUCAAGAAGGCUCAAAAUCACCAAGAACAAGUGUGUUUUCUUGGUGUUCUAGGUGAAAUGGAUGAAGAUUUGAAGAUCUAGCCAAAACAUGAUUUCAAAUGGAUGAAAUCAAAGGAUGUAACUAGUUUAAGAAGAUUAACAACAAAUCAAGGGAAGAACACUUACAUUCUUGAAGAUCUAGGCUGAAAAUCGGAUGCUAGUUGAGAGAGAAAUCGAGUUCUAGAAUUGGGAGGGUGAAAAGGGAUGAAAGAAGGUUGAGUUCUAUACUUACACAUGUGAGUGUGCGGCUAGGAGAGGGGUGUGCGGCCGUACACUCCUUAUGUUUGAGUGUAAGGCGCAAUUUUGGUGAUAGAAGUGUACGCGAUCCAUUCCUAUGCUCAAUGCUUGAAUGUACGGAGCUUUGAACCUUCGAACGGACUCUAAACAAGGUUAAAUGAUGGCAGAAAUGAGUCUGGCACUCAGUUUUUGUAACAUCCAGAAUCAGAAAGACUAAGAAAGGAAAGAAAAACCCUAAGUCAAGGGGUCAACUCUUCGAGUCCAUAGGUGAACUCGAUGAGUCGGAGUGGGAUCCGAGUUAUGGAAUAAGUGACCGACUUAGUGAGUCGGCAAGUGGACUCGGUGAGUCUAGUCUGAGUGAGGAAAGCCCUAAUCCGAGGGUUUGCACCCUAUUUAAAGGACCUUAUGUCCUCUCCUUAGUCCCCCUUGUCGGCCAGAAGCUGCUAUACACGAUUCUAAACCCUAAGUUGAGUGAGAGAAGGAAGAAAGUGAGUUUAGGGCUUUGCAAGAGGAAGAUUUGGAGGAUUUCAUCACUAAGGAGCUGGAGGAUCCAACGCUUUUGUUGUGAGCAUCAGUUUGAAGGUAACAAUCUGUCACCUUGCCUUUGUUGCUUCUAGAUCUUCUCAUGGAUGAUUUGGGGCCAUUUUGGUAUGAUAAGGAGCCUUUUUGAGUUAGAAGUCCAGAUCUGAGGUUGCUACUUCAGAUCUAGGUGUAUCUUGGUCCAGAGAUCCAUAAAGUAUCAGUGUUUAGUGUGUUGGUUAAGCAUGUUUGUCCCAAUCCCUAGCCUUAGAGUGUUUUAAGCCCAUAGCUCCUUGGUUUCACGUAAAGUUUGCAACUUUACGUGAGGAAUAUACUUUGGAAGAGUGGAUCUAUGAGUUGGAUCCCCUGCAUGGCUCGAAAAGCCACUGUAUGGAUUAAGAACUGAAGCUACUCGGCAAGUCACAUGGGUGCACUCGGCGAGUUGGAUGAAGAUAGGCAUGAACUCGACGAGUUGGAAGAACAACUCAGCGAGUCUGUUGAACAUUGCCAUGGACUCGGCGAGUUUAUUCUUGGAUUUGACGAGUUGGAUCGCAGAACCUCAACCUUUUCUGGUUAAGAAUUAGAUCAGUGAGUUGAGUGGUGGCUCAGUGAGUUAGACAGGAUGGGACUCGGAGAUCGACGAACUCGGCGGGGUGACUCGGUGAGUUGAGGCGUAUUGUGUGAGUUUCUGAGUAUAAGGACUCGACGAGUCAACGGGUUGACUCGGCAAGUAGUGUCAGUCAGGAAGGUUGACUUUGACCAGGACUUUGACUCUGUCAAGAGUGGACUUAGUUGGCUUCUAGAGUUCCGUUUGGAUCUAAGUGUUAUGUAUAUUGAUAUUGGUAGCUCGGGGAGCUAGUGGAGCAGCGAUUCAGAGAAUUGUCGCUCAACAGUCAGAGGGUUAUCAGCAAAAGUUCAGCAGUACAGGUGAGUUUUCCCUUUGUGUGAAUGGGUCUAAGGCCACAAUGUCGGCCCAUGUAGAUAUGAGUAGGAAGACCCAGGGGUUAGCCCUAGGUACUGUAUGCCAGUAUGAUAUUUAGGACCAAGGUCCAUUGAUAGCGGGCGGGUGCCCAAGGAAUGGUUUGCAUGAUAGAGUAUACUUGUUGUCUGUGUGAUACUUAUAUGUGCCUGGUAGGAAGGUGAGUAUGGGCUAGGUCCCGUGUCUCACCAAUAGCAGAGUGUGGACGGUGUUCCACAUCUCAUUAGCAGCAGAACAGGGGCGAGGCCCAAGUUAGGGAAGAGUGAGUGUGGGUUGGUCCCGUAUCUCACUAUCAGUAGGAGCGUAGACGGGGUUCCAUGACUCAUCAGUAGCAGGACAAGGGCGAGGCCCAAGAUAGGCGAGGCCUCAGGACAGGAUUCAUUAGUAUAUGUUAGCUUGUGUGUUGUGAUAUGUUUAUGUGUUAGUAUAUGUUAGCGGGCGAGGCACAGUGACAGGCGAGGCCUAAGUGAAACAUAUAUGUAUCCGAGCGGGGCUCGAAGCCAGGAGGGACCUGGAGCGGCGGGGCCGUUGUAGCGGGCGAGGGUAUGGUAUGUGGUAGGUUGGGGGAACUCACUAAGCUUCGUGCUUACGUUUUUCAGUUUUGGUUUCAGGUGCUUUUGGUAGCGGAGGGGAGAGCUCGGGGUGAUCGCAUGACACACACCAUUGAUUAGUCAGCCUGGGAUGUUUUACUCUGAUAAUGAAAAUAUGUUUUGGAAAUGAUACUCUGAAUUCAUGUUAUGACUUAUGAUAUGUUUUUAUAAAUAUGGCUUUGGUAAUGAUUUAAAGAAAAAAUUUUAGCACGAAUUUUUGGGACAUUACAGUUUUGUUGACUGGCUGGGUUUUACAAGGCAAAAAAAUUUUUAAAAAAAUUGUGGGUUGUCACAGGUUUCGACGUCGUUCUGGGAAUCGAUUGGCUUAGCGCCAACGAUGUUGAGAUUCUUUGCAGGAAGAAGAUAGUAAGGGUGAACCCAUUCGGAAAAGAGUCAUUUAUGGUGUAUGAGGAAAAACGCAGAGUGAAUUCUGGAAUCAUCUCCCUGAUGAAAACCAGGAAAUGUUUGUCCAAGGGAUGCACAUCAUAUUUGGCAUUUGUGAUCGACGCUAAGAUGGAAAGAAGGAGGUGCAGAAUAUACCAGUGGUGUGUGAUUAUCCGGAAGUCUUUCCCGAAGAUCUUCCCGGAUUACCGCCUGAUAGACAAGUAGAGUUCCGAAUAUACUUGUUACUAGGGACGACACCAAUAGCAAAAGCAUUGUACCGAUUAGCACCGACGGAGAUAAAGGAGCUUAUGACGCAACUUUAGGAUUUGUUGGACAACGGUUUUAUUCGACCAUGUUCAUCACCCUGGGGAGCUCCGGUGCUAUUCGUGAAGAAGAAAGAUGGAAGCAUGCGAAUGUGCAUAGAUUACAGAGAAUUAAACAAGGCAACGGUGAAGAACAAGUACUCAAUCAGCUGCAAGGUUCGAGUUAUUUCUCAAACAUCGAUCUUAGGUCAGGAUAUCAUCAGCUGAAGGUGAGAGAGCAGGAUAUUGAGAAAACUACGUUCAGGACGAGAUAUGGACACUACAAGUUCUUGGUUAUGUCGUUUAGACUAACCAAUGCUCCAGCAGCAUUCAUGGAUUUGAUGAACAGGGUUUGUAAACCAUUCCUCGACAAAUCUGUGAUAGUGUUCAUAGCUAUGAACAUUCUCAUAUACUCGAAAAGCCAGGAGGAGCAUGGCAAACAUCUAUAAGAAGUGUUGGAAGUGUUGAAGAGGGAGAAACUUUAUGCAAAGUUCUCCAAAUGCGAUUUUUGGAUCCGAGAAGUCCAAUUCUUGGGUCGUGUGGUUAACCAAGAAGGGAUAAUGGUUGACCCAACAAAAAUCAAAGCGGUGAUGAAGUGGGAACAACCGAAAAGUCCCACGGAGAUUCGAAGCUUUCUGGGAUUAGCUGGAUACUACCAACGAUUUAUCCAAGGCUUUUCUUCGAUAGUUGCUACAUUAACAGCUUUGACCUACAAAGGAGCUACUUAUACAUGGAGUGAGAAGCACGAAGAAGCAUUCGAGAAGCUGAAGAAGAAGUUGUGUGAAACACCAAUUCUUUCUCUACCCGAUGGAGUUGAAGACUUCGCAGUGUAUAGCGAUGCGUUAGGAGUCGGGUUGGGUUGUGUUCUGACCCAAAGAGAAAAGGUGGUAGCAUACGCAUCUCGUCAAUUGAAGGAGCAUGAAAAGAACAGCCCCACUCAUGAUUUGGAGUUGGCAGCGGUAGUUUUUGCCAUGAAGAUAUGGAGACAUUACCUCUAUGACACGAAGUGCAAACAUUUCACUGUUCAUAAGAGCCUCCGGUAUCUCUUUAAUCAGAAGGAAUUGAACAUGAGACAACGAUGUUGGCUAGAGAUACUCAAGGACUACGAUUGUGAGAUACUUUACCACCGCGGUAAAGCAAAUGUUAUUGCUGAUGCUCUCAGUUGAAAAGUCAACCUUGAGAGAAAAAGGCCAAGAGCGUUGAGGAUAGAAGUUGUCUCGACGAUUGUGGAAAGUAUCAGGAAAGCUCAAGAAGAAGCUUCAGAGAAAGAUGACCGAAAGGAAUAAUGUUUGGGAAAAAUAUUAGUGUUGGGUAUAAACAGUCAAGGACUGAAGGUAUUCCAAGAUCGGGUUUUGGUACCUAAAUAAGAGAUCUUCUGAUGGAAGAAGGGCACAAGACCAUGUACUUAAUUCAUCCCGGCAACACAAAAAUGUAAAGCGACCUAAAACCCUACUAUUAGUGGCCGACGAUGAUGCUCGAUGUUGCAAAGUAUGUGGUCGAGUGUGUAACUUGUGCAAGAGUUAAGGCACAACAUCAAAAACCGUAUGGGAGUUUAGAAACUUUACCUGUACCCAUGGGUAAAUGGGAAGACAUCACCAUGGAUUUUGUGACUAAACUGUACAGGACAAAGAACGGUCACGACAUGAUUUGGGUAGUCGUGGUUCGUUUCACCAAAAGUGCACACUUCAUACCAGUCAACGAAAGGUGGUCUAUGGAUAAGGUGGUCUAUGGUACAAAGUUGUGUUUGAGUACAGUUUACCAUCCGCAGACUGAUAGUCAGAGCAAAAGAACGAUACAAACACUGGAAGAUAUGCUGAGAGCAUGUACCCUAGAGUUCCAAGGGAAUUGGGACGAGCACUUACCUCUGGUAGAUUUUUCCUAUAACAAUAGUUUCCACUCGAGCAUCAAGAUGGCACCUUAUCAAGCUUUGUACGGAUAGAAGUGUCAUACACCAUUUUGUUGGCUUAAGGCUGGAGAAAAGCAGAUUAUGGGCCCCGAGAUAGUCCAUGAGACUGCUGAGAAGCUGAAGGUGAUUAGGUAAAGAAUGUUAGUAGCUCAUUAUCGUCAGNGAAUGUUAGUAGCUCAGGAUCGUCAGAAGAGCUAUGCUGACAAGAAAAGACGAUCGAUGACUUUUGAAAUUGGAGAUUCAGUUUUGCUUAAUGUCUCACUGUGGAAGGGACUUAUAAGAUUUGGGAAAUGAGGAAAGUUGAGUCCAAGGUUUAUCGGACCGUUAAAAGUUCUUCAUAGGAUUGGGAACCAAGCUUACAAGCUCGAAUUACCCGAAGAACUAUAUGGUAUUCAUAAGACUUUUUAUGUGUGUUUUUUGAGGAAGUUUACAGGAGAAGUUCCCGACAUAAUUCCAAUCUCAGAGUUAAUAAUGGAUGAGAAUAAGAGGCUAAUCGAAGAGCCCGAGGCAAUCGUUGACCGUAAGACUAAGAAGUUACGACGCAAGAUGGUCGAUUUAGUGCUAGUAUUUUAGAAACAUUCGAAUGGGCCGAAUCUCACCUGGGAGACAGAGAAUGACAUGAUGAGUCGCUAUCCACAUCUGUUUGUUGAUGCAUGGUUCUGGGACGGAAUCAUCCUAAGGGGGAGAGAAUUGUAACGCUCGUGUUUCGGGGAUAAGCAGUAAUAGAUGAUGUAAUAGUCUAGGUCAACUAUUGUAACACUUUUUGAAGUAAUAAAGAUGAAUUGUUUGAGUAAUACGUGAACUAUAUGAAUUUAUGUGCUUAUUACUUGUUUAUAAUGAAAUAAUAAAUAAAGGAUAAAAAUAAGCGUAAAAAAUAAAGUGUUAGAUAAACCCAAUAUCGAUGAAGAAAGUUGUAUUGGUCGUGACAAGGAUUUCGGACAUAUAAAGAACGCCGAAAUCCGAGUUAUAACGAAGAAGUUAUGACUUGUCGAAGUUUCACGACAAAACCGGCACGACAUUGUGUGACGUAAAUAGUUAAUUUACGAUAGAGGACUUUUUUGCCUUAGUAAUCUAAACCAAAGUUGUAGUGUACGUUAAACCGAGAACGGGCAUAAAAAGAACGCCCAAAUCUGACUUCGUAUGAGGAAGUUAUGAAUUUUCUAAGAUUUGGCUUAGCAGUGCACAACUCGAAACUCGAAUUUUAGAUCGAACGGUUUUUAGCCUACGCGACCUAAAUGAGAAUUGAAGAUCUCAUUAAUAGGAACUCAACGGUAAAAAGACAGACGGAAACGGAGUCCGUAUGUAGAAGUUAUGAAUUUUACGCAGACAUUUAACAGUAUAAUCUCCUCGUACUGUUAAAUUUAAGAUCGGUCGAGAAUUAGCCGACAGAGUCAAAAUGAAAGUUGUAGAUCUUAUUUUUACCUAUGCGUUGAUAUAAAGAACGUCAAAAACAGAGCUCAUAUGUGAAAGUAAUGGAUUUUAGAAGUCGGAAGUGUGCGCAAAAAUGUGUGACGUGGCACAAUCUUGGCCAUUGCUUUCUCCCCAAGUCUUGCCACCAGAUGGUGACAUGUGGCACAAAGUUCAGUCAUAUUUCACCCUAUAAAUGUAACCUCUUUCACCCUCAUUUUCUUCACACCUUUCCCAUUCUUUCUUCUCUCCACUCUCUCUCUAAACCUCCUACCCCCCUUAAGCCCUAGGGAACUCCCUUAACGCUAGAAGAAAGCCCCAGAGUGCUCGACGGCUCCGAGAAGAAGAGAUUUUCGGCUCAGGAACGCUGCUCCAAGCGAAGCCCGGUUUUCGAGAAAAACUGUUGUAAGUAAGCUACGCCUACACUAUUUUUAAUAUAGCUUUUAAUUAAUUAUAGUAACGUUAUUAGGACUUUAUAAUAAUUAUUUGGUCUCUUAUUAUGAGUUAUAUAAGUGUCAUUAUAAUAUUUUUUUAACUACUCGUGGUACGGGGAAUUUGGUUUAAAGGGCCGCAUAGGGUUGUUGGAUUUCAGAAGUGCUAUAUGCCAAAAUGGUCCUGCCCUCCGGUGUUUUAUGUUUGGACCUUGUCUGUACAUAGUGGUUGGAAAAUGUUGUUUAAACGCUUAUAUAAUAAUAAUAAUAAUAAUAAUAAUAAUAAGACUAAUAAUUAGUCACGGUAAAUAUUAGACUAAAAUCUAGUGGUAAUAAUACUAGGUUUCGUCGAAAGAAAUUAUUUUUAAGAAGUGAAGCGUUGUCUGGGUUUGGAAUCACCACCUUUUCAGGUGAGUGCAUAGUCACUUUCAUCGUACACAUAAAUAUUAAGUAUUGUAUAUAAAUUACGUGCUAUGUGUGCAUAUUAUCUUUAUACUUGCUAUCUAUGCUGGAUGAACGAUUUUUAUACAUGUUUUAAAUGAUUUAAAUUGUAUAUGUAUUUUAUAUCUACAAAAAUGUUGGGGUAAAACAUGGGUAGAUGUGACAAUCCGAAAUUUCUAUCUUGUACAAACCAUUCACUUCAAUCAAAUUCGGACUUGUUUAUGCUAACUUUUAGCACUGUUUAGAGUCUGUUUGAGCAUUCUGAUCCUAGUACACCAAAGGAAUGAGUGAAAGGAAGUGUCAGUUGAAGUUGUAAACCAUCAAACAAGCCAUAAAACCUCAAAUGACGAGUUUACGGACAAGACCCAUGAGUUUACGGCCAUAAACUCAUGAUGGCCGUAAACUCCAUCCUAUAAGUAUGAACCUUGGCCAUUUUUCUUCACUUUUACCAAUUCCAAGUCUAGAAAUCGGUUUUUCUCUCAACUAUCUUCAAGAGUUCUUCAUUUUCCUUCAAGAAUGUAAGUGAUUUACUUACUUUGUGAGAUUAUACUCCUCUUAUCCUUGAUAACCCAUUGAUUCGUACCUGGAUUUCAUCUUUAAGACUAGAUCUUCAAAGAUUCUCAAGAACAUCAAGAACACUUAAGUGUUUUGGGCCGAAAACACCCUCCUUUUGCCUUCAAAUCGUAAGUAUCUACCUCCUAUACUUGUUAAUUAGUUAGGAUGUUUGGAUUAAGGCCUUGAAAGCAAACUUUUCCAAGAACAUGAGGUGUUUACGGCCAAGAGCAUCUCCCUUAGCAGUAAACCCUAAUUGUUGGUGCAUAAGAACCAUAAGUUCCUCCUAAGGCUUGGACAUGAGCCUAGAAGCCUUCCUCAAUGCUUGAAAGCCCUUUAAAACACCAUUUGGCACCUUUAAUCAUGAGUUUACGUCCGUAAACUCAUGUAGCCAUAAACUCAUGGCCGUAAACUCCCAUGGAGCAUACCACUUGGCUGUAAACACUAGUGUGUAGCCAUACACCCCUUAGAUGCAACCCUUUGUACUUCUAACACUUGAAUCUAAGUGUUUUCCAUGUCCUAGGGUGUCUUUACUUUAAUAAUUAUUUGUUAUAAACACUAAUUAGAUACAUAUAUGUGUCAUUAUAUGCUAAAUAGGAUCCGUGUGUGCUCAAGUCUUCACUUGACACUUAGCAUCCUUUACCGAUCUUACGUUCGCAUCACUCACAACAGGUGAGUUUAUACCCCUUAAUCUAUCUUUUAAAUGAUUUUAAAUGCUUUUAAAGGGGGAAUACAAGUAGAAAAAAUAUUAGUUAUAUAAUCAAUCACAUGUGAUUUGUAAACUGUGUUUCAAACAAAGGAUUUCAUAUACUUCAAAAUGUGUUUCAAACAAAGGAGUUCUUAUACUUUAACUGUGUUUCAAACAAAUGAUUUCUUAUACUUUAAACUGUCUUGUCAACCAAACUGCUUUUAAAUCAUUUUAUAAAUUGACAUCAAGUCAUCAACAUUUAUUAUUAAACUCUUCAAAUGUUUUAAAAAACUUAUUUUUAAAAUUAUAUAUUGUCAAAUGCGUGUCUAUAUAUGUAUAGUUAUAUAAGUAAUGUUUAAAGGACUUAGGACUAAUAACUCGCUUUAUUUCCUUUUCCUUGUUUGGAUGUGGCCUGAGAGUAUUGGCUAUUUGUCUGAAUGUCAUUUAAAUAUCAGUUAUAUAUUAUGUAUACAUAUAUAGAUAUAAAAGUACUAUCAAUCAGUUCAUCACCUUUGGGUAACAAAGGUAUACCUUCAUUUAUUCAAUUACAGAAAUCACUAGUAAACUAUAAUAGGUAUAGUUUAGGAGAAUACUAUCAUAUAUAAAUACUAGACAAAGAAUACUAUAGCAGAGAAUACUAGACAGAGAAUACUAUAACAUAGAAUACUAGACAGGGAAUACUAUAACAGAGAAUACUAUAUAACAGAGAAUACUAGACAGAGAAUACUAUAAUAGAGAAUACUAUAACAGAGAAUACUAUAACAUAGAAUAUUAUAACAGAGGAUACUAUAACAGAGAAUACUAUAAUAGAAAUACUAUACAUAGAAUACUAUUACUAUAUCAAGUAUACUAUAACAACAUUUACAGAUAACAUAAUGUGAGAUACUACUUCAUGACACAACGACCAUUUCGUUGUGUCACGUUUUGUAACCAGAAUCUCCUGGAGGGAGAGUGUGAGUUUGCGUAUAGAUCUAUACUGGAUUGACUAUCCUAUACCUUGUUGUUCGCUACAGUAUGACUUGGAAGUCUACGGGUGCCAAAUGUCAUUUCUUCCGACGUCUUUCAUCGUCGUGUUUUAGUCAGUUUGAUAUUUGCAUUUUUAGCUAUAUUUCUAUGUUUGAUUUUUAUCCUUUAUUGGCUAAUUAAUUGCAUAUAGUGGACAAAAGAUACUUAAUAUUGUUCAAAUUAUGUUUUCAGUUCUUAAAAGAAGCUCGGAAGCAAAAGGAAGCAGGAGAUAUGAAAGGAAUCUUGGGAAAGAAAGAAGAAAAAAGGCUAAUUCUGAAGCUACUCGGCGAGUAGGAUCGUCUACUCGAUGAGUCGACAUGAAGAUUCACGAAGCGACACGUGGAGUCCUUGCCAUAUACGGAUUCCUCAAGGGGGACUCGGCGAGUCUGUUGGCUACUCGACGAGUAGCCCCUGUUUUGAGAAAACUAUAAGUAAACUUCAUAACCCCGAAUUGAGGACUCUCUUUGGAUCUUUGGUGGAACACUUGGCGAUCAAGAAACCCUUGGAGCUCUGGAAAACGAUUAAAGAACCAUAAUCCUUCAUUCUUAAGAGAUUAAGGCACUUUAGGUUUAAUAUUNNNNNNNNNNNNNNNNNNNNNNNNNNNNNNNNNNNNNNNNNNNNNNNNNNNNNNNNNNNNNNNNNNNNNNNNNNNNNNNNNNNNNNNNNNNNNNNNNNNNUAAAUGGCGUAUCAAAAUCUUCUCAGUUCCGAGAGACCUUGAAAGUGCUACGAUUGCCGGACGGUUCCUGAAGUACUGGAGUUAUAGUUAUUAGACUUAUCCAAGUGGGAGACUGUUGAUGGGUUUGUAACUCCCAUGGAGCAUCCUAUGGGUGGAACCCAACUUGAUAAUCCAUGGAGCCUCUUAGCCCACUAUACAAGAUAUGAAUGAUUUACAUAAUCAACCCAUAUAUUUAAUUAGUUAUCUUUUGAUCACUUAAUUAAUUCUAAAUUAAUUCUUNNNNNNNNNNNNNNNNNNNNNNNNNNNNNNNNNNNNNNNNNNNNNNNNNNNNNGAACACAAGCAACAACAAGGUAAGUUAUUCUAUCUAUGCUCAUUUAGUCUAUCCAAUCCCAUGUAUGCUAGAUAGGAAUAUAACCUUGGAAUUCAACUUUGCAUGAUAAUUAGACAAACAUAGAUCCAAGGUUAUUAGGGUUGCAUGUACACUUAGGAAGUGUUAGAAUGCUCAAAACCCAUCAGUUACAUGACCCGAGGAUCCAAUACGCCUUCAGUCCUUCCACUUGAAGACUCGGAGUCCGCCCUAAAGAAGAAUAAAGGAACAGUCGUUGGAGAAUCCGUUUCUUCGAAGAGCUUGCCUUUGAAGAAUCUAAAGUCCGUUUUUAGCAAGAAGAAGAGCAGCAAAUCAGGAGCAUCCAGCAACUCUUCCUUGGAAAACGAAGACCCAAUCAAGGAAGACACCGUGAACGAGUCCAAAAGGGAAGAAAGCGAAUUUGGAGAAGACAGCGAUCUAGAAGGUGAAUUUGACAACACCAUGGCGAACAUUGAUGAAGUUCCCAUGGGCGAAUGGAAGAAGAGGAUACGAGAUGACACCGGCCCGGGACUUGUGCAACCUGCCAUUCCCGUGACUGCCACUUUUGAGCUCAAGGGUCACAUACUUGCUCAACUCAAGGAGAACCCCUUUUACGGAAAAGACCACAAAGAUGAUGAUAAACACUUGGAUGAAGUCAAUGAUAUAGCUGAUUACUUUAAUGUUCCAAAUGUGCCUCAUGAAACCCAGCUGCUUCAUAUGCUUCCAGUUACAUUCAAGGGUGCUGCAAAAGAUUGGCUCAAGUCACUCCCUCCCGGAUCCAUCACUACAUGGGCUAAGAUGAAAGAAGAAUUCAUUGACCAGUUUUGCCCACCUUCUAAAAUAGCCAACUUUGAACAACAACCUAGAGAGUCCCUUUAUGAGGCGUGGGAGAGGUACAAAAGUCUACUAAGGAAUUGCCCACACCAUGACCUUAAUAGCCAACAAGAAGUCUCCAUCUUCUAUGAUGGAGUCAAUGUUACAACUCAACAACUCCUUGACUCGCAAGGACCCCUCACAAAGAAGGCACCCCCGAUAAUCAAGGAAUUGAUUGAGGAGUUCUCUAACCAUUCUAGAGAAUAUCACAACCUAUGAAAUGAAGUAAGUAGGCGGGUAGUGAACACGGUUAACGAUGACAUGGAGGCAAUGAUGGCCAAACUAGACAAUUUAGAUAGGAGGAUGACAAAGAUGGAGCAAACAAUCCAUGUUAUUCGGGUAGGAUGUGAGAAUUGUAGAGGACCUCACCUCACAAGGGAUUGUGACUUGGAUGAGAAUGGAAACAAGAAGGCUCAAGUAUUCUAUUCAAGUGGCGACAAAUUUGAUGAUAAUUCGCGGAAACCAAAGAAGGAAUGGGUCCUGUAUGAAGAAUACAAAAAGGCAAAGGAGAAGAAAUUCAAGCAAAAAGAACGACGUUACUAUCAAAAGGAGGAACCGGUUGUGGAGAAUAAAGUUGAUUUGGAAAAGAUGCUUACUAGAUUUGUAGCCGCGUCCGAGAAACGACACAAUGAUACCGAUACUACACUUAAAGAUCAACAAAAUAUUUCGAGGGAACACCAACUUAUGAUGAAAGAUCAGCAAGCCUUACUUAGGAAUCAGCAAGCAUCCAUUCUCAACAUAGAAAAACAGCUAGGGCAACUUGCCCAACAAGUGAAUGAGAGAAGACCGGGUGGACUUCCAAGCAAUACCAGAAGUAACCCGAAAGGCGCACAUAUAAACAUUGUCACAACUAGGAGUGGGAAGAUUAUAACCCUUCUAGCCCCUAUUCAGAACGAAUAUCCAAAGCUGGUGCAAGAGAAGGAGGCAGAAGGGCAGAAUCAAGACCAGAAACAGUUGAACCCAGACCCUACUCACCGAGUCCACGAUAUGGACUCGACGAGUCCGACACCUGAUCAGAAAAGUAAAACUCUUGUUAGGCCAUAUCAGCCUCCACUGCCAUAUCCAGCCCAAGCUAGACAAGAAAAGAAUGAAGAAGACUACCAGAAGUUUCUAGAACACAUAAAGGCUCUUCAAAUCAAUAUACCAUUCAUAGAAGCGGUUUCCUAAAUGCCAAAAUACGCCAAGUUUCUCAAGGAGCUUCUAACUAAUAGAAGGAAGAUGGAAUAAGUGAAGAAGGUGGUCCUAAAUGAAAACUGUUUUGUUGCUAUGUUGAACACACUUCCUAAGAAUAAAGGAGAUCCGGGAAGUUUAACAUUGCCCUGUCAAUUUGGAAACUUGGCCACCAUAUAUGCACUAGCUGAUUCGGGGGCAAGUGUAAACCUCUUGCCUUAUUCAUUUUUCAAAAAGUUAGAUCUCCCCGAGCCAAGACCCAUUCGCAUGGCAAUCCACCUAGCAAACAAAACGGUUACAUUUCCUAAGGGAAUCUGUGAAGAUCUUUUGGUAAAGGUGGACAAGUUCGUGUUCCCCUCGGACUUUAUAGUUCUCGACAUGGAAGCGGAUCCCCAAGUCCCGAUCAUAUUAGGAAGACCUUUUCUCAAUACAGCAAGCGCUAUAGUCGAUAUGAGAGAUUCUAAACUUACCCUUCGGGUAGGGGAUGAAUCAGUCACUUUCGGAGUUGAUCAAGCCAUGAAGCAUGCAAGGAGUAGUGAUGACACGACAUUUUCAAUUGACAUGUUGGAAGAGUUAUUGGCAGAUUGGAAAGAAGAAAAGCCAAGCAAGCCCACCGUUUCAUUUGAAGAAGAGUUUGAUGCAGAAAGGGACCUGAUGGAGUUAGAAAGAGUGCUCGAGGAAGCUGAGUAUGACGAUCUGAUCAGAAGUGUUGAAGAAACGACUCGCCGAGUAGCCUCGAUCUACUCGACGAGUCCAUUCGAAGAACCCCGUACAUUCGCGAAAAUUACAUUGGACUAGACAAGUCCCCUUUCUGGACUCGACGUGUUCAGCAUACAGAACACAAAAACCGAGCUCAAGGCACUACCAGAUCAAUUGGAGUACGCAUUCCUUGAAGAUGGCCAACAAAAACCUAUAAUUAUAGCUGUUGAUUUGGCCAAACAUGAGGAGAGCCUUGUGGGGGUACUAAAGAAGAGACAAGGUGCUAUAACAUGGAAAAUAACCGACAUAAAGGGAAUUAGUCCAGCCUAUUGUUCCCACAAAAUCAACCUAGAAGAAGGGUCAAAAGCUGUAGUACAGCGCCAAAGAAGACUCAACCCGAACAUGCAAGAAGCUGUGAAAAAGGAGGUCGUGAAAUUAAUAGAUGCUCGAAUCAUUUAUUCAAUCUCCAAUAGCCCAUGGGUGAGUCCGGUCCAAGUAGUUCUGAAGAAGGGAGGGAUGACGGUAGUGGCUAACGAAAACAACGAAUUAAUUCCAACAAGGACGUUAACCGGGUGGCGAGUUUGCAUAGACUAUAGGAAGCUAAAUGAAGCCACAUGCAAGGAUCACUUUCCAUUGCCUUUUAUCGAUCAAAUGCUUGAGAGGCUUUCCGGUCAUCUCUAUUAUUGCUUUCUCGACGGGUUUUCGGGGUAUUUCCAAAUUCCAAUCGACCCACAAGGCCAAGAGAAUAACACUUUUACAUGCCCAAGUUGUAACAACGCAAAUUUUCAAACAAUUUUUUCAUUUUUAAAAUAAAGUAUUUCCAUUCAAAACAAGGCAUAAAUAAUUUAAGUAUUAUGUCAAAUACAAAUAGUCUAAAUCCCAAGAUCAUAAAAACAUCCUUUAGUGUGUAUCGAUCACGCCGGCGCCUUCCCACGGUCCUCGCUAGUACCUGAAACACAUACAUAACAACUGUAAGCAUAAAUGCUUAGUGAGUUCCCCAAUAUACAACUUACGCACAUACGCCUUUCCAGGCCCUGACCUUCCGGUCCUCAACACAACGCCUUCCGGCCCAUAGCAUAAUCGCCUUCCGGCCCAUAACAUAUUGCCUUCCGGCCCACAUAACAUACAUAACACAUAUAACAAAUAACUUACCACAUAUAGCAUACAUAUCACAUAUCAUAUCUGACCUUCCGGUCACACAGUCAAACCCUUCCGGGUACAGUAUAGUGAGAAGACUCACCUCGUGAAUGCUGAAAGCUAGCAAAUCCUGAAAUCACUCGUGCACAAUCCGACGAGCUACAACCUCCCUAUAACAUCACAUAUCUCUCAUUAACACGUAUAUCUUCUAAGUGUGACUAUCCCUAAGAAGUCAGACUUAGGUCAACUCUGGUCAACGGUUAACGGUCAACGGUCAACUCGUCCGGACUCGGCGAGUACCAUGUCGACUCGGCGAGUCUAGACGUCCUCCAACUCUCUGAGAUUCCCUAUCUACUCGUCGAGUAUCCUCCUUGACCCGACGAGUUACUCCUGGAAGAAUCGCGGGGCCACCCCGACUCAACUCGCCGAGUCUGAAGAACAACUCGACGAGUCCCAGUUAAUCUUCAAGCUACUCGCCGAGUCUGUUCAUCGAACUCGGCGAGUCCAUGCCAUGCAACCGCUCAAACUGCAUCCUAAGGUCAGAACUGCUUCGACCAUUCCUAGGUCUGGCCUUCCUAGGCUGAUCCAUCACGUAAAGUCCUCAUUUCAGUGCUCAUGAUACACCAUAUGAUUCAUAAUUUACAUUUUGACCUAAGGCAUAAGGAUUCCAAUCCAAAACCUUCAUCAAUUCCCGAAAUGCACAGACAUGGGACAUUCUGGACCUCCCAAAGGUCUCAAUACAGGGUUACACUCGUUUAGGGGACUAGGGUAACAUUCAAUCUAAUCACAAAAGGGUUCCAUAAACCCUAAAUCCAUAAAUACAUCAAUAUAGCAGAGUAUACUCAAAUUCUUUCCUGGAUGAUGUAUUCUCUGUGUCCCCAAUCCUCAGAAUGUGACUCCCUUGCUGUUCCUCUAGCCAAUCUCUUCUCUUCCUUGCACAACAACUCUUCUAUAAUCAACAAUGGCCUAUAAUCCUUGCUCCAGAUGCACACAAUCGAUUUAGGGUUCUUCUCAGAAGGCUAAAAUGAACAAUGACGGCCAAUGAGUCCUUUUUAUACGUCCCAAACCUGAACGGUUAGGGUUUUCGCUAAACAGCGUAGACUCGCCGAGUCCAUAUCUGGACUCGUCGAGUCCAGUCGCGAACCCGCGACCAAGUCUGCGAUCCUACUCGGCGAGUGUAGGCUCCAACUCGCCGAGUCCCCUCUUAAAUCGCCCCAAAAACAUAAUUUAACAAUACCUGAGAUUCCGGGCUGUUACACAAGUGGGACAUUUCCAUAUAGACGCAUUCCCUUUGGGUUAUGCAAUGCACCAGCUACUUUCCAAAGGUGCAUGAUGGCUAUCUUUCAUGAUAUGAUUGAAAGGUUCAUGGAGGUGUUUAUGGAUGAUUUCUCGGUUUUUGGAUCCUCUUUUGAAGAUUGCUUGUCCAACUUGGAUCUAAUGCUAGCGAGAUGUGAGAAGACCAACCUUGUCCUUAAUUGGGAGAAGUGUCAUUUUAUGGUGAAGGAAGGAAUUGUAUUAGGACACAAGGUCUCAAGGAGGGGGAUAGAGGUGGAUAGAGCAAAGAUGGACAUUAUAGCCAAAUUGCCACCUCCAACAAAUGUCAAGGGAGUAAGAAGCUUUUUAGGCCACGCGGGGUUCUAUAGGCGCUUUAUUAAAGACUUCUCCAAGAUCACAAGACCCUUGACUCAACUACUUUUGAAGGACGCCCCAUUCAACUUUUCUAAGGAAUGUAUUGAAGCCUUUAAUUUGUUGAAGGAAAAGUUGACUACUUCACCUAUUAUGGUAGCUCCAAAUUGGAGUCUCCCUUUUGAGCUAAUGUGUGAUGCUAGUGACUUUGCGGUGGGAGCUGUUUUGGGACAAAGAAUUGACAAGCAUUUUCAGCCAAUUUAUUAUGCAAGCAAGACAUUGAAUCCAACUCAAGAGAACUACACUACUACCGAGAAGGAGCUGUUAGCGGUGGUAUAUGCUUUUGACAAGUUAUGGCCUUACUUAGUGUUAUCCAAGACAAUCGUGUUUACCGAUCACUCCGCAUUGAAGUAUCUAUUUGCCAAACAAGAUGCAAAGUCAAGAUUGAUACGUUAGGUUCUACUUCUUCAAGAAUUUGAUAUCGAGAUACGCGAUAAAAAGGGGAUGGAAAACGUAGUUGUCGAUCAUUUAUCAAGACUAGAAAACCCACUUUUGGAGAAGCUAGAUGAAGAUAAAAUUGGGGAUGAUUUUCCCGAUCAGUACAUAUUGGUAGUGGCGGGAGAAGUGCCAUGGUUUGCGGAUAUAACAAAUUAUUUGGCAACCAAAUACAUCCCAAAGGAUUUGACUCACCAACAAAAGAAGAAAUUCUUUUCAGAAAUUAAAUACUACUUUUGGGACGAGCCAUAUCUUUUCCGAAGCUGCGCGGAUGGAAUGAUAAGAAGAUGUGUAUUCGGGAAAGAAAGUCAAGACAUUUUGGCACACUGCCAUAGUGGACCCGCUGGAGGACAUCAUGGAGCACAUUACACCGCGAAGAAGAUUUUUGAUAUUGGGUUUUAUUGGCCUACAAUUUUUAAGGAUGCUACUAAAUAUGUCAAGGAAUGUGACUCAUGCCAAAGAGCGGGAAAUAUAUCAUCCCGGAAUGAAAUGGCCCAACAUAGCAUCCAUGUAUGUGAAAUAUUUGAUGUGUGGGGUAUUGACUUCAUGGGACCCUUUCCCAUGUCUAAAGGAAACAAGUACAUCUUGGUGGCGGUGGAUUAUGUAUCCAAAUGGGCGGAGGCACAAGCAUUAUCCACUAAUGAUGCUCGGGUGGUGGUACGAUUUUUAAAGAAAUUAUUCUCAAGAUUUGGAGUUCCUAAAGCUCUCAUUAGUGACCGGGGCACUCACUUUGCCAAUGAUCAAUUAGCUAAGGUGUUGCAAAAAUAUGGUGUUCAACAUAAAUUUUCAACAUCCUAUCAUCUUCAAACGAGUGGGAAAACGGAAGUUACAAAUAGAGCAUUAAAUAGAAUACUAGAAAGAUCGGUUGGAAGUAAUAGAAAAGAGUGGUCGGAUAAGCUUGAUGAUGCACUAUGGGCAUUUAGAACAGCUUUUAAGACACCUAUUGGCACUAAACCAUAUAGGCUAGUCUAUGGAAAACACUGUCACUUGCCGGUUGAAAUAGAGCACAAGGCUUAUUGGGCAUUAAAGGUGUGCGAUUUUGAUCUAGUUGAACUUAGAACUAACCGGUUGAUGCAAAUGAAUGACUUGGAAGAACUUAGGAAUGAGGCAUACACUAGUUCCUUAAUUUACAAAGAGAAUACCCAAAAGUGGCAUGAUAAAAGACUCAAGGACAAUAAGGACUUUUCCGAAGGACAAAAGGUGUUACUUUUUAAUUCAAGGCUCAAAUUAUUUAUGGGCAAGCUUAAGACACGGUGGGAUGGUCCGUUUAUAGUAAAGAAUUUUUUUCCAUAUGGAGCUAUUGAGCUAUUAUCAAGAGAUGGAACUCCUUUCAAGGUCAAUGGCCAUAGGGUGAAAAAAUAUGAAGAAGGAAUUUCGAGAAAUGAAGAACUUGAAGAAGGGCUGCUGCUGGAAGGGAUUACAAAGACGUAAGCAGGAAGGAGUCCAACUAAUGACUCCUUAAAAAGAAGCGCUUCCGGCAGGCAACCCGCGUUUAGAGUUUGCUUUCUUUUCUUUUUCUUUUCCUUUUCAUUUUGCUUAGGAUUUGUUUCUAUCAAUCUUUUUCUGUGUUCAAAAUGAUUGCUUGAGGACAAGCAAUGCUCAAGUGUGGGGUGGCAUAUAUUUUAUUUUGCAAACUCAAAAUUUUCACAGAAUAAAAAACUCGACGAGUCCAUUUUAAAAAAAUUGAAAAAUCGAUGAAUCAGGCAUCAACUCGCCGAGUAGGUCCGCCUGCUUGACAAGUACACAUAUUUAUCCGAUUUUUUUUUAUUUUUAUUACAUUCUAUAAAAGGGGGGGGGUUACCCUAAUUUGUAAAUACCCAGCCACUCAAACGAGCAGCCUCCUCAUACUCGACGUGCAACGCUCUCAAGUAUCCAUCUUGAUUCUUCUCCUCUUCUGCGAAUUUCAGCAACAUGGUAACAAUUUUAGCCCUUAAUCCUUUACAAGUUCCGAUCUUUGGUGGAAUAACACCUUUAAUUUCUGAAAAAUCUCGUUUUUGGGAAGACUUAGAUUCUAGGGUUUUGAUUUUUGACAAAUUAGGAUGUUUUAGACGAAAAUUUUUACAUUCAUAGACUCUUGGAACAUACCGAACCAAACCCCUGCAAUGAUUCAUGGAUUUGGCCGGUUAAUUUCGACAAGACAAAAUUGACUUCCGCUAUUCGUCCUACUCGCCGAGUAGUUUGUGGACUCGGCGAGUCCAUACUGCAGAUACCUAGUAUUUUGCCAUUCUUAACAGUUUAGGUUUUUUGUUUGUGGUUUUCUUGUUUCUUUACUGUGCAGGAACCAUGUCAAGGAGAGGUCAAAGCUCACGAGGAGGCAGUUAUGGGGACAUCCCAUGGUUGGCUUUUCCAAGCAUCACCAACAAGUCUUUGCUCAUACGAACAAAAAACAAGCUGGAAGCUUUAAGGAGGAAGGAAAUAGAUGUUCCCAAUUAGUUGGACUGGUCAUGGAUGGGGCAAGUUGGGCUGGAAGAAGCACUAAGCUAUUAUUUGGUCAAGUCUUGUGAAAUUAAUGGGGUGCAAAUCAUCUGUGACUGGUGGACUCAGUUGUUUAAGCUGCAAGAGUCGGUGUAUCAGGAGCUUUGCUGGGAAUUCUUUGCCACCAUCUCUUUCCGGGGUGGUGAUGACUACUAUAGUCUAAAUAUUAUUUCAUUCUGCCUUGGAGGAGAAUUCCGCCAGUGUAGCAUUGCUGAGUUAGCAUGGAGGCUAGGGAUUUAUGAUCAAAAUGAGAUCAUGUCUGAGACUUUUGAGUCAUUUCUGGAGCAAUGCCACAAAGAUUUGCCCGAGGGUGUGGUAGCCUCUACUUGGUGGAACACCAUUGCCAACCAAGUCUAUAUUCCUUCAUCCGCUCAAGAGGGGAUGAUCCGCUCCCCGAUCCAUCGCCUAAUACAUCGUCUGAUCACGAGCUCUAUAAACAUGCGAAAGGAUGACGAUAAAGUCCCCACCCUUGACGUCUUUUACAUGUGGAGUAUUAUUACUCCUGAUGUAUUUUGCAAUUUGCCAUAUUGCAUGGCAAAAUACGUGGCAGAGGGGGCAGUCAAAGAAUGAAUAAAUUCAAAAAUCAAUGGUGGCAUGUUUGUGACAAGGCUUGCAAGAACCUAUGGCAUCUUGGACCGACCAGAGGCACGAGUAUUGACUAUGAUUCCUAGUCCUCCCUUCACCAAAACUUUAUUUAGAAGGGCUGGGAUCAUUGAAGAUUAUGGAGGAGGCCAUGUUAGCAUUCCCAAUGAUGAUGAACCGUUGGUACCAGAAGAACCGGGAAGGAGGGUAAGGAGAAGGAGAGAGCGGGUGCCACAAGACCCACCAGUUAUUCCGGUGGAGAAGGAGCUACCUAUGGAUUGGUAUAAUGUGGAGAUGCGGAGAUACCAAGACGACAUAGGACGGGGAGUGAACUUUGUUAAUGAAUCUUUUGCUUGUUUAUUUGAGCAAAUGCAUUCUACCCCAAGGCCCGGAUUCCCGUAUAUCUCCAGUUGGGAUGAGAGUGUGCAAGCAAGAGGAAACCAAGUGAGUGGAAGUGGAGCCGGAGGAGAUGAAGACGAGGAGGAAGAUUGAUGUUUUAUUAUGAUUUUGGAUGUUUAAGACUAUUUAUUUUUAUUUAUGUUGGAUGAUGAACUUGUAGGAUGAUUAAGUAGGAACUUGUUUUAUUUUAUUAUUUGUGGUUGUUUUUUUUUUCAGAUUGAAGGAUUGGAUGCAUCCAAGAGUCAUAGUUCUCAAGUUUAGAGUGAGGAUCGGGUCUAGGUGAGAAUGUGCAUGAGUUAGGGUGGAGUCCGUUUUCAAGGAAGGUCUUAAAGUGUUAUUUGUUGAAGAAAACUGAAGAAAACACUGAAAAAUCAUACCCAGCCACAUCAGAAACGGAACCCACAAGCAGAAUAAUUUUAUUUCACUCAGCGAUGGACUCGCCGAGUGCACGUUACGUACUCGACGAGUCCGGGUUCAGUUUCACACUUUCUAUGCUUAAUACGCUACUGCUCGACGUGUUUCCGUAUAGACUUGACGAGUUUAUCACUUUUGCAUUCUCAAGGCUUAUAUUAUGCUCAUAUUCACCAUGGGUUUCACUCAUAUUCCUUAGCAUUUUAAUUUCUGAAGAUUUCCGAGUAUUUUUCCUGCAUUUUUGGAGCUUUCUCACACAAUAUAUGACACCCAAGGCAUGGAUGGGUUGUUCCCAUGUCUAAAGUCAAUUGAAGAUGGAGCUUUAACAUGAAGAAGAUCGACCUCGCCACUACUACCCUAUGGGAGUUUGUUCCAAUUCUCUCUUUAUUUUAUUAUUCUUUAUCAUGCAUAAUAUGCAAUGGGGACAUUGCAUAAAUUAAGUAUGGGGUAGGGGGUUGGUUAUAUUAGUUAAAAUUUUAGUUGAAUUUUGAAAAUUUUGAAAAAAAAUUGCAUACAAAUUGCUAGGGCUAAAUUAGAAAACUUUGGUAAAGGCAAUUAGGAAUCAUGCUAGUGUUAUGUUGAUAAUUGCAUAAAGACCCAAAUGUUUAGUUGAGCUUAUACACGUUAUAACGCAUUUGUGGCCUCCUUUACUCUAGUGAAAUCAUGGGACAAAAACACAACCUCGCUUAGUUUGAGGGAUGCAAUAUGUUUAGCAUCGUGUACCAGAAAUGUAUCCAGGAAAAUUAUUAUCCUUAGUCAAUAAAGGUUGAAGUUGAGCGCCCCUGCUUAAGCAUGUAGGGUUUUGAGUGAAAAAAAAAAGAAAAAAAAAGUGAGUUACAUGUAAAAAAAGAGAGAAAAUUACAAGAAAAGUUGUGAGAAUUUUGGAGCAAUUAAAGUAAAGAUCAAAAGAUCAAAAUUCCAAGAAUUUAAAAGUUGAAGAUGCCCAAAAAUCAAAAGGUUGACAAUUUUGAAGAAUUUAAAGAAAUCAAAGUUCAAAUUAUCAAGCAAGUGAAGAAUUCCAAAAGUUCCAUAAUGGUAUCGAAGAAUUGUAAUUUUUAGAAUAUGUAUGCUUGGGUUGCUCAACCAAAAACACCUUGAGACUGAGAGGUUGUCUACGGAUGGAUUCAGCGGGAUGCAUAAAAUGAGCAUUGUUUGGAAAAAGUGGGCAAGUGUUAUGCAUGCGUUGCGGUCUUGACAUAAUGACUGGUUUAGAUUGGGAAUGUCUAUACAAACAUUGACACUAAAUACUUAUGAACUCACCAGCUUAAAUACUCAUCUACGCUUUCAAAAUAACUUGUAUUCUCAGGUCAUCAGUAGACAGGUACAGUCGACCAGGUUUUGAGAAGAUGGAGCAUGUUCAAGACUCGUCUUUUAUUUUGAUCACUUGUUUUGGUGUCUUAUUACUAUGAAUGAACACACUUGUAUCAAAUUAUACUAGUAAUGUAAUGGAUGAUGUUGUUGCUUGUUUACUAAUUUGCAUUGUUAUAAUACUGUACAUGACGUCCUCCGCCCCCGAACGUUUUCACCGUUCCGAUUUUGGGGUGUGACAGUAGAUGUAAUAGACGAUGCGUGAUAAAAUGAUGAGAGGCCUCGAUGUUGUUGUUGUUGAUUUUGUCAUCUAGCGGAGUAUGGAUGACGACCAUAGACUCUUCUUGACAGUCCAGUGGAACACUAUCAGGCUCGCAACCUGUAGGUGUUUGUGAACGAUGUGUUCACCGGUGUACUCCAUCCCUCUCAUAGUUGCCUUAAGGACAUUUAUUGCUGAGGAAUCCCCUUGGUAGUAGUGUCCAUCCUGAUGAUGAUCCUUAGCCUAGGUCCCUUAUGAUAGGUGUUUAGGGUCGUAAGGUGAGGAUAACGGGAACGGGUAAUCGGGUUAUCGUUGGUUGAUUAAUUUAAAUAACUUAUUUAUUAUGGGUUGAAAACCUUAUGUGCUCACCAGGCUCCUAAGCUAGACCCACUCAGUUUCAUGUAUUACAAGUAGUGGCGUUCGAGCAUAGAUGUGAUGUUUUGGAUGAUGGAUUACAGAUAUAGGCCUGUAGAUAUGAAUAAAUGUAGUAAAACUUAUAUUGUACUGUUUAUGCUUUUGAUCUGUAUCGAACAUGACAUCAUGAGGUUUUUAAUGAAACAAAUUUCUACGAAAAUGCUUUGAUAAAUCUUUAUCAUAUUUUAUUUUGGGAACAAAUUCCGCAACACUUUAUUUAAAAUGUUACUAUGAUUUUUAAACAAAUCAUAAACAAAAUCGGUCUUUUCUGGUUGUGAAAAUGGGGAUGUCACAACUACAUCGUGCCAUAAAGAUCCUCCCCCUUUCUUAAACCGCCACCACCAUUUUGAGAGGAGAGUUAGGUUAAGUGAUUGAAGGCUUCCAAUUCCAAGACAUCCAUUAAUAUUCAAGUUUAUAACCUUCUUCCAUGCAACCAAUGCGAUUAUUCUUUUAUCCGUUUCACAACCCACCNUGACUUUGGCAGGAGCCUUGUAGAGCGAGAACAUGUCCGAUCCCAAGUUCCAUAGAACCACUUUACAAAGCACUAAUCUUCAUCCAAAGAGAGACAACAAGCUUUCCAAUUUGAGAGUUUAUUGUGAAAAAUUUCAAUUAUAGCUCUCCGGUUUAACAUGAAAUACAUCCACCAACCGACAUUCCAAGGUAAUAGAAAGGGAGAGUCCUUUCCUCACACCCUAAAAAGGUAGCCAUAUUCAUCACCUAUUCCUUAUGCACGCCAAUACCCAUAACUCUACACUUGUCGAUGUUGAUCUUUAAACCUAAACAAAUAUGAAAACAUCUCAAAAGCCUCAUAAGAUUUAAGGCGUUUGAUAUAUUCCAUUCUCCAAGGAAAAGAGUAUCAUUCGCAAACUGGAUGGUUGAAAGAUUGGAAUCAUUGUUGGUAAGGUUCACGCCUUUGUAAAGGCCUUUGUCCAAAGCUUCCGCCAAAGCAACUUGAAGCCCUUUUGUAGCAAUAAUAAAUUGGAAGAUGGAAAGCGGGUCGCCUUGGCACAUUCGCUUUUGAAGUUUGAAUUGUUGUGUGGCAACCCCGUUACCUAAAGACUCUUGAAGAAGAUAUAUAUAAGUGAUACCCAUUUUCUCCAUUUCUCGCCAAAACGCCAUUUGUCUUAUCACAUCAUCUAAGUAGUUCCAAUUUAAAGUAUCAAACACCUUCUCAAAAUCAACCUUAAAAUCAACAUUUUUUUCUUAGCCCAAGUAAUAGCCUCAAUGACCAUCAGAGGUCCGUCAAGAAUGCUUCUACCAUUGACGAAAGCUGAUUGCGCCUUACGAAGGCAUGACAUUUUUAAGUCGCUCGGCAAGGCAUUUAGAUAUAAUUUAACCAACACUCCCAAUAAGGUUUAUAGGAUGGAAAUCCGAGAUGUUAACAGGGUCAUUACAAUUAGGAAUCAAUGUGAUAAAGGAUGCAUUGCUACCCGAAUUCAAGACAAAGUGCCCUGCAAAUUAACGAACAACCAUGAAAAUGUCUUCACCAAUCUUGUCUCCACACCUUUUUAUGAAGGCAAAUGUGAACCCAUCGGGCCUGUCAAAACAACUUUUUCCGCAAUAUAGUAACACUUUUAAAUUUAAUAUUUAUGUAUCAAAUUCAAAUAAAAGUUUAAGUACAAAUUUUUAAAAAAGAAAAACACACCAAUUUCAACCGACAUACAAAUUCCAGAUGCAAAAAAAAUGCCACAAAAUGAUUAUAUAAGUCUUGGAUGUUAAAUAUGAUUAUUACGUGAUAUAAAUUAACAAACGAAAAUGAAUGUCAUGAAUAGAAUGAUAAAUGUUACAAUAUAAAAGCCAUAAAAAAAGUUUAUUUAAAAAAAUUCCAAAGUUUGAUUACAAUUAUAAUUUUCAUGCAUAAACUUAUUUACUACUCGAUUGUUAUUUACUAUAUAAAAUUUUAACCAAUCAAAAAUAUUAGUUUUCAAUAGCUGUUUUUUUAUUAAUAAAAAAUAAAGUACAAGGUAAUUAUUAAUUUAAAAUACCUUCAUAAAAUAAUAAAAUACCUGAUUAGAAUAAAAAAAGAAAAAACUAUUAUUAAAAACAAAAAAUUAUUGGUAAAUAAAAAACAAUUCAAAAGAUUCAAUGUGAUCGGUUAAUAAUAAUGCAUAAGAUUCUAAUUAAACUCAUGAUCUUGACACGGUUAGUCCCAAACGGUUCAUUUGACUACAAAUAAAAAGUGAGGGCGACUUAAUCGUUUGGAGCAAGCUUAAUCGUCUUCCUCUUCGCAUCAACUUUUCCAAUGUGGUUCCUCCGAACACUUGUUUUCCUGACAUUAACAGGAUCUUAAUUGUGUGCUCCAAGAAUAAAUUAGAUUGAUUUCGAGAAAUUGGUGAUAGCGGGAAGAAGACGAUGAUGUUGGAGGGCAAGCUUCAUGGCCGUUCUCCUUCUCAUGCUCUCCAUUUUUUUUCUUCAGUUAUCUAUUCUACAAACCCACAUUAUUCCUACACAUAACUUCCAUCCGAUGAUCAAUUGCACCUUCACUGUUCAUCUCAUCCCACCUAGCGUGCUGCUUCCCUUCUUGAUCGAACGCUUCACUUGUCUCAGUAGCUUCUCCUCUUCCGUCUUUGUUUCUUGAAACCCAAACCUCUCACCCCCAAUAUCAACCCCUCUGAAGCGAACACUUGAAAUAUUCUUUCGUCUGAUCUCAGCAAAUCAAACGUCCAGAAUCUCGAAACAAAGCAGACAAAUCAAGAAUGAUGUUCUUCGUGGUUUUCCUAUAUAAUAGUGUAUUCAUCGACGUCUAUGCUUUCACCCAAAUCGACACCUUUCUCCUGCUCUGCACAGGCGAUGGCCACAGUGGACAGAGGGUUUCUUUUUUUAGUCUGAUUCCACUAUUUGUUUCCUAAAUUCACAAUCUUGAGGUAUUUUUGAACCCUGUUGGUUUUAAUGUAACAUUUAUAUGAGGUGUGAAGUUCAUCUGUUUCAUUAAACUUACAAUUUUAUUGGGUUUGACGUGUUUUUUUAUUAGAUCAGGGACCUGUCACAUGUUAUGGAAAAGUCAGAGAAGAAAUUUUGUUUAUAUUUACUGCUGCUGUUAUACUUUUUCAGCAAGAUGCCAAGGAGUUGGUUCACGUUAUGGUUAGUUUCAGAUUAUUUCCUUAUUCUAAUUUUCUAUUUCAUUCUUCUUUUUGAAGAUUAUAAAGUUUUGUGUAACAUAAAUUGUACAAAAAAAAAAUUAUAGAGAUGUUGGCAGAAUUGUCGAGGAGAGAGGGAGAUGCAAACAUAAAACCUGAUCCGGAUAUCGAUGUCUUCAUGAAGGUAGCAGAAUAAUUUUUUUUUUGAAUCUUUCAUGAUAGAAAUUUAAAAUCUUUAUUNAAAAACUCUUCAAGUUCCAUAACUUGAGGACAAGUUAUGGAAGAAUUAAAGCAUUUAAAAAAAUGAGACUCUUCAUUUUUAUAAAUUAUUGAAAUCUUAUGAGUUUUAAAAAUUAUAAAUGUGACUUUUCAUAUAACUUGAGGACAAGUUACAAAAACACAUAUUAUGAACAACAUUUAGAUCAAUUUGGAUCGAAAACAGAUUACCACAAAAAUAUUUUUAUUAAUAUAAACUAACUCAUAAGAAGAAGAUAAUUCAAAUCAAACAGUUUUCAUGAAAUUAGCCUAACCAUUAAGCUAAUACAAAACAUGAAUCUAUUGACAAUUAUCUUUGAAAUUGGAUUAGCAUGAACAUUACCACAUCAAAAACAUGUUUACAAGUUCAAAAAGAGCUUAAGGUAAUGUUCCUAGUCCAAUUCCAGCCAAAAAAACACGAAUAUAUGCUGCCAGGGGUCCAACUCGUCGAGUGCAUGAACCAACUCGAUGAGUUGGAUGAAUUUGGAUAUGGAGUCGUCGAGUCCCCUGUCUAGACAGCAAAAAAUUCAAAUUUUCCAGCUUUUUUCAGCAAAUUGCAUCAAGUGUAAUUGAAAACAAGCCUAGGCUCUGAUACCACUAUUGGGUUUUGAGCAUUCUAAAACUCCUAUGGUGUACAUGAAACCCUAUAAACCUUGGAUCUAUGUUUUCUCUAUUAUACAUGAAAAUAUUCAAUAUUCCAAGGUUUCAUCUUAACUAGCUUAAUAUGACGUAUAUGCAAUACAAGAGUCUAGUAGAAUGACAUACCUUUUGAUGGAUUUUGAAGUCUUGAACCUUUAAGAGCUUAGUGCCCAAAGUGUUGCACCUCAAAUGGUUCACACAACACCAAAAACCCUUGGAAUAACUUGAGAAGAAGAAUACUUAAGUUCACUCUUAUGAAAUCGGAUUUGCCCUCUUGUGUACUAUACACUAGUGCAAAUUUCAUGAAUUAGAGACCUCUUUAUAUAGUGUGGAGGAUUAGGGUUACAUUCAUGUAAACCCUAAUACCCAUGAACUUUCAUUUCCAUAGGUUACAUGGGUUAAACACUCCAUGGACUAUCCAUAAAAGCUUAGCCCAACCUAAUUGAACUCGGCUCAUCCUCUAUAUAUAAGAGUCCAUAUUUAAUUAGUUCAUUUUUGAGCACCAAAUUUAUUCUAAAUUAAUUCUUGGUCAAUACUAAUUAAAUAAUAUGAUUCNNNNNNNNNNNNNNNNNNNNNNNNNNNNNNNNNNNNNNNNNNNNNNNNNNNNNNNNNNNNNNNNNNNNNNNNNNNNNNNNNNNNNNNNNNNNNNNNNNNNUGUUCAAGAAUCUUGAUUUGGACAUGAAGGCAGUUACUCCUUUUCCCUGCUGGUUGAAGAUAUGAAUAUGCUUUUUAUUUUUCUCUUUUGAUUGCAACUGCCAACUAGAUAAUUAAAAACUGUUUGCUGAAAAACUUAUUGAUCCUUUACUUUUGCAGGGUGCUUCCAAUGGUAAAAGAAAUAUUGUCGAGAAGAGUGUUUGAAACAACAAUGGUCAUUCUUGUCAUUUAGUUAGUUGUUUGUAUGGGGAUGCUUUUGAAUAUUUAUUGAAGGUUUUGUACAUAAUUAACAGGAGCUUGACAACAAUCUGACCAUGUAUCAGGGCCUGGCCUUAUAAUGUAAGUAACAUUCUUUAUUCAUGUGUUGAAGUUGAUGAGUUUCAAUUUCUGAAUGUUUUGUAGCACAUAUAUAUGAUAUAUGCAUAUCAAUCAAUCAACAGACUUUUCUUCCACCUUCAGCUUCCAAGUGUUUUAUAAGCAAACCUUCAUUAACUACUGGUUGGACAUUGUAUUUGAUUUGCUUGAAUUCUUAAGUAUCUGGAAUUUCUGAAUGGAAACAAUGCAUUUUUAUAAUAAUGUGUUGUAGAGCUUACAGAAACUUAUUUUCAUUAUCAUUUCUUUCAGUUUGACUUUUUGAUUGCUAAAGAAGCUGAAAUUGAUGUAUUAUAUCUUCAUUUUCAUUAAUAAAUUAGUUCAACCUUUUCAUUACUUGUUUAUAACUUAUAAACUGUAAGUAUCCAAAAUCAUUUUCUUUCUUCCUUCUUGUUCAUUUUAAUAUUUUUAUAUAGCAAUGAGAUAUAAAUAACAAAACAAGAGGAUGAAAUAUUUUUAUUGUUGUUUUCACAGAAUCUUUCAUCUCCCUUGUUGAAAUACUGAAGAUGAGUGAUGCAAGAGUAGUAUUGUUUGCUCUUCACAAUGUCAUUCACACUUUAUUCAAGGUCAUUGAUUUUGCUCCUGAUUGCUAGAAUCCACCUGGGUCAUCAAUUUUUUUUUUACAUAUGUUCUAGAAAAAAAAUCAUUCCAAUAAGGUCCUUUAACUGGUAAGUUAUUGGUGACAUGGGGUCUAUGCAUUUGACAAUUCUAUGACCAUUAUUAUAUUUACCUUUGAUGACGUGUCAAAUACUUGCCAUGUCACCUCCCCAAAACUUACUGGUUGGUUAAACUAGGAAUAUAGCAUUUUCCAGUGGAACCAAUUUUCAAACAACCUAAAGAAAGAAAA